ACUGUUAGACAUUCAUUUUUUGUCAUGUAUUGGGCAAAAUCAUGCACUAUAUCAUGCAUCUUGAAUUUCAUUCCCUCAUCGUAAUCCGUCUCAAAAUCUUGGAAGAAAGAGCGCGCUGCUAAGACUUGAAAGUACUGCUCUCCUACAAGCUCCAUAUCUCCACCUGAAGUCUCCUUGAGGUAACCUUGAGCCAUCCACAUCUUCACCAAUUCAUAUUUUCCCAUCUCGUAGUCUUUUGGAAACAUGGCACAAUACAAGAAACAUCGUCUUACCACAGAAGGUAAAUCAUAGUAACUCAAAAGCAAAGGUAUAAAUAUUUGUCUUUCAACCUGAUCUCUAUCAACCUCAUCUAGCCUCCACAAUUCGCUAGAUAAAACACGCUCCCACUCUUCUCUUGUUAUUUUAGACUGCAUUAGACCUCCUAAUACCUUGGCAGCUAGAGGCAAGCCCUUGCACUUGUUUGCAAUUUUAUCGCCGAUAUCUGUCAAUCUUUCGCGCUCAUCUUUGCUUCUUUCCUGGAAUGCCACAUGAUUGAAUAUUGACCUGCAUAUCUUAUCAGACAAUUUCUCAAUGUUGAUCCGGUGGUCAGUUCCCAUCAUCGUUGCCACAGCGUCCUUACGAGUGGUCACUAGAAUUCUGCUUCCAGGUGCACCGCCUUUGAGAGAUAGUUUCAGUGGUUCCCACUGUCCAUGAUUUUCUGUCCAGACAUCAUCUAGGACAAGAAGGAACCUCUUUCCCUUAAUGGAUUCAGAAACCCUUUGCAUAAGGGAUUGCAAUUCAACCAAAUCGGGUGCCCUCCCUUCAAGCUGCUCAAGGAUACCUUUGGCUAUUCUAACCUCAUCAAAUGGUUCUGAAACACACACCCAUAUCUUUUUCUCAAAAUGAGCCGUAACCUCAGCAUCAUUAAAAGCUAGUUGUGAAAAGAAUGAUAUCUUUUGUAUUAUGUUACAGAGUAAACAAAGGUUACAAUUUAUACUAAUGGCUUGAUACAAAGAGCCUACAUUAAAGCCUACGAUCAGACCUAAUUAUCACAGAAUAAGGAAACAAAUAAGUGAAGAUUCAAUUACAGUAUUUGACAGACUUGAUUUCCUAUUCUGUGAUUGAUUUCCUAUGCUGUGCUUGGUUUCCUUUAACACUCCUCCUCAAGUUGGAGUGUAUGUUAAUUACACCCAACUUGCUAAGUAAGGUCUCAAACUGUGUGGAGCUUAAUGGUUUAGUAAACAAGUCAGCCGGUUGGUUUGUAGUCCGUAUGUAGGUUGUUUGAAUCAUUCCUGCUUGAAUUUUCUCACGUAUCAAAUGACAGUCUAUUUCUAUGUGCUUGGUUCGCUCAUGAAAGACUGGAUUCGAUGCUAUGUGCAUUGCUGCUUGGUUAUCACAAAAUUAAGGUUACCGGUUGUGUGUGAUUUAUCUGCAAGUCCUUCAAAAUAUUUUUCAGCCAUGUAAUUUCGCAGCAUGUAGUAGCCAUGGAGCGAUAUUCUGCCUCUGCACUUGAACGUGAUAUUGUUGUCUGUUUCUUACUCCUCCAUGAAACUGGUGCUUCUCCAAGUAAAAUGCAGUAACCAGUAACUGAUCUUCUUGUGUCCUUACAACGAGCCCAAUCAGCAUCAUAAAAUGCUCGUAACUGAAGUGAACCUGUGGACGGCAAAAAGAUGCCUUGCCCAGGUGUUUGUUUGAUAUAUUUGAGCACUUUAUAAGCUGCAUCCAGGUGUGGUUGGCGGGGCUUAUCCAUGAACUGACUAAGGAUGUGCACAGCAUAAGUCAAGUCUGGUCUAGUUAUUGUAAGAUAGAGUAACCUGCCAACUAACCUCCUGUAUGUUGAUCCAUCUUCCAAAAGCUUUCCAUCGGAUUGUGUUAGAGACACAUUUUGCUCCAAAGGAAACCGAGAUGGCUUGACACCCAAAAACCCUGCAUCAUCCAAAAUCUCGAGUGCAUAUUUUCUCUGUGACAAACUAAUGCCAUGUCGUGAUUUGGCAACCUCGAUGCCAAGGAAGUAUUUAAGUUGCCCCAAGUCCUUAAGUUUGAAUUGUUUGGACAAGAAGAGUUUGGUGUUCUCUAUGUCCUGCAAAUUAUUCCCAGCUAAUAUCACAUCAUCAACAUAUAUCAGUAAUGCUAGAAAGUUACCAUGCUGGCUUCGGACGAACAAGGAAUAAUCAGAUAGGGACUGAUGGAAUCCUGCAGCCUUGAGUGCACCGGACAGUUUGAUAAACCACUGUCUAGAGGCUUGUUUUAAGCCAUACAGGGAUUUAUGAAGUUUGCAAACGCGUGUCUCCCCCUUUCAUCCGAAGCCAGGAGGCAAAGUCAUGUAGACGUCCUCAUCCAAGUCACCAUGCAAGAAUGCAUUGUUGACAUCAAGCUGAUGUAAAUGCCAACCACGCAAAGCUGCCACACUAAGUAAGAGGCGGACAUUGACCAUCUUGGCUACGGGAGCAAAGGUUUCCUGAUAAUCAACACCUGCAACUUGGCUGUAGCCCUUGGCCACCAGUCGUGCCUUAUAGCGUUCCACUGUCCCAUCAGCUUUCAACUUGAUUUUGUAUACCCAUUUGCAGCCGAUCGGCCGUUUGUGGGAUGGUAAAGGUACCAAACUCCAAGUCUCAGUGGCCUGUAAAGCAGAUAUCUCAUGGUGCAUGGCCUCACGCCACUGAGGAUGUUGAACAGCCUGUGAAAAACUGGUAGGUUCUUUGAGGAGAGUGAGUUGAGCAGUAUAAGCUUUGUGAUGAGGAGAAAGGUGAGUGUAAGAUAAAUAGGCAGAGAGGGGAUAAGCAGUACCUGAAGUGUGAACCAUGUUCGUGGAUGAUGUCGGGUCAGGCCUUGAAGGGAGAGUCAUGGCGAGAUGGAAAUCCUGCAAGUAAGAAGGAGUGGUGAUAGAACGACUGCCACGACGAAGAGUAGGAAUGGGCACAGGUGAGGAGGUGUUCAGUAUGGGAGAAAAAUCGGGUAGUGGACUAUCAGUAGGACUGGCUGAAUGUGGGGACUCUGUGAGAGGAGCUAGAGGAGUGGAUGAGGUGGUGGAUGGAUGGGUCUGGGAAUUGGGUGAGCUAGGAAAGGUAGGAUUGGGAAGCAGAGAAGGGGGUUCAAAGUGUAUGUCGAAAGGUAUGGAUGGAGUGGGAGUGGGCGUGGGAGGUGAUAAUGAUGGGAUAUUGGUAUGUGAUGCAGAUGUAAUAAAGGGAAAUGUAGAUUCAAAGAAGACGACAUCCCUAGAGACAAGUGUUCGUUGUGUAGCUAGAUCAAAAACUCUAUACCCCUUUUUCCCAUAAGGAUAGCCAAGAAAAAUACACUGAGAUGCUCGAGGAUCAAAUUUUGAGCGAUUUUGGGCAUGGGUGGAAACAAAAAAUAAGCAACCAAAUACUCGUAAGUGUGAGUAAUUGGGAACUUUGUUGAAGAGUUUUUCAUAUGGUGUUUUUCCAUGGAGAAUGGGGGUUGGUGUUCGAUUUAUGAGAUAAGCGGAAGCAAGAAUAGCGUCACCCCAAAAUUGGUGAGGAAGGUCGGCUUGAAGAAGUAAAGCACGUGCCAUAUUUAACAAAUGCCUAUGUUUGCGUUCGGCAACGCCAUUUUGUUGUGGAGUAUUAAUGCAACUGGUUUGAUGAAUAAUACCUUUGUGAGCGUAAAAGCUGUCAAGUUUGAAUUCAAGACCAUUAUCACUACGAAUCAUUUUGACUUUGGAAUCAAAUUGGUUUUCAGCCAUGUUGAUGAAAUUGACUAGAAGACCCCUAGUGUCAGAUUUGUGUUUCAUAAGAUAAAUCCAUGUGCAUCUAGUAUGAUCAUCAACGAUAGUAAGAAAAUAUUUGGCACCUGAAAUAGAAGGAAUUUUAUAACCACCCCAAAUGUCAACAUGGAUUAAAUCAAAUGAAGAUAUGGUAGUAAUGGAACUUGAAGAAAAUGGAAGUCUGGUUUGUUUUGCUAACGGACAAAUACAACACUUGUCGUUAGAGCAAGAAUUAACUUUAGGAAAUAAUGGAGAGACUUUGGUUGAGGGAUGCCCAAGACGUUGAUGCCAAAGGUUCGGGUUAGAAUUUUUGGCAUGGUUGCAGGUUCCUUUCUUGGCUUGGUCGAGAAAGUAGAGACCCUCCCGUUCAAUUCCCGUCCCAAUCAUCUUCCCCGAACGUAGGUCCUGAAUCACACAAAAUUGGCUUAGAAAAAUGGUGAUGCAAGAAGAAUCAAAUGCUAGUUUGCUAAUGGAAAUUAAAUUCAAUCGGAAAUAUAGGACACAUAAGACAUUAUCAAGGAUCAAAUCAGGAGAUAGAUGAACUCUGCCUAUGUGAGUUACUUGUGCUAUUGAUCCAUUCGGUAAUUCAACAGUGCGGCCAUUAACCGGUCUUGAGUAUGUGAGCAGAUUUUGGUCAUAAAUCAUAUGAUCUGUGCACCCACUAUCCAAAAUCCAUGUACUUCUGUUGCCAUUAGAGAAGAGUGAAAAAGCUUUACCUGAGAGCUCAUCAUGAGUUGGACAGUUACUAACAUGGUUGGCAGAGGAUGUUUUGGUUUUUAACAUGCUGAGUAUCUGUUUGCACUCGUCAGGUGUGAAAGGAAAAUUCAUCUCCUUCCUCUCAUUCGUAUGGGAUGCAACUUGAUUUCCCUUGGAAAUCGCCAUAUUAAAUUCAGCUUCAGUUACUGCUUUCUUCUUGCGACAAUACUCGGCUGUAUGUCCCUUCCAGCGGCAGAAAGUGCAUCUGAGAUGUGCACGACAAUCCUUGGUGUUGUGAUUUGUUCUAUUGCAUCUUGAGCAUCUCUGUUCAGUUUCAGUCUCAUGGCUUAAAUUCUUUACGGCAAAGGCAUCAGCCUCUGGUUGAGCAGGACUUUUCCCAGUUGUCACUUCUGAUUGUUUUUCAUGACGAAGAACCAGUGAGUAUGCCUUGUUGAUUGUUGGUAAUGGAUCCUGCAACAGAGUGUUGCUACGAACACCCACAUAUGAAUCACUAAGACCCAUGAGAAAUUUCAUGGUUUUCUGUGUGUCCAGGUAUGCAGCCACUUCCUUGACUGAUCCACAAGUGCAUGUUGGAAAGGUGCAUAGUGCAUCACGCUCAUCCCAUAAACCUUUCAGUUUUGUGAAGUAGGAUCCCACAGACAUGCUGCCCUGCACACAGUUGUGAAUUUCAUUCUCAAUGUUAAAUAACUGAACCACAUUCACAUGUGAGAAUCUUUCCUUUAAAUCAAGCCACAUUUGUCUGGCAUCCUUGCAGUUGAUGACGCUAGCUGCAAUAUCUUUGGACAUAGAUCCCAGCAGCCAAGUUUUAACCAAACUGUUGCACCGAUUCCAUUGUUGAUGCUCAUCUGGUUUCUUCUCAUCAGGCUCCUUCAUUGAGCCAUCUAUAAAUCCAAUCUUGUUUUUAACUGUCAGAGCCAUAGUCAUGGAUUGGCUCCAUGUGCUGUAGUUGUCUUCAACCAAAGGUUGUGGCACAAGAACAGCGCCAGGUUGAUCUGAAUGGUGAAGGUAAAGCUGGUGAUUGGGAUGAUCCCAUCUUGCUCCUGAAGACAUGCUUCCUUGGUUUUCGUUUCCCAUGGAAGUUGGCUAAAGGGUUUAUGUUUUAUUUUGAUACCUAGAUUAAUUGCUCUGAUACCAUGAAAAGAAUGAUAUCUUUUGUAUUAUGUUACAGAGUAAACAAAGGUUACAAUUUAUACUAAUGGCUUGAUACAAAGAGCCUACAUUAAAGCCUACGAUCAGACCUAAUUAUCACAGAAUAAGGAAACAAAUAAGUGAAGAUUCAAUUACAGUAUUUGACAGACUUGAUUUCCUAUUCUGUGAUUGAUUUCCUAUGCUGUGCUUGGUUUCCUUUAACAAGUUGGGCGAGAGUUGUUUUUCCAAUUCCGCCCAGCCCUACUACAGAGAUGACAUCCACGUCCCGUGCUUCUUGACUACUUUCAGCCAGCAACUUGCUUACAACAUUUCUCUUUUCACCAUCUCGACCAAUCACACUUGAUUCAUCAACAAAGGAGGUAGUUGUUAGCCGCUGGAGUUCAUCAGUGGCUUUGUACAGAUCAAAGCCAUACUUAGCUCUCUCUUUGGCAAUGUCAUCCACUUUUUCACUAACUUCUUUGAUCUUCCGGGCAAUGUCGCGACGUCGAACCACUUGAUUGAAACAAAAGCAAGGAGAUCCCAGGAAGGAACACCGUAUCUUCUGUCGGCUGUGAGUAUUUUCAGCUUCCUCCAUUUUCCAUCGAAGAAUUGCAGUGCUCCAUUCAUCUAGCACGUCAUCCAUAUCAUAACAUGCAUCUUUGAGCUUGUCUAGCCAAUCUCUUACAGCCUUAUCCCUCACUUGUUUUCUAUCUGCAUCUUCAAGGACAGAUUGGAUAUCAAGGAGAUUGCUUUUCAGCUUGUCACAUUGUUUCUUCACAUCCACUACUAGGUUCACCUCUUCUUGUACCUAUUAGUGUACAGAUGAAAAGAAACGUUAAGCAUAGGAAACAUUUCUAUGAUUUCAAUACAAAUUCUUAAUUUUUAGCAAUUAAUAGAUUAAAUCAUUUUUAUUAAACUUUUUCACAGUAGCAAUUAAUAUAUUUAUAUUGUUAAUUAUAUUCAAAUUAUAUAUAAUAACUCUCUAAAAUAAAAUGACUCGUAAAUAAUGUAAUGCUAAGCCACUAUUAUUGCACUAAAAUUUACUAGAUGCGUGAAUUAAAAUAUAUUUUAUUUGAAUAAAGGAUUUCUUUAGAUAAAAAGAUAGAAUUCAUAGAUAUUAUAAUUGUGGAGCGCAAUAUAUACAUUGCAAUUUCACAAUAUUUUUAGGUGACUUUUAAUAAUUAUCAUAGUCUAUUUUUUAAAAUAUUCUGUGAGGUUGAUCAAAAUAAAAAAGAAAUAUUAAUUAGAAUUUCUAUAAUCAUGUUUGUAAUCGAAUAUUUGACUAUAUUUAUUUUAAUCAUUUUAUCAUACUAAUUUUAUUUCAAAUAUAGUUAUUUAUGCAUUCAAAUAUGAUAAGGAAUUAUUAAAAAAGGAAUUUACUACUAUUUUACUAUAUUGAUUUGUUCUAACCAGCCAUCACAAUAACCAUAUUUUGUAUAGCACAAAAGAUAUAAAUAAAAAGAAAGAGAAUCGUAAGAACCCGCUAUCUUGUAAAAAUAAUAUACAUACAUACAUACAUACAUAUAUAUAUAUAUAUAUAUAUAUAUAUAUAUAUAUAUUAACUAAUUUAUUUGAUCACAUGCAAUGUGAUAAUAUAUAAAUCAAGCUACUGAUUUAGCUUCUGACAAAUUAACAGAUAUUCUAUAAGAUAAUGAAAUCAAUGUAUAAUGAACUAUAAAUGUUAGGUUAAUUGCAAAAUUGUAGAAAAGUAAUUAAGUACCUGUUGAUUAUAAAAAAAAGAAAAAAAAAAAAGAAACAAACAAAAAAGAGUACCUGUCGAGCAACGAUCGUGGUUAACUGCUCCAAAAUUGGGGAUACAAGUGCGUCAGCCAUUGUUGUUCUUACUACUGAAUGUGUCAAGAAAAAGGAGAGAAAGUAAUGGGGCGUUGUUGACUGAUGAAAUGAGAAGUUGAUGAAGAUAGGAAGGAUAGUGAUCUACUCUGUGGAGUGCCAGAGAAAAUUAAUUUGAGGUUAUUCUCCAUGAAGUUUAGGCAAUAUAUACUGCAAAUUAAGAUCAUUUGCUUAAGACUGGGGUUAGAGUAUGAUUCUGAACUUCAGUAUAAAGCAACUAAUUUCCUUCAAGGUUGAUGCAAGCAAAGAAUGUUACUGAAACAAUGAGAAAAUAUGUGUAACAAGGAAAAGGAAAAGGCAAAGGCAAAGGCAAGUCUAGAAUUAGCCAUUGCUUCACUUUGGGUUCAAGUAUAAUGCAUCAGUCAUUUUUUUAUUUGCAUGGUUAUGGUUAUAAGAUCACGGUAAUUCUGUAAAAAAUAAAUUAAAAUAAAUUAUUUUAGAAAUAAGUUUCUUGUUGUAAUUAAAUUGCAAAAAAUAGUUAGGAUAAAAUUUAAGAUAAAUCCUAGGGAACACAUUCAAAAUGCACUGUGUACUGGAUUCUCAAUGUUCAUUUUACAGUUUGACAAGAGAAUCUUUCCUUCACUUUCACUUGCACGAUCUUUUUUUUAUCUUCUUUUUUUUUCAAAACUUACAAUCUUUUUUUUUCCCAGAUCUUUUUUCACUGUGUACCCAUUAUUUGUUUGGUUUACGAUGCUUUUUUUUUAAUACCUUAUAAGUGCCAAAAUUACCAACACCAUCAAUAGCAUAAUUUUUUUGCCUUAAUUUUAACUGCAAAACAGCUACCUUACCGCCCCAGCAAACGAGAACGAAAAAGCUCACCAAGAUGCUCUCUUUGAAAAGAUUCUCAAUGAGUCACUGACAUUUACUCUCAUUGUUUAAAAAAGUUAGGGUAAAGUUGAAAGAUAAAAUUAAAAAAAAAAUUAUUGAUUAAAAAAACAUUAUUAUAAUGAAUAGUUCUUUUAUGAUGAGGGGUAUUGUAAAAUCCUCUCCUCUUUUGGUGUCUACUAGUUAUGUGAAUUGUGCUUCACUUCAGGUCAAGUAUUUUUAAUUUUUUAUAAAAAAGGUUGUAUAUGCAGAUUUUUUCAACGUAUUUUUGUACUUUAAAAAAUUUAAGUGUAUAUCAAAAAAUUUAUGCACACAUUUAAUCAAAUAAAUUGAGAAUUAUAUAUGUUAAUAAACAAAUAAAUAAUCAUUAACGACACCUAAAAAUAAAACUUAAAAAAUUGAGAGACAAAUAUAGAUCAAUAUAUUUAAUUUCGCAAAAUAAGAUAUUUACCCGAUCAUGUUUGCUAAAUUUUUUAUUAAAAAAAUUUCUAAUUUAAUCAAAUGAUAAUAAAAUAGAUAAACAUAUUAAAUUGAUUGAAUAAAAUAAAAAGAAAAUAUGAAUAAUAUGCAAGGCUACACAUAUUAGAAAUAUCAUAUAAAAUAAAUAUUUUUUAUUUUCAAAAAUAUAGUUCACCUAUGCAAAAGAUAAAAAAAUUAUAGAUAGAUUAGAAAAAACCUCUUUAAAAAUUAAACAUAUAAUCAAAAAAAUCACCAUUAUUUAGAAGAGGUUAUCUAAACAAAAUAAAAAAGAAAGAAAGGGUGGAUAGUGAUCUACCGUGGAGCGCAAGAGAAAAUUAAUUUGAGGUUAUUAUCAAUGAAGUUUAGGCAAUGGCGCAAAUUAAGGUCAAAUUGGAUGUUUUGCACUUUGGAUAAUGAUAUUAAUUUUUGGUGUUUGGUGAUAGAUUUCUUGUUGUGAAAUAGUUAUGGUAAAAUUUAAGAUAAAUCCUAGUGAACACGUCUUGUUGUGAAAUAGUUAUGAUAGACUCUCAAUGUUCAUUUUAGAGUUCCACAAGAGAAUCUUUCCGUCACUUUCACUUACUGCAAAACAGAGCUAUCAAUUUAAAAAUAUAUAAUUGCUCAAAUCAAGAAAUCAAUCUCAAUAAAUAAUAAUGUUUUAUGGCAACAACAGAUAAUAAAUAUUAUAUAAAUUACUAAGAAGUACUAUCAAUUUAAUAUUAAUAAUUUGAAUAUUUAUACUACUCCUCUGCAGCAUAUGAGAUAGUAAGUGAUAGAAUGGUCCCACUCCCCAUGUUAUGGUUUAUAUUUUGCUUUAAACAGAGUAUAGUUGUACUAAAAAUACACCCCUUUCCCGAAAGGAAGGGGAAGAACACAAUCAAGGGAUUUCUUGUUGUUUGACUUCUCAUGUUUCUCUCCCACCACGGGCAACUGUUUAUUUUCGCCAAGGUGAAUUGAGGCUUCAAGUAGAAGAAAUUAUUUACUGGUUAGAAACUUGGUCGAUUUCACUGUUGUCUUUGAGACAAAUGAAACUGAGGUUUUUGGUUUGCAAUUUGGGCAGAUAAGGAUAAUCCUUAUUGUUUGGUGUUUGAGAAUUUAAUUGGUGCUAAAUUUCUUGUUGUAAAUUGCAGAAAAUAGUCAGGGUAAAAAUUUAAGAUGAAUGCUAGGGAACACAUCUUCCCAAAAUGCACUGGGUUCUGGAUUCUCAAUGAAUGUUCAUCUUACAGUUUGACAAGAGAAUCUUUCCUUCGCUUGCACUAUCUUUUUGUUUGUUUGCCCGAUGCAUGAUUUUUUUACCAAAUAAGGAUAAUCCUCAUUUUUCCUUGAUAAAUUCUAACUACAAAACAGCUACUUCACCAACAAGAUGGAAAAGGCUCGCCAAGAUGUUCUCUUUGAAAAGAUUCUCAGUGAGUCGUUGACAUCUCAUUUUUGGAAUUUCUCCAAUAGCUUGAUGUCUACUCUCACUAUAUUGAGUAGGAUGACUGUAUAGAAUUACUCUGAUUUAUCAACACAUAUCAAAUUCUUGCUGCUGCUGAGGAAGAUAUCUGCACUUAGCCAUCAUAGAGGGUAGCGAAUUUUGUGUUGAUGGAAAUUACACUGACUCAUUGUGUACCAUCUAGAAUUCAAUUUUAAAAAAUAUUGCAAGAAAUGAUGUUUUUUCCUAAAUACAUCAUUCGGGUGUGGAUAGCUUGAUUAAAAUGCGACUCACUAAAAAGUCUUGGUCUUAAUAUGCAAAGAUGAUCCUAGUAUACCAUAUUUCUUUUAAAAUAAAACCCACAGAUCUAGUCCACGCAAAGGUACUGGAAUAUGGAUUUGUAAAAAAUAAAAAUGAAAAUUUAUACGAAAUUGAAUUGUGCUAAAAAAACCCACAGAUCUAGUCCAUGAUCUACGGCUCCUCCAGAGUUCCGUAGUGGUGUCUUUCUCAACUAUUCUUUAAAUAAAAUGUUUGGGAUGUGAGAAAUCUUGUGCCUAUCUUCACCCCUCCCCUCCUUCCCGUAACGUUUCCUUAGAGAAUUUAUGUAGAGGCGCUGUCAAAACAUAGGCCGGUAGUGCUCUCAACAAUGGGCAUUUGAGAAUUCUAAACUCAACAAGUUGUGGCAUGAUGAAUAUUGAAGUCAUGGUGGAAUCUUCUUCUCCCACUCUCCUUUCAAUCCCAUCCCACUCCUCUAGUUCUUUGAGAUGCCAUAUGCUAAGUUUUUUCAAUUUGGGGAAAGCAGGGACUCUUGCAAUUUCUCCUUCAUUAAUAUUGGUAUUGCCAACAUUUUCUUUGCCUAAAAAUCCACCAUCCAACCUUCUCAGCUUCAUGCUCAUCCAUCUGAAAAUCUUGGAAGAAACAACGUGCUACUAAGACUUGAAAAUACUCCUCUCCAACAAGCUCCAUACCUCUACUUGGAGUCUCCUUAAGAUAACCUUGAGCCAUCCACAUCUUCACCAACUGGUCUUUUUCCAUCUCGUAGUCUUUUGGAAACACCGUCUUGCCACAGAAGGUAAAUCGUAGUAACUCAAAAGCUGAGGUGGAAAUAGUGCUAUUUCAACAUGUUCUAACUCCCACAGUUCGCUAGAUAAAACAUGUUCCCACUCUUCUCUUGUUCUUUUACACUGCACUAGACCUCCUAAUACCUUGGCAGCUGGAGACAAGCCCUUGCACUUGCUUGCAAUUUUGCCGCCUAUUUCUGUCAAUCUUUCGCGCUCAUCUUUGAGUUUUUUUUAUUGGAAUGCCACCUGAUUGAAUAUUGACAUCCAUACCUCAUCAGAUACUCUCUCAAGGUUGAUCCAGUGGUCCGUUCCCAUCAUUGUUGCUAUAGCAUGUUUACGAGUGGUCACUAGAAUUCUGCUUCCAGGUGCACCGCCUUUGAGAGAUAGUUUCAGUGGUUCCCAUUGUCCAUGACUUUCUGUCCAUACAUCAUCAAGGACAAGAAGGAACUUCUUUCCCUUCAUUGAUUCAGAAACACUUUGCAAAAGGGAUUCCAAUUAAACUAAACACUUUCCCUCAAGGAUAGCUUUUGCUAUUCUAACCUUAUCAAAUGGAUCUGAUACACACACCCAUAUCUUUUUCUCAAAAUGAGCCGUAACCUCAGCAUCAUCAAAAGCUAGUUGGGCGAGAGUUGUCUUUCCAAUCCCGCCCAUCCCUACUAUAGAGAUGACCUCCACGUCCCCUGCUUCCUGAAUACUUUCGCCCAGCAACUUGCUUACUAAAGCUUCCCUUUCCUCAUCUCGACCACUCACGAUUGAUUCAUCAACAAGGGAGGUACUUGUUAUUCGUUAGAGUUCAUCAGUGGCUCUGUACAGCUCAAAGCCAAACAUUGCUCUCUCUUUGGCAAUCUCAUCCACUUUCUCACAUACUUCUUUGAUCUUGAGGGCAAUGUCGCGACGUCGAGCCACUUGAGUGAGACAAAAGCAAGGAGAUCCCAGGAAGGAACAUCGUAUCUGCUGUAGGCUGUGAUUAUUUUCUUCAGCAUCCCUCAUUUUUCAUGUAAGAAUUGCAGAGCUCCAUUCAUCUAGCACAUCAUCGAUAUCAUAGCAUACAUCUUUGAGCUUGUCUAGCCAAUCUCUUGCAACCUUAUCCUUCACUUGCUUUCUAUCUGCAUCUUCAAGGACAGAUUGGAUAGCAAGGAGAUUGCUUUUCAGCUUGUCGACUUGUUUCUGCACACCCCCUACUAGGUUCACCUCUUCCUGUACCUAUUGGUGUAGAAAAGAUAAGAAAGUUGAAGCAGAGGAAACAUUUCUAUGAUUUCUUUACAAGUUUUUAAUUUUAAUUUUUGGUAAUGAAUAGAUUAGCAGUAGUUGACACGUACUGCGAAAUGGAUUGGCUAUAUUAAUAAUUUAUACAUAAAAUAUUUAUUAAAAACCUAUAUAUUAAAAAUAAUAAUAUUUCUUUUUUGUUAUCAUCAUGAUGAUACCUGUCUGCACUCUUCCACUACAAAGAAAUAUAUAAAAGGAAUAAAAGGAAAGUGAAUAAAAGGAUCUGUAUUUGUUGGUAUUUGUAAAGUCCAUUGACAACUCAUUCUUUUUCCUUCUAAAGAUGUUUGAUUUGAGUAUUUGAGAUUUUAUUUUGUUUUUCUUAAAGGGAAGAAAAAAAGACUUCAUUUUUAUGUUUCUUAUUCAUGGUAGGUUAAUUAGGUCAUUGCAAAUUGUAUAAAAGCAAGUACCUGUUGAGCAACGAUCCUCGUUAACUGCUCCAAAAUUGGUGAUAAAAGUGCCUCUGCCAUUUGCCUGUUUAGUUUAAUUUUAUUUUAUUUUUAAAAAAGAGACAAUGAUGAGAGGAUGAACUGAGAGAGAGAGAGAGAAGAGAGUGUGAGGGGAAGGAGGCUGCUGGUUGUGAAAUGAAGAGAGAGGGUUAGUUUAUGUACUUGGGCCUUGGGGUUUGCUGAUGAGGGUUAAAGUUUUUUUUAGUCCCUGUAUGAUUUUUAACAUUUCAAUUUAGCCCCUAUAUUAUUGGACUUCUCAGUCUAGUCUCGGUCAGGGGUUACAUACUGAAAUGUAUCUGAUAUGGACACUGAUUAUAGCAUUAUACUGAAAUCCUUUCUUCUUCUUCUUCUUCUUUUUUUUUUUUUUUCACUCCUUUAUUAACGUGAUUUAAGGCACUUCUUUCGUUGUCUUUUUCUACUUUUUCAUAAUUUAAGGUACUUCUUUCUUGUUUUAGCUAGAAACAUAAUGCAAGACAAUUAGAAAAACAAAGGAAGAGUGUUUUCAAGAUUCAGGAAUCCGAGAGUGAAGAGCUGACAUGCAGAUGCAGGAACAUAGGAAGAGAGUUGUUUGGUUAUUAAAAUAAGGGCUAAGGUUAUGAAAUCUGGAAAUUGAAAGUCAGAUCUAAAUUACAGAGGAAAUCAGCUAACACCACCGGCGAAGUGAAUUCUUGCAUGACAGCAGCAGUUUCCCUCACAAGUUGUCUGACAGGAAUUGGUUCCUACAACCAUAAAAAUUCACAAGUUAGAACCUUCACGAUUUAACUCUUGGAUUUCACGCUAGAUUCAGCAGCGGUUGGGGUCAGAAUGACAUUGUUGGGAAGAAGACAACUAACAACAAGUCUUGUGAUACAGACAACCUCAAUAAGUACUUUCCAGAUGUAUUAUCUUAACCAGGUCAUCAAGCAUUAGAGGAAUUAUGUACAUGAGUUUGUUUAGAGACAUCAAAAGGAUGCCCAUACACCAUUCAUAAGAUAAGCCAUGGAAAUUUAACAACCUUAUCACUUAUCAGUGAAAUUAAAAGAAGAGCUGAAGAACAAACGUGGAGUUUUAUAUAACUAUAUUAUUUGAUAGUUUUAUCUAUAUUUAUCUAAUAUUUUAAAUAUGUUUUAUAUAUAAAAUAUCUUGAUAUUUUUUGUUUUAUAUCUUGAUAUUUUUUGUUUUAUAUUUUAAAAACACUUUUGAAUAUAAAAUUAAAAAAGAAGUAAAUUGAAGAUAAUUAACAGAUUUGAUCUCCAAUCAAUGAGAUUCAACUCUAGAAGUCGAAACGAAGUGAUUUCAAGGGCAUUAAAAAUCCAACAUCCAUACCUUUCUAUAUAUAUACGGCAAAAAAAAUAAAAAGAGAAAGAGCAUCGAGAUCGCAGCUUUCAAAGACAAAUCUGGCAUUUUAUCAGUGUUGAUCUUUGAUCAUUCUAACUUGAAUAUCUUGAGUUAGAGAAGUUUAUUUGAUGCAAACUCAAUUUUAUUGGAUUCCUGACUCAAAGAUCUAUCAUCAUACCAAAGUUCAGCAUAAAAAGAGCUCAUAUGAGAGAAAUAUAAUUUUUUCUAAGAUGCCACAUGAAUUCUACCAGUAGACAAGUUUUAUGAAGAAAUAAGUACAAAUUAAAUCCCAAAGCAUUCAAACCGACAUCCAAAUCUUUAUUUCGGCAAUUUAACUUCUCAAAGUCAAAAGUCAAAACUUGAAGAAAUUAUGCAAUACAAACACAAUUCUAAACAAAUAUAAUUUCAAAAUUUAAAAUAUUUCUAAGUAGUCAAAAUAGAUUUUUAACUUAAAGUAAUUCAAUUUAAACAAAAUAUCAAAAUAUUUUGAAAGUAAAAUAUUUUAACAAAAAUAUUUUAAAUAUAAAGUUAGGUCAAUGUUAUCAAGGCUAAUGGAAUCUAAAGUAUCCCUUAUUUUGCUCAAAUUCCUACAAAGUAUAAACAUAUAUAUAUAUAUAUAUAUAAACAUGAAUAUAAACCAUAUAUAUUAGUGAUAAAUCCAAUUUUAAAAAAUUAAUAUCAUUGUUAAUAAAAUAGUAAUAAUAAUUUUCAAUAUUAUUAUUAAUAUCAUUGUUAUUGAAAAUAGUAAUGAAAAAAAGCUUUUUAUUAUUAGGCAGUUUAAUUAAUUAAAUUGAACAAGGUUCAAUUUAAUUCAAUGACUUUUUAAGAACGGAACAUAACAUGUGGAAUGAAACCGGAACGUUCCGGGCGGAAUUUAGCUGAAAAAUCCGGAACGGACCGAGAUUUAAAAUGAGAUGAAAUUUGUUCCGUUUUGUUCUGUUUUUUGAAUUGGUAUGAAAUGUUUCGGCCCUGAUGAAACGAAAUGGAAUUGACAAUCUUGCUUCUAGAGAUAUCUUUAAGAGAGAGAGAGAGAGAGAUUACAAGUCAACAAUAAAUGAUUACAAAUGAUUUCAAUCCAAUUACAGUAAAGAGGUAUAUGAAACAUUAGGUGCAUAAACACAACAUUGAAUGAAAUCCUCCACGUAAACACCAAAGCAAACAAUUAAUACACUCAGAAUCAAAACGGAAGCCACUCUGUAGUAGCUCUUUAGUAUCUUCAAAGCCCAAGCUGUCAAACACACACCAAAAGCAUACGUGUCAUCACCAAAACAAUCCAAUGGAUGCCCUUCGAUUUGAUUCCAAAAAUAUUAUAACUUGGAAAAUCUUCAGAUGCACAUGUUAAAUAUAUCAUGUAAUGGUAAACAAGAAUUAGUAAAUAAAAAACAAAGUUAAUUAAUUUGUAUCUUUCUCCUCAUCCACUAACUCUUGCUUCUUUUUUUCCCAUGAAAAAACGGAGAGCCGAAAAUAGAUUUGUUAAAAAUUAAAAUUAUAAUCUCUACGCUAAUAAUUAUAAUAGUAAAAUCUUUUACAGUUAAGAAGUAACACUGGUAGUAGAAUUUACCUGUUAAUUCCUGUCGGUCCUACAGACUUCCGUAGAGGUCUUAACUAUAAAUAGAAAUGUUUGGGAUGCGAGAAAUCUUUUGCCAAUCUUCACCCAUCUCCUCCUUCCCGUAACGUUUCCUUAGAUUGCGGCAACCACUUAUGUCCAAUCCUGUAGAGGCGCUGCCAAAACAUAGUCUGGUAGUGCUCUCAACAACGGGCAAUAUCAAUAUCAACUCUCGAAGUUGUGGCAUAAUGGAUAUUAUUGAAGUUGUGUUGGCAUCUUCUUCUCCCACUCUCCUUCAAUUCCAUCCCACUCUUCUACUUCUUGAGAUCCAAAUAUAAGUUUUUUAAUUUGGGGAAAGCAGUGACCCUUGCAAUUUCUCCUUCAUUAAUACUGGCAUUCUCAUCUUUUUCUAUACCUAAAAAUCCAGCAUCCAGCCUUCUCACCUUCACCCAUCAAUACCAGGCUUUCAAGGUUGGGCAAUCUUCCCAACGGAGGCAAGACCUCCACGUUUUCACAAUCACAGUUAAGCCCUGUAAUCUGGUUAAUGUCAUCAUCCAAUUUGGCAAUCCAACCCUCCGUACUAUAUGGUUAGAUUUCCAAGUCUGACGGAGGCUGUAAAGCUUCAAUUAAAGAGCCUUCAUUCGCUUGCAACUCUGUUAUCUCUCUGUCGAAAAACAAUCCCAAACAACGCAGGCGUUUCUUAUUCUUGAGUUGUGCUUCUGCAGCGUCACUCGCAUCUUCUUUACCGACUCCUAGAUUCUGUAUCUGAAGACUACCUCCAAUGUGAUUUAAGUUUUUUAAUUCUCUCAGAUUAGCUGCUUUACUUCCAUUCUCACCACCACCACACACAGUAAACCGAUCUAAUGUUCGAAGACAUGUUAUCCUCUCUAUUCCCUUUGGUAUGAAGGCCACUUCUGAACCAUAAAUCCGGAGAUGCCUCAAUUUGAUAAGUUUUCCAAUAGCCUUGGGCAAUUCCUUGAGAGACCGACACCAAGUAACAUCUAGGGAUUGCAGAUUGCAUAAAUCACACAUGGUUUCUGGCAGGGAUUCCAACUGAAAACAAGAUGCCAGAUUGAGGUGUCUCAAAUGUAUCAAUUUCCCUACCUCGUUUGGUAUUUCUUUGAUUGAAGACCCUGACAAAUUCAAUGACCUGAUGCAUGUCAACUGCUUGAACAAAUCAGGCAGUGCAGCUCCAAGCGAAGGGUCUCUAGUGUCGAACAAUAGGCUGCGAAGACCUUUUGCUUUGUGAAUGGACACGGGAAAAGAGGUCUCCUCUGACAGCAUCAUGCUUAAAUGACGAACCCUUUCAAUUGAAGUCUCCACUGUUGCUUCUCCAAGUGUAUUGACAUCCACUGUUAGACAUUCAUUUUUUGUCAUAUAUUGGGCAAAAUCAUGCACUAUAUCAUGCAUCUUGAAUCUAAUAUGUUCUCGAUCAUACGUCUUAAAAUCUUGGAAGAAAGAGCGCGCUGCCAAGACUUGAAAGUAAUCCUCCCCAACAAGCUCCAUGUCUCUACUUGUAGUCUCCUUAAGGUAACCUUGAGCCAUCCACAUCUUCACCAAUUCAUCUUUUCAUCGUAGUCUUUUGGAAACAUGGCACAAUACAAGAAACAUCGUCUUACCACAGAAGGUAAAUCGUAGUAACUCAAAAGCAAAGGUAAAAUAGUCCCUCUUUCAACAUGUUCUAGCUCCCACAUUCGCUAGAUAAAACACGUUCCCACUCUUCUCUUGUUCUUUUAGACUGCAUUAGACCUCCUAAUACCUUGGCAGCUAGAGGCAAGCCCUUGCACUUGCUUGCAAUUUUAUCGCCGAUAUCUGUCAAUCUUUCGCGCUCAUCUUGCUUCUUUCCUGGAAUGCCACUGAUUGAAUAUUGACCUGCAUACCUCAUCAGACAAUUUCUCAAUGUUGAUCCGGUGGUCAGUUCCCAUCAUCGUUGCCACAGAAUGUUUACGAGUGGUCACUAGAAUUCUGCUUCCUCGUGCACAGCCUGUGAGAGAUGGUUUCAGUUGUUCCCAUUGUCCAUGAUUUUCUGUCCAGACAUCAUCAAGGACAAGAAGGAACCUCUUUCCCUUAAUGGAUUCAGAAACCCUUGCAAAAGGGAUUGCAAUUCAACCAAAUCGGCCCUCCCUUCAAGCUGCUCAAGGAUAGCUUUGGCUAUUCUAACCUCAUCAAAUGGUUCUGAAACACACACCCAUAUCUUUUUCUCAAAAUGAGCCGUAACCUCAGCAUCAUUAAAAGCUAGUUGGGCGAGAGUUGUUUUUCCAAUUCCGCCCAGCCCUACUAGAGAGAUGACAUCCACGUCCCGUGCUUCCUGACUACUUUCGCCAGCAACUUGCUUACAGCUUCCUUUUCACAUCUCGACCAUCACGCUUGAUUCAUCAACAAAGGAGGUACUUGUUAUUCGUUGGAGUUCAUCAGUGGCUUGUACAGAUCAAAGCCAUACAUAGCUCUCUCUUUGGCAAUCUCCACUUUUUCACAUACUUCUUUGAUCUUGAGGGCAAUGUCUCGACGUCGAACCACUUGAUUGAAACAAAAGCAAGGAGAUCUCAGGAAGGAACACCGUAUCUUCUGUCGGCUGUGAGUAUUUUCUUCAGAAUCCCCCAUUUUCCAUGUAAGAAUUGCAGAGCUCCAUUCAUCUAGCACGUCAUCCAUAUCAUAGCAUACAUCUUUGAGCUUGUCUACCCAAUCCCUUACAGCCUUAUCCUUCACUUGUUUUCUAUCUGCAUUUUCUCUAAAAUAAAAUGACUCGUAAAUAAUGUAAUGCUAAUGCCACUAUUAUUGUACUUAAAUUUACUAGAUGAGUGAAUUAAAAUAUAUUUUAUUUGAAUAUAGGAUUUCUUUAGAUAAAAGAAUUCAUAGAUAUUAUAAUAAUCAUAUAAUUAUGUAGCGCAAUACAUUGCAAUUUCACAAUAUUAUUAUGUGACUUUUAAUAGUUAUGCAUAGUCUAUUUUUAAAAAAAAUCUGUGAGGUUGAUCAAAAUAAAAAAGAAAUAUUAGAAUUUCUAUAAUCAUGUUUGUGAUCGAAUAUUUGACUAUAUUUAUUUUAAUCAUUUUAUCAUAAUAAUUUUAUUACAAAUAUAGUUAUUUAUGCAUUCAAAUAUGAUAAGGAAUUGUGAAAAAGGGAAUUUACUACUAUUUUACUAUAUUGAUUUGUUCUAACCAGCCAUCACAAUAACCAUAUUUUGUAUAGCACAAAAGAUAUAAAGAAAAAGAAAGAUAAUCGUAAGAACCCGCUAUCUAGUAAAAUAAUAUAUAUAUAUAUAUAUAUAUAUAUAUAUAUAUAUAAAUCAAGGUACUGAAUUAACUAAUUUUAACAGAUAUUCUAUAAGAUAAUGAAAUCAAUGUAUAAUGAACUAUAAAUGUAGAAAAGUAAUUAAGUACCUGUUGAUUAUAAAAGAAAGAAAGGAAACAAAAAAGAGUACCUGUAGAGUAACGAUCGUGGUUAACUGGUCCAAAAUCGGGGAUACAAGUGCGUCAGCCAUUGUUGUUCUUACUACUGAAUGUGUCAAGAAAAAGGAGAGAAAGUAAUGGGGCGUUGUUGACUGAUGAAAUGAGAAGUUGAUGAAGAUAGGAAGGAUAGUGAUCGACUGUGGAGUGCCAGAGAAAAUUAAUUUGAGGUUAUUUUCAAUGAAGUUUAGGCAAUAUAUACUGCAAAUUAAGAUAAUUUGCUUAAGACUGAUGCAAGGUUGAUGCAAGCAAAGAAUGAUUCUGAACUUCAGCAUAAAGCAGCUAAUUUCCUACAAGGUUGAUGCAAGCAAAGAAUGUCACUGAAACAACGAGAAAAUAUGCGUAAGAAGGAAAAGGAAAAGGCAAAGGUAAGUCUAGAACUAGCCAUUGCUUCACUUUGGGUUCAAGUAUAAUGCAUCAGUCAUCAGUCAUUUUCCUAUUUGUAUGUUUAUAUGGAAAUGACCUGUCGUUUUGAGUUCCAAAAGUGAAAGGCCCAUUUUUUUGCCUUAAUUUUAAAACAAAUAAAUAAUCAUUAACAUACCUAAAAAUAAAAUUUAAAAAUUAAAAGAUAAAUAUAGAUCAAGAUAUUUAAUUUUACAAGAUGAGACAUUUAUCUAUUUGCUAAAUUUUUUUAUUAAUUUUUUUUAAUUUAAUCAAACAAUAAUAAAAAUAAACAAAUAUAUUAAAUUGAUUGAAUAAAAUAAAAAGAAAACAGGAAUAAUAUGCAAGGCUACACAUAUUAGAAAUAUCAUCUAAAAAAAUUGAUUGAAUAAAAUAAAAAGAAAACAGGAAUAAUAUGUAAGGCUACACAUAUUAGAAAUAUCAUCUAAAAAUAAAUAUUUUUUAUUUUUAAAAAUACAGUUCAUCUAUACAAAAGACAAAAAAAAUUAUAAAUAAAUCAGAAAAAUCUCUUUAAAAAUUAAACAUAUAACAAAAAAAUCAAUAUUAUUUAAAAGAUACUGUCUGAACAAAAUUCUACUGUGGAGCGCAAGAGAAAAUUAAUUUGAGGUUGUUCUCAAUGAAGUUUAGGCAUUGAGAACAAAGAUCAAAUUGGAUGUUUUGCACUUUGGAGUUUGGAUAAUGAUAUUGUAAUGUUUUGAAUUAAUGAGAUAGGAAAAGCCUAGAAACCCCUUGAAGGCUUAGAUGUAGGAAUAAAUUAAAUGAGGGGUAUAGUAGUAAUUGGAUAAAUAGUUGAUAAAUAUAAAUAGGAAGUAAAAAAAUAAAAUAAAUAUAGAAAUCUGAUUUUGAGAGGAAGAGAAUCGGCAGAAGUGAGAAAGGAAAGAAGAAGAAGAGAAAAGAGGGGAAAAUAAGGGGAAAAAGGAAGAGAAUUGGAGGAAAUAAGUGAAAAAGGUAAGAUUUAGGUUGUUUAAUGUGUAUAAUAUGUUAAUUAAGUUUUAAUUUCAGUUUUAUGAAUGUUAGGGUUUUGAGAAUUUGUGUUCGAUUUAAAUGAUGAAUUAAAUUGAAGGUUAGGGGUGAUUGUUGUUGUUUAAUUGAUGAUUUAGUUGAUUAUGGAAGAUUAUGAUGAUUUGAGUUAUAGAAUUGUGUAAAUGGUGAAAAUUGAGUUAGAAAUCAGGGAGAACAGUGGGGUUUCUGUUAAAAUCUGGACUGGAGGUUGAAGAUGACGAAAAAUUCAAUUUGGUCCCUCAAUUCAGAAAAUUACAGUUAGUCCCCGAACUUUGGAAAAUUACAAAUUGGUCCCUGGAGCAUAUUCCGAGAUUCUGAACAGAAUAACAUAUGAAUUAUGGACAUAAUUACUGUAUAGAUAAGAGAAUUUAACACUUUCAAUUUAGUCCUCCAAUUUGACAAAAAGUACAAUUUGACCCUAAAAAUUUAGUAAAAUUCCAGAAUGAUCCCUGAAGCAUAAUGAUACAUCCUGGACAGAAUUGAGGAUUAAUUAAGGUCAGAAUUUCAGUAUAUUCAUGGAUUUAUGACAAAUUUCAGUUUGGUCCUCCAAUUAGACAAAAGUUACAAUUUGGCCCUAAAAAUAUGAUAAGUUCCAGAUUAGUCCCUAGCUGUAAUAUUAGCUUUUGCAGAUUAGUUUGAUGAAUAAUUAAGGGUUAUUUAGUGAAUUAUUACCAAUUUUAUUAGUUGUUUUUAUUAUGGAUUAGAUUUCGGGAAAACCGUUAGAUUUUGGGUUUUUAAGAAAAUUGACUAGUUAGUUCAAAAACAUAUAGGGUUACGGAAUACACCCUUAGUUAAGUGUAUUAAAUAUUAAAUGUUCUUUCGAGUCGUUUUUGAAUAUGUCUCCUUUGUAUUCAGAUAAUCCUGAUAUUCUACCGGCAGGACGUCAGUAGAAUUUCCUUCGGUUUCAGCUUGUGUGUGUUGUUUGCUUUUGAGUCAGGUGAGUGGAUAAUUUUCCAUAUGCAUGAGAAAUAUUAUAAAUAUUUGAUUUGUUAAUAUGAAUUGGAUCAUGCUUCUUGAUAAUAUAUAUGCUGAUUAUUAUCCUUGAUAUGAUAAAGCAUGAUCAAUUAUUGAAUCUGAUUUCUUGAUAUGAACCAAUAUGAUUUGACUUCUGAAUUGAUAGCUCCUCAUUUGAUGGAUGUCAUGAGUUGAGCUUUGAGAUAUGAAUAUGUUUGUUUGAUUAUGAUUAUGAACCUAUGGUAUGUCAGUCAGAAUACCCAUGCUAACAGGGUAGUGUUAGUCUUUGUGCACAUCGUAUCUGAACCCUAGUUGGUCGGGGGAGUCACCAACCUGUGUGGACUGAUCAUCCCACAGUACGGAGCCUCAUGCUCAUUGCAUUUUGAUUUUCUGACGAGUUUUACCAUAUGAUAUUCUUGUUAUGGCCUAUUUGAUAAACCUUCGUAUAAGAACUAAAGCCAUACUUGUAUAUAUAUUUCUCAUUGUUAUAUUACCUCGUAUGUGUAUAUUGAAUGUUAUCUACUCACUGAGUUGUUGAACUCACCCUCUCAUUAUUUAUUCUUUUCAGGCUUAUAGCUUGAUAGCGGGUUACUUUUGUUGAACCUUCCGAACCUGCUUUUGGUUGUAAUUUGUAUCUUUCUUUUUAUGUCAAGUUAGUGCUCCAAAACUAUGAAAAAUUAUUAACUCUUGUAUUAAGACAAUUACAUUAUAUUAUGAAGUUGUUUGUUGUUAAUUAUGCGUUAAACUCUGAUUGAGUUGUUUAAAGGAUUGUAUGUAAGUUUGGGUUCGCAUAGGUUUGGAACCUUGGAGGGGAACCUUGCCUAUGUGCCGGUCAUGGAUCCGGGAUUCGGGUCAUGACAGAUAUUAAUCUUUGUUGUUUGGGGAUUAAGAAUUUGGUGAUAAAUUUCUUGUUGUGAAAUAGUUAUGGUAAAAUAUAAGAUAAAUCCUAGUGAACACGUCUUCCCAAAAUACACUGCGUGUACUGGACUCUCAAUGUUCAUUUUUGCCUCAUUUUGCCUUAAUUAAUUUUAACUGCAAAACAACUAGCUCAGUACCGCACCAGCAAACGAGAAUGGAAAAGCUCACCAAGAUGCCCUCAAAUUAAUGGAGUCAAUGGAGAAAAAAACUGGAGCUGCUGGAGGCCAGACGGCACAUGGUGGAAUAGUUCAUGCCCUGGCAUGCGUCAUCACUGUUCCACCAUGUGCCGUCGCGACCUCCAUUGAACAACAAUGAAAAACAUAUACGAAUUUAGCUUCAUGUCUUUAUAAGAGAAUUUCAUAAACAUACCAUAACAAAAAAUAUCAUAAAAUAAAUCUCUUAAAAAAUAAAAAUACAAUAAACAUGUAGGUUCAUAUUAUAAGAUAAUCAGUUUAUAUAAAUUGUUGACACCCCCAAUCAAUUAAGGAUCAAAUACGAUAUAUAUAAAUAUUAACAAUUAACAAGAUCUUAUUAGCAUGAAUAUUCUAACUAUUAUAUCAUAGGGUUAUAAUCAAACGAACAAAAUCAUUUUCUAAAAGCUCAACUCAUAUAAUUAAUUAAAUAAAAAACUAUCAAUUUAAAAAUACAUAAUUGCUCAAAUCAAGAAAUCUAUCUCAAUAAAUAAUAAUGUUUUAUAGAACAACAGAUAAUAAAUAUUAUAUAAAUUACUAAGAAGUACUAUCAAUUUAAUAUUAAUAAUUUGACUAUUUAUACUACUCCUCUGCAGCAUAUGAGAUAGUAAGUGAUAGAAUGGUCCCCAUGUUAUGGUUUAUAUUUUGCUUUAAACAGAGUAUAGUUGUACUAAAAAUACACCCCUUUCCCGAAAGGAAGGGGAAGAACACAAUCAAGGGAUUUCUUGUUGUUUGACUUCUCAUGUUUCUCUCCCACCACGGGCAACUGUUUAUUUUCGCCAAGGUGAAUUGAGGCUUCAAGUAGAAGAAAUUAUUUACUGGUUAGAAACUUGGUCGAUUUCACUGUUGUCUUUGAGACAAAUGAAACUGAGGUUUUUGGUUUGCAAUUUGGGCAGAUAAGGAUAAUCCUUAUUGUUUGGUGUUUGAGAAUUUGGUGCUAAAUUUCUUGUUGUAAAUUGCAGAAAAUAGUCAGGGUAAAAAUUUAAGAUGAAUGCUAGGGUACACAUCUUCCCAAAAUGCACUGGGUUCUGGAUUCUCAAUGUUCAUCUUGCAGUUUGACAAGAGAAUCUUUCCUUCACUUACACUAUCUUUUUGUUUGUUUGGCCGAUGCAUGAUUUUUUUACCUCAUUUUUCCUUGAUAAAUUCUAACUACAAAACAGCUACUUCACCAACAAGAUGGAAAAGGCUCACCAAGAUGUUCUCUUUGAAAAGAUUCUCAGUGAGUCGUUGACAUCUCAUUUUUGGAAUUUCUCCAAUAGCUUGAUGUCUACUCUCACUAUAUUGAGUAGGAUGACUAUAGAAUUACUCUGAUUUAUCAACACAUAUCAAAUUCUUGCUGCUGCUGAGGAAGAUAUCUGCACUUAGCCAUCAUAGAGGGUAGCGAAUUUUGUGUUGAUGGAAAUUACACUGACUCAUUGUGUACCAUCUAGAAUUCAAUUUUAAAAAAAAUUGCAAGAAAUGUUGUUUUUUCCUAAAUACAUCAAUCGGGUGUGGAUAGCUUGAUUAAAAUGCGACUUACUAAAAAGUCUUGGUCUUAAUAUGCAAAGAUGAUCCAAGUAUACCAUAUUUCUUUUAAAAUAAAACCCACAGAUCUAGUCCACGCAAAGGUACUGGAAUAUGGAUUUGUAAAAAUAAAAAUGAAAAUUUAUACGAAAUUGAAUUGUGCUAAAAAAACCCACAGAUCUAGUCCAUGAUCUACGGCUCCUCCAGAGUUCCGUAGUGGUGUCUUUCUCAACUAUUCUUUAAAUAAAAUGUGUGGGAUGUGAGAAAUCUUGUGCCUAUCUUCACCCCUCUCCUCCUUCCCGUAACGUUUCCUUAGAGAAUUUAUGUAGAGGCGCUGUCAAAACAUAGUCCGGUAGUGCUCUCAACAAUGGGCAUUUGAGAAUUCUAAACUCAACAAGUUGUGGCAUGAUGAAUAUUGAAGUCGUGGUGGAAUCUUCUUCUCCCACUCUCCUUUCAAUCCCAUCCCACUCCUCUAGUUCUUUGAGAUGCCAUAUGCUAAGUCUUUUCAAUUUGGGGAAAGCAGCGACUCUUGCAAUUUCUCCUUCAUUAAUAUUGGUAUUGCCACCAUUUUCUAUGCCUAAAAAUCCACCAUCCAACCUUCUCAGCUUCAUGCUCAUCCAUCUGAAAAUCUUGGAAGAAAGAACGUGCUACUAAGACUUGAAAAUACUCCUCUCCAACAAGCUCCAUACCUCUACUUGGAGUCUCCUUAAGAUAACCUUGAGCCAUCCACAUCUUCACCAACUGGUCUUUUUCCAUCUCGUAGUCUUUUGGAAACACCGUCUUGCCACAGAAGGUAAAUCGUAGUAACUCAAAAGCGGAGGUGGAAAUAGUGCUAUUUCAACAUGUUCUAGCUCCCACAGUUCGCUAGAUAAAACAUGUUCCCACUCUUCUCUUGUUCUUUUACACUGCACUAGACCUCCUAAUACCUUGGCAGCUAGAGACAAGCCCUUGAACUUGCUUGCAAGGAGAUCCCAGGAAGGAACAUCGUAUCUGCUGUAGGCUGUGAGUAUUUUCUUCAGCAUCCCUCAUUUUUCAUGUAAGAAUUGCAGAGCUCCAUUCAUCUAGCACAUCAUCGAUAUCAUAGCAUACAUCUUUGAGCUUGUCUAGCCAAUCUCUUGCAACCUUAUCCUUCACUUGCUUUCUAUCUGCAUCUUCAAGGACAGAUUGGAUAGCAAGGAGAUUGCUUUUCAGCUUGUCGACACACCCCCUACUAGGUUCACCUCUUCCUGUACCUAUUGGUGCAGAAAAGAUAAGAAAGUUGAAGCAGAGGAAACAUUUCUAUGAUUUCUUUAAACAGUAUCUCACAUAAUUUAAUCUCCUGAACUACUAACUAAAGUGUUGAGAGCCAAUUUAAGUUCUCAAGGCUGAAGACCCCAACUAGACUACUGUUACCUAGAAUUCAUUUUACCUACAAUACUCAGUAUGUGUGGCAGAAAAUCGCAAUACCUAAAUGGCUGAAUUUACAAGUAUAUCAAUCAAUUAUGUAAUGAACCGGGUGCAAGUGCAUGGCGCAAGUAUAUUAAACCUACUGAAUUUUUCUUCUACUUUUUAUAUACCAAACCUUGUAAAAAACACCACUGCUCAAAUUCAAAAAUAAAAAGUGGAGGAAAUUUUAAAGUGAUGUACCCCUCUUUGAGUGUCAAGAUAGCGGUGUGUACAGCAUCAUCAAGCUCCAUAUCAUCAGUGUAUCUACAGAGCACAUAUUAAGUUAGGGAAAACAAAAGUUGUUCAAAUCAAAUGAAGAUAUGUGGACAAAAAACAAAAAUAUUUACCAUGUUUCUGUCCAUUCAAUUCUUUUUUUCUCACUUUCUUUUUCUUUUUUCAAAAAAAAGAAAGGCAAUCCAAUUCUUCUUGGAUGGGGUGUAGCUCAAAGUAAGCUGGCAGUUGAAAAUUGAAGGUGGCUUGAUCUUUGAAUGAAGAAUAUGUUUGGCAGUUGAUGGCUGGAGGUGGAAACACAUUUGUUGCUAGCUAGGAGAACCCAUGAAGAUGUUUAGAAGUUUUUGCAGAAUCAAUGCAUUUCAUGGUACCAAAAACAAAUAAAUACCUCUUCUCAAGAAAUGUUUUUGCAUUUGAAACAUUUUUCCCCAUUGCUGAGGCUUUCCAUGAGAAGUAGGAACCUGAUGGAUCGACCUAGCCAAACAAAUACAAAACAUAACAUCAUCGAAAAUGACAAGAAAAUGAGAAAAAAAGAAGAAGAGAGAGAGCUUAAAUUGCAACAACAUUUGAUUCCGAGAGAAGUUUGGCCUGAUCCAACGGCAGUCAAUGCGUGCUCAAUCUGUACUGGCUUUCCGGUAGGACUGAAAGUAGUGAGAGAAAAGGAGUACUGGCUAUCACCCAUGGUUUAUUGCUUGAAGACGCAGAGAGGAAAAACUGAGAAUGCGAGCGUGUGGGAGAGAAAGGCAGGGAUAUUUACUUGGGGUUUUAACUUUGCUUUUCUCGUUGGAGAAGAAGGUGUUUUCUUACGAGGGCUUUUACAAUGGAGUAUAUUGGGCUUUUAUGACGGCAGGUUAGUCCUCUUUACAUUGAGCUCAGUGAAGGCUCGGAACCAGUUUUGUUUUUAAGAAUUAUUAACAAAUUUUAUUUAUUUAUUAAUAUACAUAAUUUUAAUUUAUUUAAUUACAUUUAUAUAUAAAAUUUUUAAUUUAUUAUAUUUUUUUGAACUAGAAAAAUAUAUUUAAAGAACUGCAUGUAUAAAUGUUUAUAAAAAAUAAAAAUAUUUGACUCACAAUAAAUCAUCCAUACUCUUAUAAAAAAGAUGAGUUGCUGCUGAAUUUUGUUGUUGAUUUGUAAUUUAAUUAUUGUUGAAGAUUUUCUGUGUUAGGUUUGGAUAACUUUAUUUGGAUUUAAUCCACUGAAACUGAGGUUUAAGAAUUUCUUGGAUUUAAUCCACUGAAACAGUUGCUUGAUCAAGAUCAUUGGCUUGUUUGUAGGCAGAUAAAGGCAUAAAAAAAAAAACAAAUAUCAUCUUAGAUUAAUUAUAGAUAUGAGUUACAGUAGUUGAAAUUUGAAAGGCAAUUUUUUUAGCGUGGCAUUUGGAGAAUUUAAGUAAGGAAUAAGCUUCACGUGAGCGAGUUAAUAUCACAGCUGCAUUUGAUAGAUUAAAUGAUAAGUAGGAAAUAAAAUCGAAUUACAGUAAAGUUUGAAUGAAAUCCUCCAUGUAAGUAAAGAGGUCACAUAGAGUAAAUAGUAAGGCUUACAUAUUAUUUACAUUCAACCUUAGCAAACACCAAAGCAAAUAAUUAAUACACUCAGAACCAAAUCUUUUACCGUAGAAGAAUUUACUUGUUCCUGCCGGUCCAACAGACUUCCGUACGUUGUGGUGUCCCAUAGAUAUGAUCACUAAAACGAAUGUUUGGGAUGUGAGAAAUCUUUUGCCAAUCUUCACCCAUCUCCUCCUUCCCGUAACGUUUCCUUAGAUUGGGGCACCUUUGUAUGUAUAAUUCCUGUAUAGGCGCUGCCAAAACAUAGUCUGGUAGUGCUCUCAACAACGGGCAAUGACGAAUUCUCAACUCUCGAAGUUGUGGCAUAAUGGAUAUUAUUGAAGUUGUGUUGGCAUCUUCUUCUCCCACUGAUCUCCUUUCAAUUCCAUCCCACUCUUCUACAUCUCCGAGAAAAAAAAACGUAAGUGUUUUUAAUUUGGGGAAAGCAGUGAUCCUUGCAAUUUCUCCUUCAUUAAUACUGGCAUUCUCAUCUUUUUCUAUACCUAAAAAUCCAGCAUCCAACCUUCUCACCUUCAUCAAAAUCAAAUCCAGGCUUUCAAGGUGGGGCAAUCUUCCCAACGGAGGCAAGACCUCCAGCUUUGUACAAUUAUCCAGUCUAAGCGCCUGUAAUCUGGUUAAUGUCAUCAUCCAAUUUGGCAAAUCCAACCCUCCGUACCCAUAUAUGCUUAGAUUUUCCAAGUCUGGCGGAGGCUGUAAAGCUUCAAUUAAAAUGCCGUUAUCCUGGUUGUGGUUGAAAUACAAUUCCAAACGAAGCAGGCGCUUCUUAUUCUUGAGUUGUGCUUCUGCAGCGUCACUCGCAUCUUCUUUACCUCCUCCUAGCUUCCGUAUCUCAAGACUCCCUCCAAUGUGAUUUAAGUCUUUUAAAUCUCUUAGAUUAGCUGCUUUACUUUCAUUCUCACCACCACCACACACACUAAACACAUCUAAUGUUUGAAGACAUGUUACCCUCUCUAUUCCCUUUGGUAUGAAGGCCACUCUUGAACCAUAAAUCCGGAGAUGCCUCAAUUUGAUAAGUUUUCCAAUCGCCUUGGGCAAUUCCUUGAGAGACCAACACCAAAUAACGUCUAGGGAUUGUAGAUUGCAUAAAUCACACAUGGUUUCUGGCAGGGACUCCAACUCUCCACAGGCUACCAAAUUGAGGUGUCUCAAAUGUAUCAAUUUCCCUAACUCCUUUGGUAUUUCUUUGAUUGAAGACCUUGACAAAUUCAAUGACCUGAUGCAUGUCAACUGUUUGAACAAAUCAGGCAGUGCAGCUCCAAGCGAAGGGUCUCUAGUGUCGAUCAAGAGGCUGCGAAGACCUUUUGCUUUGUGAAUGGACACGGGAAAAGAGGUCUCGUUGGGCAGCAUCAUGCUUAAAUGACGAACCCUUUCAAUUGAAGUCUCCAUUGUUGCUUCUCCAAGUUUACUGGCAUCCACUGUUAGACAUUCAUUUUUUGUCAUAUAUUGGGCAAAAUCAUGCACUAUAUCAUGCAUCUUGAAUCUAAUAUCUUCUCGACCAUACGUCUUAAAAUCUUGGAAGAAAGAGCGCGCUGCUAAGACUUGAAAGUACUGCUCUCCAAUAGCCUCCAUAUCUCCACCUGAAGUCUCCUUGAGGUAACCUUGAGCUAUCCACAUCUUCACCAAAUCAUAUUUGCGCAUCUCGUAGUCUUUUGGAAACAUGGCACAAUACAAGAAACAUCGUCUUACCACAGAAGGUAAAUCGUAGUAACUCAAAAGCAAAGAUAGAAAUAUUCCUCUUUCAACCUGAUCUCUAUCAACCUCAUCUAGCCCCCACAGUUCGCUAUAUAAAACACGCUCCCACUCUUCUCUUGUUCUUUUAAACUGCAUUAGACCUCCUAAUACCUUGGCAGCUAGCGGCAAGCCCUUGCACUUGUUAGCAAUUUUAUCACCGAUAUCUGUCAAUCUUUCACGCUCAUCUUUGCUUCUUUCCUGGAAUGCCACAUGAUUGAAUAUUGACAUGCAUAUCUCAUCAGACAAUUUCUCAACAUUGAUCUGGUGGUCAGUUCCCAUAAUCGUUGCCACAGUGCCCUUACGAGUGGUCACUAGAAUUCUGCUUCCUCGUGCACAGCCUGUGAAAGAUGGUUUCAGUUGUUCCCAUUGCCUAUGAUUGUCUGUCCAUACAUCAUCAAGGACAAGAAGCAACCUCUUUCCCUUAAUGGAUUCAGAAACCAUUUGCAAAAGGGAUUGCAAUUCAAUCAAAUUCGGUUCACUCCCUUGAAGCUGCUCAAGGAUAGCUUUUGCUAUUCUAACCUCAUCAAAUGGUUCUGAAACACAUACCCAUAUCUUUUUCUCAAAAUGAGCCGUUACCUCAGCAUCCUUAAAAGCUAGUUGGGCGAGAGUUGUUUUUCCAAUUCCGCCCAGCCCUACUAGAGUGAUGACAUCAACGUCCCGUGCUUCCUGACUACUUUCACCCACCAACUUGCUUACAAUAGUUUUCUUUUCAACAUCUCGACCAAUCACGCUUGAUUCAUCAACAAAGGAGGUACUUGUUAGUCGUUGUAGUUCAUCAGUGGCUCUGUACAGAUCAAAGCCAUACAUAACUCUCUCUUUGGCAAUGUCAUCCACUUUUUCACAUACUUCUUUGAUCUUAAAGGCAAUGUCGCGACGUCGAACCACUUGAUUGAGACAAAAGCGAGGAGAUCUCAGGAAGGAACAUCGUAUCUUCUGUAGGCUGCGAGUAUUUUCUUCAGCUUCCUCCAUUUUCCAUCUAAGAAUUGCAGUGCUCCAUUCAUCUAGCACGUCAUCCAUAUCAUAACAUGCAUCUUUGAGCUUGUCUACCCAAUCUCUUACAGCCUUAUCCUUCACUUGUUUUCUAUCUGCAUCUUCAAGGACAGAUUGGAUAGCAAGGAGAUUGCUUUUCAGCUUGUCACAUUGUUUCUUCACACCCACUACUAGGUUCACCUCUUCUUGUACCUAUUAGUGUACAAAGGAAAAGAAACGCUAAGCAUGGGAAACAUUUCUGUGAUUUCAAGACAAUUUCACACCCCCUACUAGGUUUACCUCUUCCAAUACCUAUUAUUGUAGAACAGACAAGGAAGUUCAAGCAUAGGAAACAUUUCUAUUUUGUAUUAAUAUAUUUUAUUGUGAAAUGGAUUUACUAUAUUAAUAUUUUAUAUAUAAUUAAUAUAGGCAUGAAAAGAGUUCAAUAUUCUCACGAGAGAAGUAAUAUUUCUCCUUUGAACCGACAUAAAAUCUGGUUUUCAUUUUACAUUAAACUAUAGAUAUAUGGAUGUAUAAAGGCAAGUGAAUAAAAGGAUCUGCAUGUAUAUAUUUGUGAAGUCAAUUUAGAAAUAAAGGCAUGAUAAUAAGAUUGUGUGAUAACUAUAUAGUUUUAAUUCACACCAAAUACUCACUCGCUAAUCCUUUGAACUUUUUAUUGAUUAUUUUACCUUUAAUAGUUCAGUUUAAAGAGAAUUGGCAACUCUUGUUUUGUCUUUUUUGGUUUUCUUAUAUUUGGAAUGAUAUAUUUUCUUUAUGUUAUUUUUAGAAAUAUAAAAAAUAAUAAAACUAGAAAAAGAAGUCUUUAAUAAAAUCGAAAUAUAUACUUGAGGAUUUAAAAUAUUAUUUUUAUUUUUUCAAGUUAAAAGUAUUCAUUUUAUGAGAGGAAGAUAAAAGGCUUGAACUUUAUAUAUAUUUCUUAUCUUUGCCAGGUAAAUCAGGUUAUUGCAGAUGGCAGAAAAAUACCUGUUGAGCAACGAUCGUGGUUAAGUGCUCCAAGAUCGGAGAUAGAAGUGCCUCAGCCAUCGUCUGUUUAGUUCUGAUUGGAGAGAGAGAAGCAGUGAUGAUAGGAAGACAGAGAGAAAGAGAGGGUGAAGGGAAGGAGGCGGCUGAUUGUGAAUGGAAGUUAGUUUAUAUACUUAGGGUUUGGCGUUGCAGGUGAAGCUUUUGUAUUUUAGUGUCUCCACAUUUUCUUAUUAGUAUUUGUAGGGACAGGGUAAAGGGAGAUCAGCGCACCUUGUAAUUUUAGCUGGCAGUAAACCUGAAGCAUAGUUUUAAAACCCGGACCGGCCCGGCGGGUCGAUCUGGGACCGGUUCGGGUGAAGGCCAAAACCCGUUUGGAAAUUGACCCGGCUAGACCGGGGACCUGGUUGACCCGGCAAGACCCGGUCUCAAACCCGUUGACUUUUAUUUUUUUUUGUUUUUUUUUUUUUGCUAAAACGACGUCGUUUUGAUUUUUUUUAAAAAAAAUAAAAAAUAAAUUUUGACCCGGCCGACCCGGUCAAGACCCGAUGACCAGGUCAAAACCAGGAACCCGGGCCUUGGACCGGGCCGACCACCGAGCCGGAUCUUAAAACUAUAACCAGAAGUAAUGAGAAAAUAAUUUUAGCCAGCCGGCCCAAUCUAUUUUAGGCUAAUAGUGUGUUAGGCAAAACACAUAUAAGCCUUAUCCCUUUAUUUUAUUAUUUUUUAUUUUAAUAUUUAGCUAAAUAAUUUUUUUUGAAAAUCAAAAAUCAUUAUGAAUGUUUUUGAAUUUAUUUAUGGGUUUCUUUUUUUAUUAUUAUUCAUUGUAUAUUUGUAUAUUUGAUUUUGUGGAUUUUUAUGGUGGAAUGUAAAUAUAGUAUACGAUACAUUUGUUUCUCUUAAAAAAAUAUGUAUGUUUUAAUUUAAAUUCAUUUUAUUCAUUAAUCUAACAACUAUGUAAGUUUCUAGUGACCUUAAGAUUUGUGAGACUGGAACUAGUAAUUUGAGGUUCAACAUCCCAGGUCGAGAAUUAGGUCUUAAUAUGGAAGGGUUAAUCUAGGUUAACCUAAUUUUUUUAAUAAAAAAAUUAAAAUAAUAUCGUUUUGACCGAAUUUUUUUUUUCCAAAAACAAAACUACCAAUAUUUAAACAAGUUUUACUUGAGUCUAUCGGGAUAUUUUAACCAGGUCAAACCAUAUUAAUUCUUUUCUUUAUUAUAUUUUUUUGAAGUUCUUACCUUUAUUACCAAAAAAAUCCCCUUAAUUUCAGAGUCCUUACAUCUCUAAUUAAUUAUAAUUACCUUACCAGUCAUAAUGUUCUUUUCUGUACCUGAUGAAUGAUAUUAUUUCUGAGAUUUUUGAACAUGUAAUGACGGAAGCCUGCGCUGGGCUGGUUCCCUUUGUUACGUUGCUGGAGUCGCAAUGUUUCGAGGUAUCAGACCAAAUUAAUUCUCUUGCUUUUUGCAGCAAAGCUGUAUCUCUUGCUACUUGCUAGAAGCGUAAUCUCAGGAUACCACUGUUUUGGUGUUGCCUCUCUCACCAUUGUUAUUAGGUUGAAUUAAAUACCAGAAGAUUUCUGAGUAUGCAAUGACUGUAUGAUUUAACUAACCAAUACACUAUCAAGGGUGUGGCGUAUGAACUUCAUGCGCCGGCGUGUGUCACCACCGUUCCACCGUGUGCCGUUGCGGCCUCCCCAUUGAAGGUCCAAUUUUCAAGCUCACAAGCAUGACAUCUUUAAACCUUACUUGAGGUUCAACAUCCUAGGUCAAGAAUUAAGUCUAGCAUGAAAGGUUAAUCCAAGUUAAUUUAAUUUUUUUUUAAAAAAAAAAUUAAAAUAACAUAGUUUUGAUUGAUAUUGAUUUUUUCAAAAAAAAAAAAUCCAACAAUAAUUAUAUUUUAACCAGGUCAAUUCAUAUUAAUUCUUUUCUUUAUUAUAUUUUUUGAAGUUCUUACCUUAAUUACCAAAAAAUAUCCACUUAAUUUUGAGAUAUAUUCAAUUUGGUUUUGUAAACAGUACCUUAACAUAUUUUGAUUGAAAUUGAUUUUUUUUUUAAAAAAACCCAACAAUAUUUAAAUAAGUUUUACUCGGGUCUACCAAGAUGUUUUAACCAGGUCAAGGCAUAUUAAUUCAUUUUUUAAAUUAAGUUCUUACCUUAAUUACCAAAAAAAAAAUCAGCUUAAUUUUGAGAUAAAUUAAAUUUGGUCCUAUAAACAGUACAUUUUAUUUAGUUGAUCCAUCGAAUAUCUGGUGCUAUUCAAUUCAAUUUAACCAAACUUUUAUUUGGUUGAGAAGAAUUUGACAAUCAGAAUCCUGUAAUAUUGAUGAUGGCUCUUGAACUGGAAACCAUGUUUAUAUCGCAGAUAUAUUCUUGGACACCAUUCAUAUAAAGGUGAACAAUUAAGCACUCUCAAAAACCAAAUCAUAGGGAAGAGCUCAUCAACUCGAGCGCCACCAGAGAUUUACAUUUGCAUGUGAGUUGGGAUGCAAGAAUCAAUGAUUCUUAUGAGGCUGAUCACACAAUUCUAUGUGAAUUUGGGUGCGCAAUACUUUUAAGGAGAGAACUCAUCCUAGUCCAAGCACAUUAAACUUCGGAAUUCUUAUGGCAUAAGGUGUACGAUACUAAAUACACAAGUCCUAGUUAAUAUCCUCUACCAUGCAAUGCAGUGGUUCAGUCGCACCAUUUCAAAUUGUUAUUAUGUCUAUAAUCUAUGUUCAGGUACUGCAAUCUAUCUUGAAUUCAUGGUCUUCACUUAAUAACAAGUUUGGUCUGGAGAAUCCUUUAACUUGAAAGGGGACUUGUCUUUUACUUGUAGAAAUGCCAACAUUAAAUUGUUAAUAUUAAAUUUUUUUCUAUUUAGUUAUUAAACUUUCAUGACACGGAUUCCGGGUUUGACAGGUUAACCUGGUUUGACGAGUUAACCCAGUUAAUUCUGGGCUAACCCAUUAAUUUGUUUUUUCCUUUUUAAUUAUCAAACUUUCACGAUGUGAAUUCAAGGUAUGAUGGGUUAAUCUGGUUUGAAAGGUUAACCCAAUUAAUUCAUAUUUUUUUUCUUUUUUUUCAUUAGUUUUUUUUUUCUGUUGGUUUUUUUCUUUGUUUUUUUCUUUUUAACUAAUCUAUUUAAUUAUCACACUUUUAUGACACGACCUUGCAGCCAGAUCUACGUCCAAUGCUAUUGGGUAUAGUAUUGUAGUGCAUACACUUUUAUGCUAAGAGUUAACCCAAGUUUAAUGUUAUUAUUAAUAUUAUAAAUAUUACUCUUGGAUCAGGCGUUGCAACUAAAUCUAAAAUUCUUGGAUAUAACUUUGUAAAAAAACCUAAUAUUUUUAGAUCUUGGCUUUUUUUUAAAUGUAAAAAAUAAUUAACCUAUGGCAUCGCGCGGGGCAUGUAACUAGUAAUUUCUAAAAGGAAACUCAUCCUAAACUUCGGAAUUCUUAUGAAUUAAGUGUACCAGGCUAAAUAUCCUCUACCAUGUAAAGUAGUGAUUCGGUCGCUCCAUUUCAAAGUAUUUUUAUGUCUAGAAUUUAUAUGUUUUGGUAACUUUUUUUUUUUUCUGGGUGUUCAUGGUCUUCACUUAAUAAAAGGUUUGGUCUGGAGAGUCCUUGAACUUAAAAGGGGCUGUGAUGGCAUUUGGAAGGCACACGUACUGGGGGACUUGUCUUUUACUUGCAGAGAUCAUAUCCAUUGGUGAACAUUUUUCGCGUUAGGUUUGGAUAACUUUAUUAUGAUUUAAUCCACUAAAUCAAUGUGUAUCAUGUUUAAAAAAGAAAAAAGAAAAAACAGAGAGAGAGAGACGAUGUGAGAAUAAAUGGGAAGUAGGAAAUAAAAUCCAAGUCAACAAUAGAUUACAAAUGAUUACAAUCCAAUUACGGUAAGGAGGUGUAUGAAACAAACGGUGCUUAAUACAACACUGAAUGAAAUCCUCCAUUUGAUUAUACCAGAAUGCCCUUCGAUUUGAUUCCAAAAAUAUGAAGGGAAAAUCUUCAAAUGCACAAAGUAAAUCGGAACCCACAGUGAAGUAGCUCUUCAGUAUCUUCUAAGCCCAAGCUGUCAAACACAGACCAAAAGCAAACGUGUCAUAACCAAAAUAACCCAAUGAAUGGUAGAUGUUAAAAUGAGCAUUCCAUUUUCUGAAUGAAAAAAAUCCCAGUGACCUAGCUAUGACUUACAUAAUUAAUUAAAAUGGAUUUGUUAAAAUAUAGUAAAAUAUUAUACCGUUAAGAAUUAACACUGGUAGAAGAAUUUGUUGGGCGGAAUCCAGCGAUCGGUGAUGAACUGAUUAUUACUUAACGGAGGGGCAAGCACACUGACAACAAUAUUUUACGUGGUUCGGCAAAAUCACCUACAUCCACGGGAGAGAGUCCAUUUAUUAGAGAUUAGAAAAAGGAUAUAAUAAAUAUAUAGAGGAGGAUCUAAUCACUCAACUCCCAUCUCUCUUGCUGUCCUUGCAGCUGCUGCAAUGGCUGCUGCCAUUGCAGCUCUCUUUUUCUCUCUAUCCUCUUACGUUUCUCACACACUCCUCACCAGAUUUAGCUCUCUUUGCAUGCUUCUUUUAUAGGCAAUGAAUGGUCAUCAUGGAGGGGCCAACAUGCCACCAUUAGUGGCACUAAUGGAGCAACCACUUGCUUGGUGGUGGUGGCCACUUGCUUGGUGGUGGGGGUAUUGCCAAUAAAUGGCAAUAUCCUAACAGAAUUUACAUGCUCCGUCCGGUUCUAAUUAAAGAGUUCUGUCUUUCUCACCUAUAAUAAUAUAUCAUGAAAAUAAAUGUUUGGGAUGUGAGAAAUCUUUUGUCAACCUUCACCCAUCUCCUCAUUCCCGUAACUUUUCCUUCGAAUGCGGCAACCACUUAUGUAUAAUUCCUGUGGAAGGGCUGCCAAAACAUAAAAGCUGUCCCGUUUAUGUUGGAUUAUGCAAACAUGGAGGUAUCUAUAUUGAUUCUGAUAUCACAGUCUGAAUUUAUUGUCUUCCGUUAGUAAAUCUAUUGGUCUGAAGAAUCCUCUGUCUGGAAGUUCUUUGAAUGGGGCUGUGAUGGCAUUUAGAAAGCACAGGCACCAGGGGGCUUGCCUUUCACUAGCAGAAAUCAUAUUUAUUGUUGAAGAUUUUUUGUGUUGGGUUUUGAUAACUUUAUUUGCAUUUAAUCCACAAAAUCGAUGGGUAUCAUCUCUUUUAGAUGAAUGGUUUAGCUUCCAAGUCUACCAUUCUCUCAUUUAUUUGGACUUAAUCCACUGAAACUGAGGUUUUAUUUGCGCGGAUAAUGAUAAUAUUUGGUGCUAAAUUUCUUGUUGUGAAUUGCAGAAAACAGCUGCUUGAUCUUCACUAGGAUGGUGGUUGCAAAUAAUAAUUAUGCAACCCGGUACGAGUUGCAUGUUAAAUAACUAGUGUAUAUGUAGAUACAGAUGAUGGUAUUUUUUUUUUAUAAUGACCCGUCCGUGUCGUUGUAAGAGGGGCCACCGUUGAUUGUGCCUUGGCCAUGGAGUGAUAUUCCACGCACCACCAACACUGUUCAAGAGCCACACGAACAUGGAGGAAUUACAGGGGCUGGCAGGGGCAGGGUCCUGCAAGGUUUUUUUUUUCUUCAAUAAAUUAGAUUUUUAUCUUUAAAAAUAUAAAAUUUAAAAUUUUGGCCCUCCCUCUAAAAUCUUUUAUCUAAUUUGACAUUCCCAAACUACAAUUCCUAACUCCGUUGCUUACUAUACACACGAAGUCAUUGUUUUAUGAUGAAAAAAUAAUAAAUUUUUUCUUCUUUUCUUGUAUUUUUAAAUUUUGGUUUUCUUUUAUCUUAGAUUUUAUGAAUGAUGAAUUCCAUAACAAGGAUGAUACAUGCCCAUUAAUCAUACAUGUCAUUAAUAACUUUAAAACAUAGACACCUAAUGGUGAAAAUUAUAGAUACAACCAUCAAUUAAAAAAUAAAAACAGCGAUUAAAUAUAUAAAAAAAGUAAUGGAAGUACAAGAAAUAAAAUAGAAAAAUUAAAAUUAGAGACACUUCCAUUGAAAAAUAUAAAUAAUUAGAGGCCCUGAAAACACUAUACACACACACAAGAUUAAGCGCAUUGAAUAAACAACAUGGAUUGUUGGAGUGGCUGUUUUUCCAGGCCUUGGUGAGGUGGUGCAAGUAAAUGAAUUCACACCAAAUACUCACUCGCUAAUCCUUUUCAACUUUUUAUUGAUUAUUUUACCCUUAAUAUUUCAGUUCAAGGAGAAUUGGCAACUCUUGUUUUGCCUUUUUCGGUUUUCUUUGUUAAAACUUCCUAAUCGUGUAUACGAGCAUAAAAGAAUAAUAAUAAUAAUAACAACAACAAUAAAAAUAAUUACUGCAUUAAUUUUUCUCGGAAAAUGUUUUGAUGGGCACCUUUACAUAUUUUCCAUAGAAAGUGUCUAAGAUGCUCUAUGAUAAGAUUUCAAUCCAAUUAAAUAUUUUACAUAUUCAUGGAAAAUCCUCUCCUUGAAUUCUUUUUGCCUUUAUAUCAUAAAUUUUUUAAAAAAACCCUAUUCAUGUUAAAACAAACUUUUCUAUUUUAAUUUUUAAAAAUAGAAUGUUUAAUAAGAGAUAUUAUUAAAUAAUCAUAUAAUAUUAUAAAUAUUAUUAUUAUGAAUUUCACUUUUCACAUGAACAAGAAAGUAUUGCAUUAAAAAUAUCUAAUGAUAAUAAAAUUCUCUUAUUAUACAAGGUAAUUAAAGUUUUUUUAACUCAAUAUAUGUUGAUCAAUACAUGGAUGUAAUUAUCCUGUUAUUUGUGGAUAUCAUUAAAUAAUUAGUAAAAAAAAUAGGUUUUCAUGAUUAGAAAAAUAAAGAAACUUUGAAAAAAAAGAGACAAAAAAAGACAUAAUAUUUAAUGUCUUUGAUUAUUUAUUUAAAAAUUGAUAUUUAUUAACAUUUUGAUACUAGAUAAAUGGGGGAUCUAAUCGGAAAUGUAUUUUGUCUGUAACCCAAAUGAGAAUAAAAAGAUAAUCGGAGGAAAAACAAGUUGUCCUUUUCCCAAAAUAAAAAUAAAAGAGAGGAUAUGGUGUGGACAUUGAGAAAACAAUCAUUUUCAAUAACAACUGAUUAUAGUCAAUUUCAUCCAAAUACUUAUCUCUUGGAAUGGUGUUUUUUUUUUUUUUUUUGUAAAAAAAUCAUUUCCUAUAAUAGUAUUCCAUGCUAAUACAAGAGUUCGGAGGUUUGAUAUAAUAUAAAUAUGAAUCACAUUAAUUAUUUAAUUCCAUCCUAAUAACUGAAAUCCUUUUCUUUUGAGUUCUAUGGACCUGAUCAAGGAACAUUAAUCAUGCAGGAAGAGCAGGCCUCCAUGCCCUUAUGCAUUGUUCUGAUUACAGUGGUAACCUGUUCAAUUUGAUCUUCGCUUGAGCAUGCUGAUAGAAGUACUUUGGCAGUUCCUCCAUCAGGGUGACAUCCAGCAUCGAUCAUUUCUUCAAAGAUUUCCAAGCAUCUUGCGUAUAGUUUCUUUCUAGAGUAGGCUCCCAAUCUUGAAGUCCAAGUCACAACAUCAGGUUUCAGAUUUUUGGUUGGAAGUGAUUGGAAAAUACCUUCCAUUCUCUCGAAAAAUCCUGCUCGUCCAUAUAUGUUGAUUAAGAUGUUGUAUGUACUGAUAUCAGCUCCAUAAGGUCCCUUUUCCAUUGCAGUUAGAACUUCCUCCAUCUUUUCAAAUUGGCCAAGCCGGCCAUACAAGUGCAUCAUGCUGUUGAGGACAAACGUGUCUGGUUCAAGCCCAGAUUCGCUCAUCUGGUUAACAAUUUCUUCGCAUUUAUCCACAUUUCUUGCCCUUGAGUAGGCACACAGAAGUAGCAUGUGUGAUUUCAUUGUAGGGGUUAUUCCUAGUCGCUUCAUCUCAUUGAAUACCGCUUGAGCAUCUAAAAAACAUGAAGGAGCAGCCAAAUCAUUAAGCCAAAACUUCAUUCAAGGAGCAUAUACGAAAAACAAGAGGAAUUUCUUCUAAGCAAGGAAAGGUGUCGCAAAUGGAUGAAAUGCUGAUAGCCUGAUAAUAUCUCAUACAACUUUAUCUUGUUUCCUAGGAAAUCUUAGAAAUAUUGUGGAAGAUCUCCAGAAUAAAAUUGAACACUGUUCCAAAAUAUAAUCCAAAUGUUGCAAUAUAGAUCCCUUCAAGUUCGUAGUUGAUCCGAACGUUUUUAAACCAUUACAUGCUCAAAAUGUUCCCAAAUUCUCUGGAGCUUAAUCUUUCCCCAAUUCUCACUUAAUAAAGUACAUUGAUACUAUUUGGUUCAAGCAUCUUACCCUCAUGAAGGCCAGCUCUCCCAUACGCAUCUACCAUGAUGUUAUAUGAAGCUCUAUCCGGCUCACAGCCCAUGUGCCGCAUGAGUGAAAAUAUUUCUGCAGCCCCGUAAGGAAAACCUGCACGACUGUUAGGACAAGAUAGUUAAAUAUCAUCAGUUCUAUUGGGAAUCUCUUGGAAGCAAGAAGCAGCACCUCCAGUAUUCUUUUCCAUUUUCUUUGAAAGAUUAUUGAAACACCAUAUCAUUCUAUGAUACUAACCUGUAAGCUUCCAUGAGCGCGUUGUAAGUAUACACAUCAGGCUCAAGCUUAUCUUCUUGCAUCUGCUCAAAUAUUUCUUCUGCCUUCUCACAGAGUCCCUCUCUAGCAAACGCGUUCACCAGAGCUGUGUAUGUGCAGAUAUCUGGUCUGCAUUUUUGACUUCUCAUUUCGUUAAACAACUUCAAGGCCAUGUAAGAUUGACUUGCCUGUGUACAGGAAAAAGAUUAGCAAAAUGAGUUUUUAAGGAUCCUAAACACCACUGUUGUCCAGUUAUCAGAAUUUAUAACCAUAUCCUUGAAUUUAGUCUGAUAAUUGUUUGAAAUUGAAUGCAUAUAUUUCAAGUUGUUUGUUGUAUCACUGUAGACUCGUAGACGUACGAGUUACGCAUAAUUUUCUACUGGGACCAGUGGCAUUUCAAGAAGAUCAGAUUUGCAGAAUAAUUCAGAGCCAAAUACCACUGAGCUUACCUUCCCAUGAAGGUUGAUCAACAGUGUAUAGGUGUCAGUAGAGGGCUGGCAGCCAUCAUUUUUCAUUCGCUGAAAGAUCUGAAUUGCUCUUUGAGGGUUUCCAGCCUUCGUUAACCCAUCAAUAUAAGCAUUGUAUACAAUUGCACCUGGCCAAAAUUAGAGUAUAUGCUCACUUUUCACUCAUAGAAUGUGCAUGCAAGUGUAUCAACUAUCAACAGAACAGCUUGAAAAACGAAAAUCUGAGACGUAAAUAAGAGAAUGAAACACAAAAGCAGAACUAAUGCCCUGUAUUUCACCACCACAAAAAGAAGAGAAAUAACCCACGCAAUCUCAUAAAGGAAAGCUACAGAAGCAAGUUUGUCAUCCAGGAGCCUCUAGCCUAAUCCAGUUCCGGUCUAGCUAAAUUAGCAAGGGGGUCCCUCUUGGUUUAAUCAACCAUUCUCUAAGCAUGGUGAUGUAGAUAAGGAGUAGUAAUCACUACUAUUAUAGUAGCAACAAGAAAUAUGCAGACCAUGAACCAAUCUUCUCUUUUCCUACAUUUAGUAUACUUCACCCCCGAAAAGAAAAAAGAAAUACAGCUCUGUGCAAUUAUUGAGCAAGGUUUCAAAAUUUAAAACGAAUUUAACCCCACAAAAAAUCAAUUUUUGAGGCAAAGAAUCUUACAAGUUGAGGAAAUUUUUGUUUUGUAAGAAAUGGUUGAUGUAGUCCAAUAACUUCUUGAAAAUACAAUUUCCCUAAAAGCUAAGAAGAAAUGAAUUGGUAAACACAUACUUGGAGGAAGGCUAUACUUUCGCAUAUCAACAAAGGCAGCUUCAGCUUUUUCUAACAAUCCACAUGCACAGUAAGCCUUUAUAAGAAGGGCAUAAGUGUCUUCAGUAGGGAUACACCUGGCUUGAAGAAGAUCAACAUAUGUUUCUUCUGCCUUCUCGUACAAAGAUUUUUGCCCAUAAGCAUCUAUUAGUAAAUUGUAGCACAUGACAUCUGUCUGGAAGGAGCUCUUGUACAAUAUCCAUUGACAUAUCUGGAAAUUUUAGAGUUACACCCAACAAGAUUAUUAAGAAUUAAGAACAAACGAUAUGAAAAAUGUCUAUAUAAUAAAUAGAGACAGUAAAGAGAUUUGUUUCAUUUAGUUGUAGGAAAAUGCUGGUAUAUGAGAAUUCCAAACACCAACUGCAGCACCAACCACUUAAAGGAGAUUUGAACAAUCGAGGAUUCAGUCUUAAUGGUUGAAGAGAAAAAUACUGUACAAAAAUCCUGCCACAAAAAUUUGUGCGUGCAAGGUGGUUUAAUCCAUCGCCUACCACCUUACACGAUGAAAGAAAUAAGGCACGAUUUACUCACCAAUGCAAUCGGAUCCCAUUGUUUAUUCAAACGAAGUUGGACGGCUACAUUAAUAAGAUCAUCCCAAGUCUCGUGAGUGACAGGAAGAGUAUCAAGAGCAGCCCAAACAUUAUUCGGAUCCACUUCUUUCCGCACAAAGUUCAGAAUCUGAUGAGCAACAGGACUUAGCACUGGGAAAAUUCCAUCAACAAAUCCAGAUCCAUAUUUCCAUCCUUGUCCCCUCAAAGAGCCACCUGGGUAUAAAAGAUGACUUAAUAAUUAAAGCCAUAUUUGCUUGAGCAGUUAUAUGUAUGAGCACAAAGUGAAUUACUCCGUAUUACAUCGUUUCCUGGACAUCUUUUUGUGAUCAAAGAUUCGCCAUUUGCCAUGUUUGUCGAUAUAGACCCUGUCGCUUUUCCACUUUUUAACAUCUCCACUACUGGAAUUCUUUUCUCGGCGUCUGAAAUGACCAUUCCGGAUUCUUGAUUCUAUAAAAAUAUGAUUCAGUGUGCAUCUAACAAGCAACCUGCAAACACUAAUCAAGUAAACACACAAUUGCCAGCAACAAAAUACACACCUCUUAAUUUAAAGCCAUUACACGGAGGAAGCAACCAAAUAAAAUCCAUAUAAAGGAUGCUUUAGACUUCAAAAUAAUUGGACAAAGAGAGACACUAAAACUACUUUUAAUCACAAUAGCAAACACUUGAAAUGCAAACCAGAAAACCUAGUUAAAAAAGAAGAAGAAAAGUAGUCAACUUUUCCUUUGUAAACCAAAUAUCUUUUCCCUUUCUUCCGCAGUAAUUCUUAACUGCUGUGAGUAUACGUUUUUUUUUCAUUACAGAAUCAAAUAUUAGUCUAAUCUAUCAGAUUAAACUACAAAAAUCAAAAUUUGCAAGAUAAACAAGGCCACAACUGUUGAAGACUGGUUAGAGUUCAACAACGAUAAGCAUAGCACUCUGACAGCUAAAACUGGUCCAUCAUCUUAUAACUUCUGAAGUCACAGUAAGACUUUUUAGAUAAUGAUGAUUGCUCGUUCAAUAUAUAUGAGAGCCAACAAAAUGCUAAAAUGUUUUAACUAAUAAGAACACAAAACAAUUUAGACAUACUCUCUCAAGUGAACGUUGAUACUUAGCAAUUCCAUUGAAACCCAUUUCCCAGAACAAUAAAUUCCAUGAAAAAGCAAUAUUAUCCAGCAAGAGGAGAAACACCAGAAUUGAAGUUAAUAAAUACAGAAAAUAACAAGGCAGCAUGAACAGCAUUAGCAGUGGCAUUGCAUAAGGAAAGAGAGGAAGGAAGGAUACGACUUACAUGAAAGCAUAAAAGAGGAGUUUGGAGUUGGGUAUCUGUAAACAUCCAGUAGGCAAGAAGAUAUGUGAAGAGUGUUUCUUGGAUAAUGGACUACAUGGAUGAAGACCAGCACUGCCAGACAAAAGUAGCUUCUGUUUUUUUCUGUUUACUAAGGGACAAAAGCCUCAAAAUAUCUCUAACGAACUUAAGGCGUCAAACAAUAGCGUUAUUGUAGCCUCGUGGUGUCUGAGGUUGCAUGGGAUUCUAUAUUGAGACAGUAGCUGAUAGCUAGAAUAAUCAAUUCUAAAAAAGUUUAUUUUUAAUAAUAAAAAAAGAAGAAGAUCAAAGGUUAAUUUGUUUAAACACAAUGGACAAAUUAUUGUCAUUAUUAUUAGUAUAAUUUAACAGCAGAUACUCCAGCAUGACACUUGUUGCAAAGACGAAGCUAUGAAGUGCCAAUUGAGUUGCAAUUCGACUCUACUAGCAGAAGUUUCCAUGCUAAAAAAGCGAAAACUGCUGUUAAAAUGGGUUAAAAGGCUUAUUGAGGUUGGGGUGAUUUUUUUAUUUUUUAAAAAAAUUAAUUCGCUUUUAUAUUUUCAGAGUUAAUAUUAAUUUUUUAAAAUAAUAAUAAAAAUAUCAUUUUAAUAUAAUUCCAAGCAAAAACAUAUUUCAAGGGCGAAACUUCCAUUCUCUUAAUAUAAACAGGGUUACGUCAUGCAUUUCCAUUUUUACAACAGUAGUUUUGGCUGCAAUUAGAUGGGGCAAAAUAAGCUAUAACUUUUGUGUGACUUGGAUCAAAUUGAAGAAAUAGAGUGUAAACUGAAAAAUUGAGGCAAGUACAAGGACCCAAAAAUAAAGUAAGCAUUUUAAUUCGAUAUCCAUAUUCCACGGUCCCUCUCUUUCCUUCUUCGGAGCUCCAUUGGAAUUAAAUGAGAACGGCCAUAUUACAGGUCAAGCAUUGAGAGGAGAUAAAUAUAAUUGAAAAGACCAAUUUUCUGCACUCUGUCAAACGUAUCAUAUAGGAAAUCAUAUUGAUGCAAAACUUUAGAAGCCAUCUAAGAUUGGAGAGAAGUUUUGUAACAUUUCCACAUCACAGUUCUACAAACAUGGAAUUAAUGGAAACUUCGGCUAAAAGCAACUGAUUCAAGCAAAUUCCAGAGGAAAGUAACACAAGUAUCUCGAUUGGUGUCAAUACUGGCAAGAACUCCACUUUAGCCAAAAAAUACAAUGUCUAUUCCACUUCAGCCAAAUAAUCAUCAAUUUCGGCUGGAGUUAGUACCCUGCAGUAAAGAAAGCACAAGGGAUAAGUUUGCCAUGGUCAUGCCACACAUAAAUUCUUCCAAGGAAGCUUAAACAUCCAAAGAAAUAGUGGAUUGGCCAUUUUGAACACGAGAUCCAUAUGUAAAUUGUCAGACUGAAACUAGAGCAAGGGUGCGUGAAAAUCAGAACUUCAAAACUGAAACCACAAGUGGAAGGCCAUAUAUGAAAUUGGUGAGAUCCAAAAGAUUUUAGAUAUCAGAUUUUAUCUAGUUAUGAACUGUGUUAACAAAAAUGUGCAUCCUGCAAGUUACUUCUGGAACUCAUCCUAAGCUUGAAAUUACGUGACACUAUUACCAAGUUUAACAAGGAAAAAGGGUACAAUUUCAAUGUUUUUCAAAGAGCAUGCCUGAAUUGACAUGCAAAGACACCUGGUACAGCUGUGGACCUUUGUCAUCAAAACCAGCGAUUAGUAAAGAUACUCCAAAAGGCCUUACACCUCUGCGAGGAAAAACAAAGGAUGAGUAUUUUCAAACUUCAAGAAUAAGAGCAUGAAGAGUUGACAUGCUGAUGCAGGAACAUAGGGAGAGAGUUGUUGGCCUAUUAGAAUAAGGACUAAGGUUAUGAACUUUGGAAAUUAAAAUUCAGAUCUAAAUUACAAAGGAAAUCAACUAAAACCACUGAAACACUUUGAAUGUAUAAAAGAUGUUCCAGUACCCAGAUUGAGUAAACUCUUGCAUGACAGCAGCAGUUUCCCUCACAAGUUGUGUGACAGGAAUUGGUUCCUACAAUCAUAAAAAUUCACAAGUUACAACCUUCCCGAUUAACAACAAAAGAUGACAAUGAAUUGAUAUAAAAUAGUAAUUGGAUAUUUAACUCUUGGAUUUCAAGCAAAAUUAAGCUGUUUUGGGGGUCAGAAUGGCAUUGUUGGGAAUAAGACAACUAAUAAGAAGUCUUGUAAUAUAGACAACCUCAAUACCUGCUUUCCACUUUGGACCUUAGCACGAAUAUCUAAAGGAAAUGUAAUUACCCCGACGCCUCCCCAGGCGGGUGAUAUCUUAUCUUAACCAGGUUAUCAAGCAUUAGACGAAUUAUAUACAUGAGUUUGUUUAGAGGCAUCAAAAGGAUGCACAUAUCCCAUUCAUAAGAUAAGCCAAGAAAAUUUAGCAACCUUAUCACUUAUCAAUGACAUGAAAAGAAAAGCUGAAGAACAAACGUGAAGCAAAAUAAUAAAGAAAAUCUUGAAGAUACCACCUUGUACAGUCUAUGAUAUUGCUCUGCUUGCUUCCUACUUUUCCGAACCAAAACUAGAAAGUCAGGACCCAUUCCACUGCAACAAAAUACAUGUGAUUCAGCACUGUUAAGAAAAAAGUACAGCAAAGCAACCCAUUUUGACAUAGGUAAUAAGUUGCACAAGUUAGUAAGAAGUGGCUCAUUGAGCAACCAAAUUGCCAAGAUGUCUUAUUUCAAACCCAAGUACAGAGGAACUACAUAUUUGUCCCCCUCUUUUUUUCAGUUGAAACAGAAACAGGGUACAUGUACAACGUGUUAAAGUCACGUCCAUAACCAGACCAAUUAAGAACAUUGACCUACAAGGAGUUCCACUGAAGUUCAGAUUAUAACAACAGGCAUGCUUCUAUCUCAAUUUACCACCCCGGGUCAAAUUUCACACUUAUCAGGACACUAUAACAACAGCAGAAACUAUACAAUUUCCCACCAAACAUAAAGAGAGCUUUGAAUCUACACACCCGCCUGCUACAAUCAUUCAUGACAGAUAUUUUAGCAAUAAUUAAGGCCAGAGAAACACAAGCUAAAAAAAUGGAACUUCCUAAUUACUGAGAAGCAGGCAGAAACAAACCUGUAGACAACUCCAAUAUUGGGUGUCAGAUUCUGUAUUUUCUGAACCUGAAACAAGAAGCAAUUAAAUACCAUCAACAACCAACUCAAGUUACAUCCCAUCUUGCAAAUUAGAAUAAUAGACCAAUAAACUGGCUUCAAAAUCAAACCAUCUCCACCUCAGUCAACACGAUUUAAAAUAACCAACACUGCCUUUUUAUACAAUGUGGGAUUAAAGAGGAUAUAAAUCUACACACUCCAACAUUCAAAGCCCCAAUCUUAGAGUCAUUGACUAGUAUAGUAACGCCUCAUUGGCAGGAACCCAAAUCACUAAGCUCAAAUUACUAAUAAAAAUUACAAAUUUACACCGAAUUUGAACAGAUUUCUACCAACCGAUGUCACUAAAGAAAACACAAAAAAAAAAAAACGCAAAAAACCAAAAGGGCUUCUUGAAUUUAAACCAAAGAAUAUAACAAAACCAAUAAAAAAAAUAAUAAAUGUUUACUUACAGAAGAUUCAUCGACUAAAAUAGAUGGCAAUUUCUUCUCAGUUGCAAUAACAACACCGUUUGCCGCUACAACACCAAAAAAAUAAUAAAAUCAACAACAUAAUAUCUAAGCACUCAUCAACAACGUAGUGCAUUCGAAAAUGACAAGAAAAUGAGAGAAAAAAAGAGAGAGAGGGAGCUUAAAUUGCAACAACCUUUGAUUCCGAGAGAAGUUUGGCCUGAUCCAACGGCAGUCAAUGCGUGCUCAAUCUGUACUAGCUUUCCGGUAGGACUGAAAGUAGUGAGAGAAAAGGAGUACUGGCUAUCACCCAUGGUUUAUUGCUUGAAGACGCAGAGAGGAAAAACUGAGAAUGCGAGUGUGUGGGAGAGAAAGACAGGGAUAUUUACUUGGGGUUUUAAGUUUUAACUUUGCUUUUCUCGUUGGAGAAGAAGGUGUUUUCUUACGAGGGCUUUCACAAGGGAGUAUUAUGGGCUUUUAUGACGGCAGGUUGGUCCUCUUUACAUUGAGCUCAAUGAAGGCUCGGAACCAGUUUUGUUUUUAAGUAUUAUUAACAAAUUUUUAUUUAUUUAUUAAUAUAAAUAAUUUUUAAUUUAUUUAAUUACAUUUAUAUAUAUAAUUUUUAAUUUAUUAUAUUUUUUGAACUAGAAAAAUAUAUUUAAAGAACUGCAUAUAUAAAUUUUUAUAAAAAAUAAAAAUAUUUGACUCAUAAUAAAUCAUUCAUAUUUUUAUAAAAAAAUAAAGAUGGGUAAACUCUUAAUUAGGCCUUGCUGCUGAAUUUUGUUGUUGAUUUGUAAUUUAAUUAUUGUUUAAGAUUUUUUGUGUUAGAUUUGGAUAACUUUAUUUGGAUUUAAUCUCCAAAAUUGAUGGGUAUCAUCACUUAUAGAUGAAUGGUUUAGCUUCUCUCAUUUAUUUGGAUUUAAUCCACUGAAACUGAGGUUAAGAAUUUCUUGGAUUUAAUCCACUGAAACAGUUGCUUGAUCAAGAUCAUUGGCUUGUUUGAAGGCAGAUAAAGGCUUAAAAAAAAGGCGAGAGGGAGCGAGAAAGAGAGGAUGUGAGAAAUAAUUAUAGUUGAAACAAAUGAAUUACAUAUCAUUUUAUGUUGAGGAGAGAGAGAGAGGAUGUGAGAAAUAAUUAUAUCAUCUUAGAUUACAAAUCAUUUUGAGAAAAUCUAAAAGAAAAUAUCAUCUUAGAUUAAUUAUAGAUAUGAGUUGCAGUAGUUGAAAUUUCAAAGGCAAUUUUUUUAGAGUAGCAUUUGGAGAAUUUAAGUAAGGAAUAAGCUUCACGUGAGCGAGAUAAUAUCACAGCUGCAUUUGAUAGAGUAAAUGGUAAGUAGGAACUAAAAUCGAAUUACAGUAAAGAGGUCACAUAGAGUAAAUGGUAAGAAUUAACACCAAAGCAAAUAAUUAAUACCCUCAAAAAAGUUCUGCCUUUCUCACCUAAUCAUAAAAAUCAAUGUUUGGGAUGUGAGAAAUCUUUUGCCAAUCUUCACCCAUCUCCUCCUUCCCGUAACGUUCCCUUAGAAUGGGGCACCAUCUUAUCUCCAAUUCCUGUAGAGGCGCUGCCAAAACAUAGUCUGGUAGUGCUCUCAACAACGGGCAAUUAACAAUCAUCAACUCUCGAAGUUGUGGCAUAAUGGAUAUUAUUGAAGUUGUGUUGGCAUCUUCUUCUCCCAAGGAUCUCCUUUCAAUUCCAUCCCACUCCUCUACUUCUGUGAGACCCUCCAUCGCAAGUUUUUUUAAUUUGGGGAAAGCAGUGACCCUUGCAAUUUCUCCUUCAUUAAUACUGGCAUUCUCAUCUUUUUCUAUACCUAAAAAUCCAGCAUCCAGCCUUCUCACCUUCAUCAAAAUCAAUACCAGGCUUUCAAGGUUGGGCAAUCUACCCAACGGAGGCAAGACCUCCAGGUUUUCACAAUAACGGAGUGUAAGCACCUGUAAUCUGGUUAAUGCCAUCAUCCAAUUUGGCAAAUCCAACCCUCCGUACCCAUAUAUGGUUAGAUUUUCCAAGUCUGACGGAGGCCGUAAAGCUUCAAAUAAAAUGCCGUCCUCCAGGUUGUGGUCGAAAACCAAUUCCAAACGAAGCAGGCGCUUCUUAUUCUUGAGUUGUGCUUCUGCAGCGUCCCUCGCAUCUUCUUUACCUCCUCCUAGAUUCCCUAUCUGAAGACUCCCUCCAAUGUGAUUUAAGUUUUUUAAUUCUCUUAGAUUAGCUGCUUUACUUUCAUUCUCACCACCACCACACACAAAAAACUGGUCUAAUGUUCGAAGACAUGUUAUCCUCUCUAUUCCCUUUGGUAUGAAGGCCACACCUGAACCAUAAAUCCGGAGAUGCCUCAAUUUGAUAAGUUUUCCAAUCGCCCGAGGUAAUUCGUUGAGAUAACAACACUGAGUAACGUCUAGGGAUUGCAGAUUGCAUAAAUCACAAAUGGUUUCUGGCAGGGACUCCAACAUUCCACAAAAUGCCAAAUUGAGGUGUCUCAAAUGUAUCAAUUUCCCUACCUGAUUUGGUAUUUCUCUGAUAGAAGACUCUGACAAAUUCAAUGACCUGAUGCAUGUCAACUGCUUGAAUAAAUCAGGUAGUGCAGCUCCAAGCGAAGAGUCUCCAGUGUGGAUCAAGAGGCUGCGAAGACCUUUUGCUUUGUGAAUGGACUUGGGAAAAGAGGUCACCGCUAAAUGACGAACCCUUUCAAUUGAAGUCUUCACUGUUAGACAUUCAUUUUUUGUCAUAUAUUGGGCAAAAUCAUGCACUAUAUCAUGCAUCUUGAAUCUCAUUCCUUCACGAUCACUCUUCUCAAAAUCUUGGAAGAAAGAGCGCGUUGCUAAGACUUGAAAGUACUGCUCUCCUACAAGCUCCAUAUCUCCACCUGAAGUCUCCUUGAGGUAACCUUGAGCCAUCCACAUCUUCACCAAUUCAUCUUUGUCCAUCUCGUAGUCUUUUGGAAACAUGGCACAAUACAAGAAACAUCGUCUUACCACAGAAGGUAAAUCGUAGUAACUCAAAAGCAAAGGUGGAAAUAGUCCUCUUUCAACAUGUUCUAGCUCCCACAGUUCGCUAGAUAAAACAUGUUCCCACUCUUCUCUUGUUCUUUUAGACUGCAUUAGACCUCCUAAUACCUUGGCAGCUAGAGGCAAGCCCUUGCACUUGCUUGCAAUUUUGUCGCCGAUUUCUGUCAAUCUUUCGCACUCAUCUUUGCUUCUUUUAUGGAAUGCCACCUGAUUGAAUAUUGACCUGCAUACCUCAUCAGACAAUUUCUCAAGGUUGAUCACGUGGUCAGUUCCUAUCAUGGUUGCCACAGAAUGUUUACGACUGGUCACUAGAAUUCUGCUUCCUGUUGCACCGCCUUUGAGAGAUAGUUUCAGUGGUUCCCAUUGUCUAUGAUUUUCUGUCCAGACAUCAUCUAGGACAAGAAGGAACCUCUUUCCCUUAAUUGAUUCAGAAACACUUUGCAAAAGGGAUUCCAAUUCAACUAAAUUCGGUGCACCCCCUUGAAGCGCCUCAAGGAUAGCUUUUGAUAUCCUAACCUCAUCGAAUGGAUCUGAUACACACACCCAUAUCUUUUUCUCAAAAUGAGCCGUAACCCGAGCAUCAUUAAAAGCUAGUUGGGCGAGAGUUGUCUUUCCAAUCCCGCCCAUUCCUACUAUAGAGAUCUCCACGUCCCCUGCUUCCUGAAUACUUUCGCCCAGCAACUUGCUUACUACAGCUUCCCUUUCAUCAUCUCGACCACGCACGAUUGAUUCAUCAACAAGGGAGGUACUUGUUAUUCGUUGUAGUUCAUCAGUGGCUCUGUACAACUCAAAGCCAAACAUAGCUCUCUCUUUGGUAAUCUCAUCCACUUUUUCACAUACUUCUUUGAUCUUGAGGGCAAUGUCGCGACGUCGAGCCACUUGAUUGAAACAAAAGCAAGGAGAUCCCAGGAAGGAACAUCGCAUCUUCUGUAGGCUGCGAGUAUUUUCUUCAACUUCCUCCAUUUUCCAUCUAAGAAUUGCAGUGCUCCAUUCAUCUAGCACGUCAUCCAUAUCAUAGCAUACAUCUUUGAGCUUGUCUGCCCAAUCCCUUACAGCCUUAUCCUUCACUUGUUUUCUAUCUGCAUCUUCAAGGACAGAUUGGAUAGCAAGGAGAUUGCUUUUCAGCUUGUCGACUUGUUUCUGCACACCCCCUACUAGGUUCACUUCUUCCUGUACCUAUUGGUGUAGAAAAGACCAGAAAGUUCAAGCAGAGGAAACAGUUCUAUGAUUUCACUACAAGUUUUUAAUUUUAAUUUUUGGGAAUUAAUAGAUUAAAUAAUUUUUAUUAAUCUUUUUUCCGCAUAGUUCACACGUACAGUGAAUUGGAUUGGCUAUAUUAUAAAUUCAUAUAUAAAAUAUUUAUUAAGAACCUAUAUAUUAAAAAUAAUAAUAUUUCUUUUUAUCAUCAUCAUGAUGAUAUCUCUGUCUGCACUCUGCUACUAUACAAGAAAGGAAAAAAAUGAAUCUUAAAUUGUUCGACGUCAAACCUGUAUAUAACAUAAGCUUGGCGGAUCAAAGAAAUAUAAAAGGAAUAAAAGGAAAGUGAAUAAAAGGAUCUGUAUUUGUUGUUAUUUGUAAAGUCUAUAAUAAGAUUAUGGAAGAAAAAAAAGACUUAAAUUUUUAUAUUUCUUAUCAUGUUACGGUUAAUUCGAUCAUUGCAAAUUGUAUAAAAGUAAUUACCUGUUGAGCAACGACCGUGGUUAACUGCUCCAAAAUUGGCGAUAAAAGUGCCUCUGCCAUUUGUCUUUUUGGUUUAAUUUUAUUUUUAAAAAAGAGAUAAUUAUGAUGAUGAACUGAGAGAGAGAGAGAAGAGUGUGAGGGGAAGGAGGCUGCUGGUUGUGAAAUGAAGAGAGAGGGUUAGUUUAUGUACUUGGGGUUUGGUGAUGAGGGUUGACUAUUGUUUCCAUCCCUGUACUGUUUCUAACAUUUCAAUUCAGUCCCUGUAUUAUUGAACGUUUCAGUCUAGUCUCGGUCAGGGGUUUCCAUCUGCGGAUGGCUUUUCCUGAUUGUAUGUUUCUACUGAGAAUGACAUGCCAUUUUGAGUUCCAAAGGUGAAACACUCGUGCUUUUCUAACUUUUCCUGGCUAAGGAUUAUUAUUUGUGGAAAGUAAUUUCUUCUUCGAUUUAUAGCAAUUAUUUUGGAUUGAUACUGACCUUAGGUUAAGAAUGCUGUAGUUUCUACUGAAAUGUAUCUGAUACAGACCUUAGGGACAACUGAUUAUAGCAUUCUUCUCGUCUGCUUCUCUAUUUCUUCUCUUCAUUUUAUGUUAUUCCACUAGUCUUCCAAACUGGAUCACGGUGAUAUAUAUCUGUCCAUCCAAACUAAUUUACCCAAACCAAAAGUAGUAACCAAUUAGCUCGUGUAAUGGAACUAUAAACAAGCAUCUAUCUUUCUGGGUUUUUGAGAUCAGGUGAUUUUAUCCUGUUUUCAUAGCAGGGACUGGGGUUUGAUAUUGAUCUUUGAUUUUACCCAAACCAAAAGUUUGAAAGGAUUGCUGGUUUGUGUGAUUGGAGCUCCUUUCAAUGGGUGUGAAAAGGCCAAGAAAUGAGCAAGAUUUUCUGGAGGAAAGGAUUCAUAUUGUCUGGACUCAAUCACCUUCCUUUCUUCUUCUUCUUCUUUCUGCAGGAAAAAAGUAGAGCAGAGCAACCCUUUUUGACAGAGGCUAGUAAGUUGCAGAAGUUAGUAAGAAGUGGAUCAUUGAGCAACCAAAUAGCCAAGAUGUCUUAUUUCAAACCCAAGUACAGAUGAAUGCCGUAUUUUUAUUUUUCUAAGGAACUGCAUAUUUGUCCCCCCACUUCUUCUUUUUCUGUUGAAACAGCGACAGGGUACGUGUACUCUAGAAAAUAUUUAGAAUGGAAACAAAUAGAAAGUAGCUUAAAAUUGUGAAAAUAUUGUUUUUAAAUUGUUUAUUUCAAACCUAAUUAAUAAUAUGUUUUUGUUUUAGAUAGUUUUUGUGAUUCUGAUUUGAAAAAAAAUAAGUUUUAAAAAAGUACAGCUAGCUGUGAUUAAUUGAAUUUAAAUACGUGUUUAAUAAAAAUUAUGGUUAAAGUUUAUGUAUAAUAAAAAAUAUGUAUAAAAUAUUUGAUAGUUAUGUUUGAGACUGUGGUUGUGAUUGUUUUUUAAAGUGUUUUUUACAUUAAAAUAAUAUUUUUUUAUUUUAAAAAAAUUAUUUUUGAUAUCAGUGCAUCAAAAUGAUCUGAAAACACCAAAAAAAUAUAUUAAUUUGAAAUAAAAAAAAAUUGUUUUUUACCAGUAAAUCAAAGUGUUUUUUACCUCAUUUUUCCUUGAUUAAUUCUAACUACGAAACAGCUACUGCACCAACAAGAUGGAAAAGGCUCACCAAGAUGUUCUCUUUGAAAAGAUUCUCAAUGAGUCGUUGACAUCUCAUACUUGUCUAAAAAUUUUAAUCUUUUUUUGGAAAAGAUUCUCAGUGAGUCUGUCUCCUGGCUUAUUGAUCAACACUUUUAUCAUAUUGUGAACAAACAUGUCAAUUUCCAGAAUUUUAUUGAGUAGGAUGACUGUAUAGAAUUACUCUGAUUUAUCAACACAUAUCAAAUUCUUGCUGCUGCUGAGGAAGAUAUCCUGCACUUAGCCAUCAUAGAGGGUAGCAAGGUUUUGUGUUGAUGGUAAUUACACUGACUCAUCGUCUAUCAUCUAGAAUUCAAUUUUAAAAAAUAUUGCAAGAAAUGUUUUUUUUCCUAAAUACAUCGAUCGGGUGUGGAUAGAUUGAUUACAAAGCGACUUCCUAAAAAGUCUUGGUCUUAAUAUGCAAAGAUGAUCCAAGUAUGCCAUAUAUUAUUUUUUUAAAAUAAAACCCACAUAUCUAGUCCACGCAAAGGUACUCGAAUAUGGAUUUGUAAAAAUAAAAAUGAAUAUUUAUACGAAAUUGAAUUGUGCAAAUAAAACCCACAGAUCUAGUCCAUGAUCUACGGCUCCUCCAGAGUUCCGUAGUGGUGUCUUUCUCAACUAUUCUUUAAAUAAAAUGUUUGGGAUGUGAGAAAUCUUGUGCCUAUCUUCACCCCUCUCCUCCUUCCCGUAACGUUUCCUUAGAGAAUUUAUGUAGAGGCGCUGUCAAAACAUAGGCCGGUAGUGCUCUCAACAAUGGGCAUUUGAGAAUUCUAAACUCACAAGUUGUGGCAUGAUGAAUAUUGAAGUCGUGGUGGAAUCUUCUUCUCCCACUCUCCUUUCAAUCCCAUCCCACUCUUCUAGUUCUUUGAGAUGCCAAAUGCUGAGUUUUUUCAAUUUAGGGAAAGGAGAGUGGUAGUUUUUUCAAUUGGGGCAAUACUCUUCCAAUUCUCUUUCACUAAUAUUUAUUGGUGGAAAAAAUCACUGAUAGUAGUUUUAAAACACUCAAAGAAAAUAAAACAUAUUGUUUUAUUUCAACAACAAGAAGCUUACAAUAAUUAAACAAAAGCUUUUAAUACACACCCUCUUUUUCUCUCUAGUGUUCAUCUCUUAUCUUUCCCACACACAAUUACAUAAACUUACCUAUCUAUUUAUACACAAAUUAAAAGUAAAAAAAAAAAAAUCAAACUUCAAGUGUGAAGGCGGCUGGUGGCUAAACAGUGGGGUCCUUUUGUAUUUUGUCAAAAGAGAUGAAAUUAUAAUCAAUGAUGAUGAUAUAUAUAUAUAUAUAUAUAUAUAUAUAUAUAUAUAUAUAUAAACUACUAUGUGCAUUCUAUAAUUUAGUUAUAUAAUACAAUAGAUCUUUACAAUUAGUGAUUUCAACUUACCAAUAGAGAAAUUAUAGUAGAUCUUUACUAUGAUAUAUUCAAAAUAAAUAAAUAAAACAGGUAUACUUCAACACGCAUAUUAUACAUACACUUCUUUUUUAAAAAUUAAUCAUAAAAAAUUGAUUAGUUAUUUAUUAUAAAAAUCAGACCUGUAAGUUAUAUCUAAAUCAUUGAAAAUAGUAAAGGUAAACUAAUUAGAAGAGACAAUGUAUUUCAAAUUAGUUAAUUUAUAUAGAAUUAUUUUAGUUACUAAAUUAAAAAAUUCAAAUUUUUAUAUCACUUGGAAUACAUAAGGUGGAUUUAAUCCACAAAAUCGAUGGGUGAUAACCUCUAAGAUAUCGAUGGGUACAUAUAUGGUGGAUUUAAUCCACAAAAUCAAUAAGAGACCAAUCGGCUAGCUCCAAAAUCAAACCAUCUCCACCUCAUUCAAACACGAUUUAAAAUAAUCAACACCACCUUUUUAUACAAUGUGGGAUUAAUGAGGAUAUAAAUCCAAGGCUCCAACAUCCAAAGUCUCAAUCUUAGAUUUAUUAGCUAGUAUAGCAACGCCUCAUUGGCAAGAACCCAAAUCACUAAGCUCAAAUUACUAAUAAAAAUUAUAAAUUUUCAGAUAAUAUUUUUAAUAUUUAAUCUUUCUAGCAAUUGAUGAUAGCAAUUGCAAAUGAAUAGAGGAGGAAGCAUCGAGAUCAUUGGCUUGUUUGAAGGCAAAUGGACCCUUUGAUCGUUAGAUGAUGCAUCUAAAUGAGGCUCCACAUUAUAAAAGCGUAAUUAGGUGGCACGCGCUAUCCCACAAACUCACCUUAGAUUUUCAAAAUAAAAUUAGAUGGAGGAUCCAUGUCUAUUUGGGUCCUCCCUAGACAGGACCCCAACAUAUUCGGGUCCAGUAACGACCAGGUCCAAGUCUAGCGUUGGGCUAGGUUGGGUAGGACCCAAGGUUAUUUGGGUGUACCUGGCAGAAUCCAAGAUUGUUUUUGAGUCCUGCAACUAAUAAUUAUAUGUAAUUUCUAAAUGAAACUAAAUGUAAAAUUAAAUAUAAUUUGAUAAAAUUAUUAUAAACAUUUGGUAAAAUUAGUAAAUGAUAUAACAUUUUCUUUCAAAUUCAUCAAUUAUUUAAAUAUUAAGUACAAAAAAUACUCUUAUGAAUUUUGAUAAAAAUAAUAAUAUUUAUAAUACAACUGAUAACAUUUUUAGUAUUAAAUUAUUAAUUAAUAUAAAUAAUAUUAUUUAUAACACCAAAAAUAAUAAUAUUUUUGAGAUUAAUACUAUUAAUUAGACUAAAAAAUAAUAUUAAUAAAACAAAUAAUAAUAUUUCUAAUACUAAUACUAUUAAUUAUACUAAAAAUAUAUAUUAAUAAAAAUAUAAAAUACUCUUAAUAUUAAUUAUACUAAAAAAAUAUUAAUAAAACAAAUAAAUAUUUUAAUACUAACUUGUAAUUAUACUAAAAAUAUGGGCAGCCCAAGCGCUAAGUGAUGCUUGGACUACACUCAAGAGAAAUCAUAUUAUUUUAAAAUAUUUGUCCACUAAUUGCUAUUGAAUUUAAAAUAAAUAUACUUUUAAAACUAAUAUAAAGUUACCAAUAGUCGAUUUGAUAGCUGCUUGCAUAAAAUCUCAUUGAAUUUGGCCAAUGGUUUUUUAGAAUAAAGUAAAAAAAAAGUUAUUUCAAAACAUAACCAAAGUAGUUUUAGUUAUUUGUCAGAAACUAGUAUAUCCCAUAAAAAUCAGAGUUUUGGAUGAAAUAAAAUCAAUUCUAAAAUCAAACGCCGAUUGAAGCUUCAACGCAUUUGUGAACUAGAGAAUUUAAUUAUUAAACUCGUUUGUUUCGCGUUCAAAAAUAUUUUAAAAUUAUUUUAUUUUUUAUUUAUUUUUUUGUUUUUUAAAUUAAUAAUUUUUUUAGUAUAUUUAGAUCAUUUUAAUGUGUUUAUAUAAAAAAUAAUUUAUAAAAAAUAAAAAAAAUUAUUAUUUUAAUAUAUUUCUAAUAAAAAAUACUUUGAAAAAUAAUUAUAAUAAUACUGUCACACAUGCUGUUUAAUGUUUGUUCAAAAAUUGUGCUUUUUAAAAUAUGCAUUCUAACGCAAAGAAAGCAUAUAAAACACAUCAAAGUUGCAAAAGUACGUAGUUUUAAUUAUUAGCAAAAGUAUUCUAAAAUAUGAAAAGAUAGGUUUAAAUACCCUAAAUAUCCGUAAAUAACUAGAAAAAAAUUAAUAAAACUAAAAUCCAAAAUUAUCAAGGCAAAAAUCUAAAAUAUGGUCUGAAACUUCAAAGGCAAUUUUUUUAGAGUGGCAUUUGGAGAAUUUAAGUAAGGAAAAAGCUUCACGUGAGCGAGAUAAUAUCAUCUUAGAUUAAUUCUUUAACAUGUAAAAUUUAAGUCUAAUUCAAUAAUUAAAUAAAAAAUUACCUCUUCCUGCCGGUCUUAACUAUUCUUUAAAUAUAAACAUAUGAAUUACAUAUUAUUUUAUAUAUGUUGAGAGAGAGAGAGAGAGAGAGAGAGGAUGUAUACUAUAUAUAUCACAGCUGCCUUUGAUAGAAUAAAUGGUAAGUAGGAAAUACAAUCCAAAGUCAACAUUAUACAGUAAAGAGGUAUAUGAAACAUACCUCGUCCUGCCUGUCCUACAGAUUAUGGUAAGUCGGAAAUCGAAUUACAGUAAAGAGGUCACAUAGAGUAAAUAGUAAGGCUUACAUAUUAUUUACACUCAACCUUAGCAAACACCAAAGCAAAUAAUUAAUACACUCAGAACCAAAUCUUUUACCGUUAAGAAUUAACACUGGUGGAAGAAUUUAUCAUCAAAAUAAAUGUUUGGGAUGUGAGAAAUCUUUUGCCAAUCUUCACCCAUCUCCACCUCCUUCCCGUAACGUUAGAUUGGGGCAACCAUAUGCGUAGAUCCUGUAUAGGCGCUGCCAAAACAUAGUCUGGUAGUGCUCUCAACAACGGGCACCAACGAAUUGUCAACUGUCGAAGUUGUGGCAUAAUGGAUAUUAUUGAAGUUGUGUUGGCAUCUUCUUCUCCCACUCUCCUUUGAAUUCCAUCCCACUCUUCUACUUCUUCGAGAUCCCAAAUCUCAAGUUUUUUAAUUUGGGGAAAGCAGUGACCCUUGCAAUUUCUCCUUCCUUAAUACUGGCAUUCUCAUCUUUUUCUAUACCUAAAAAUCCACCAUCCAGCCUUCUCACCUUCAAAAGUACCAGGUGUUCAAGGUUGGGCAAUCUUCCCAACGGAGGCAAGAACUCCACGUUUUCACAAUAACGGAGUGUCAGCACCUGUAAUCUGGUCAAUGUCAUCAUCCAAUUUGGCAAUUCCAACCCUCCGUAACAAUAUAUGCUUAGAUCUUCCAAGUCUGACGGAGGCUGCAAAGCUUCAAUUAAAGAGCCUUCAUGCUCUGGCAACACUGUUUUCUCUCCGAAGAAAUUCAAUACCAAACGAAACAGGCGCUUCUUAUUCUUGAGUUGUGCUUCUGCAGCGUCACUCGCAUCUUCUUUACCUCCUCCUAGAUUCCGUAUCUGAAGACUCCCUCCAAUGUGAUUUAAGUUUUUUAAUUCUCUUAGAUUAGCUGCUUUACUUUCAUUCUCACCACCACCACACACAGUAAACACAUCUAAUGUACCAACAGGUGUGUGGCUCAAGUGGUGAAGGGGGCAGCUCUCCUUUCAUCGAACCCAGGUUCGAAUCCCAGUGGGAGUGGGGCUGGAGAGUUUGCUCUCUUCCUAUUUCUCUUGGGUCCUCCCUGUGCGGUAUCCCUGUCACCCCCGCGGUGUCUUACCUGCUCACUAGGGCUUGCAGGAUGUUCAGUGGGCCGUGGGAUUAGUCGUGGUGCGCGUAAGCUGGCCCGGACACCCACGUUAUCAAAAAAAAAAAAAAAAAAAAAAAAACACAUCUAAUGUUUAGUUAUAUAAUUGAUCAUCGUGGCUACAAAAUGAAGUGGAACUAAUAAUUAAUGGAGUGGAAUACUAAAUAAAAUGAAUUGCUAUGUGUAUUCUAUAAUUUAGUUAUAUAAUAUAGGCAGAUAUGUACAAAUUAGUCAUUUCAACUUAUCAAUAAAGAAAUUAUAAUAGAUUUUCACCGUGGUAUGAUCGCAAUAAAUAAAAUAAAAUAGAUAUAUCUCACAGCAUUAAUAAUUUUUUAGUUUUUGUUAAACAAUGUCAACAUAUAUAUAUAUAUUAUACAUACACUCAUUUCUUUAAAAAUAAUUAUAAUAAAAUUAAUUAGUUAUUUAUUAUAAAAACCUGACCUAUGAGUUAUGUCUAAGCUGUUAAAAAUAGUAAAAAUAAAAUAAUUUGAAAAUAGAAUUAUUAAUUAAUUUAUAUCAAGUUGUUUUAUUUAUUAAAUUAAAAAAUCCAAGUUUUAUAUCACCUAGAUUACUUAUGUUGGAUUUAAUCCAUAAAAUUGAUGGGUAUCAUCUCUUAUAUAUGAAUCGAUGGGUAUCAAGUUACAUGCCAUCUUGCAAAUUAGAAUAAUAGACCACUCGACUGGCUCCAAAAUCAAACCAUCUCCACCUCAUUCAACACGAUUUAAAAUAAUCAACACCACCUUUUUAUACAAUGUGGGAUUGAUGAGGAUAUAAAUCUACAGACUCCAACAUCCAAAGUCUCAAUCUUAGAGUUCUUAUCUGGUAUAGUAACGCCUCAUUGGCAAUAACCCAAAUCACUAAACCCUAAAUCACUAAUAAAAAUUACAAAUUUACACCGAAUUUGAACAAAUUUCUACCAGCCGAUGUCACUAAACUCAAAUUACUCCUAAAAAUCUCAAUAUAAACCCAUUAACUACUAGACCAACAACUCAUUGGCUAGAAUCCACGUUGCUUUUCCACAACAAUCAUCAGCUUCUUCAAUUAGGAUGCUACAAGCCCUUGUCUAUAUACUAGCUUAAAUUGCAACAACCUUUGAUUCCGAGAGAAGUUUGGCCUGAUCCAACGGUAGUCAAUGCGUGCUCAAUCUGUACUAGCUUUCUGGUAGGACUGAAAGUAGUGAGAGAAAAGGAGUACUGGCUAUCACCCAUGGUUUAUUGCUUGAAGACGCAGAGAGGAAAAACUGCGAAUGCGAGCGUGUGGGAGAGAAAGGCAAGGAUAUUUACUUGGGGUUUGAACUUUGCUUUUCUUGUUGGAGAAGGAGGAGUUUUCUUACGAGGGCUUUUACAAUGGAGUAUUUUGGGCUUUUAUGACGGCAGGUUGGUUCUCUUUACAUUGAGCUCAAUGAAGGCUUUAAUUUUUUAAACUUAACUUUAUCCGGGUCAGUUCACGGGAGAAGUUUAAUUUUUUUUUUUUUAAGAAAAUAAAAUAACAUUAUUUUUAGUACUUUUUUAAAAUGAUAUUUUACCUGAGUCCACAGGCGAUGUAUAAAGUUUUUUUUAUUUAAAAUAAUAUUUUUUUUUUAUUUUAAUAUUUACUUACUAUUUGUAUACUAAAACAGUAAAACAUGUGAGAUUUUCACUUUAUAUUUGUUACUGUGCAAAAUUUUAUUUUUUAGUUUAGUCCUCAAACUUUAUUUUUGAACUAUCAAGUCCUAUUUAAAAAACAAUUGAUUUUAAAUUCUGAUAAAAAAUUUGGAUUGGAAGAGAGGAACUGAAAUGAAAAACACGAUAGAUAUGGGUAACGCACCUUAAAUUUUUAAAACAUUCUCUUUGGUCUUCCAACUUAAACAAUCACACAAAUUAUAUAAUUUUGGUACCUCAAAAUUGUUCCAAUUCCAUUUUGGUGCGAAGAUUUAUUUUUGUUAUUUUCUAGUUCCUAAUUAAGAGAGGAGAGAAAGAAAGGGGUCACUAGAUUCCAAUAAUAAAAAGAGAAACUUGUCGUUGACACCAACUUAAACCACUAAAAUAAGGGAUCUUUAUGUCAAAUUAUUAGGGGAGUUCCUAUUAGAUGUUUUUGUAACUUAAAAGUUCAUGAAAAAAAGGAUCUAAACUCGGGUUAAUUUUUUUUAUUUUAGACUGUGUUUGGUUUUUUAGGCAGUUUUUUGGAUCUAGUAUGGUUUCCCGAUCCAAGUACCUAGGGUCUGGCAUAGUUGCUAUAAAAAUAUAACUUUAAAGAAUAUAAUUAAAAACAAAUAAAGUGACGUGAUUAGUUAAAAACUAAAAAUAAUAAUAAAAAAAAAGACUUAACCUCAUUUUUUUGUUGUUCAGAAGGCUUCUUUUAAAUAAUAUUAAUUUUUUUUAUGAGUUUAAUUUUCAGAGAGGUUUUCUAGUGUAUUUAUGGUUUUGUUUGUCUUUUAUAUAAAUAAAUUAUAUUUUGAAAAUAACAAAAUAUUUAUUUUCAGAUAAUAUUUUUAAUAUGUAGUCUUCGUAGUGAUUGAUGAUGCCAAUUGUAAAUGAAUGGAGGAGGAAGCAUCAAGAUCGUUAGCUUGUUUGAAGGCAGAUAGACCUUUGAUCAUUAGAUGAUGCCUCUAAACGAGGCUCCAUAUUAUAAAGGCAUAACAAAGAGAGGAUGAGAGAAAUAAUUAUAGACCAGUUAGGUGGUUUGUGCUACAUCGCGGGCUCACCUUUAAUUUCUAAAAUAAAACUGGGUGAGUACCCAAGUCUAUUUAGGUCCUUUUCAAAUAGGAGCCAAGCAUAUUUGGGUUCUAUCGCGGCCAAGCCAGGUAGGACCUAAGGUUAUUUGGGUCAUGUACCUGGCAGGACCCAAGGUUAUUUUUGAGUCCUACAACUAAUAAUUUGUAUUUAAUUUUUAAAUAAAACUAAAUGUAAAAUUAAGUAUAAUUUGAUAAAAUUAUUAUUACAAUACAUUUGGUAAAAUUAAUAAAUGAUAUAACAUUUUCUUUCAAAUUCAUAAAUUAUUUUAUUAAUAAUAUUAAUUACAAUAAAAUAUACUCUUAUAAAUUUUAAUAAAAAUAAUAAUAUUUAUAAUACAACUGAUAAAAUUUUUAGUAUUAAUAUUAUUAAUUAAUAUAAACAUAAUAUUAUUUAUAACACCAAAAAUAAUAAUAUUUUUGAGAUUAAUACUAUAAAUUAGACUAAAAAAUAAUAGUAAUAAAACAAAUAAUAAUAUUUUUAAUACUAAUACUCUUAAUAUUAAUUAUACUAAAAAAAACUAUUAAUAAAAAAAAUAAUAUUUCUAAUACUAAUAUUUGGAAUUAUACUAAAAGUAUGUACGGGCAGCCCAAGCGUUAAGUGGCGCUUGAACUGCACUCAAGAAAAAGCAUAUUAUUUUAAAAUAUUAUUUGUCCACUAAUUGCUAAUAUAAAUACACUUUUAAAACUAAUAUAAAGUCACCCAGAGUCAAUUUGAUAGCUGCUUGCAUAAAAUCUCAUUGAAUGUGGCCAAUGUUUUUUAGAAUAAAGUGAAAUAAAAAGUUAUUUCAAAACAUAACCACAGUAGUUUUUAAUUAUUGGUCUAGAAACUUUAGUAUAUCUCAUAAAAUCCAUGAGUUUUGGAUGAAAUAAAAUCAAUUCUAAAAUCAAACUCCGAUUGAAGCUUCAACUGCAUUUGUGAGCUAGAAAAUUUAACUUAUUAAGUUAGGUUUGUUUUUGCAUUUUAAAAGCGUUUUUAAAAAUUUUAAAUUUAUUUUAUUUUUUUCUUUGCUUUAAAUUAUUUUUUUUUUGUGUUUUUAGAUCAUUUUGAUGCGCGAAUAUCAAAAAUAAUUUUUAAAAAAUAAAAAAAAUAUUAUUUUGAUAUAUUUCUAAGUAAAAAUCAUUUUAAAAAGUAAUCACAACAAUAUUUUCACACAAUCUCUUCAAAACUUGUGCUUUUUAAAACAUGCAUUCAAACGCAAAGAAAGCAUAUAAAACACAUCAAAGUUGCAAAAGUAUGUAGUUUUAAUUAUUAGCAAAAGGGUUUAAAUACCCUAAAUAUCCGUAAAUAACUAGAAAACAAUUAAUAAAAAAAUAAUAAAACUAAAAUCCAAAAUUUUCAAGGAGAAAAUCUAAAAUAUGGUCUGAAAUUUCAAAGGCAGCUUUUUUAGAGUGGCAUUUGGAGAAUUUAAGUGAGGAAUAAGCUUCACGUGAGCGAGAUAAUAUCAUCUUAGAUUAAUUUUUUUAACAUGUAAAAUUUAAGUCUAAUUCAAUAAUUAAAUAAAAAAAAUUACCUCUUCCUGCCUGUCUUAACUAUUCUUUACAUAUGAACAUAUGAAUUACAUAUUAUUUUAUGUUGAGAGAGAGAAAGAGAGAGAGAGAGAGAGAGAGAGAGGAUGUGAGAGAGAGAGAGGGGUGUAUAUAUAUAUCACAGCUGCAUUUGAUAGAAUAAAUGGUAAGCAGGAAAUACAAUCCAAAGUCAACAUUAUACAGAUAUUUGACUCACAAUAAAUCAUCCAUACUCUUAUAAAAAAUAAAGAUGGGUAAACUCUUAAUUAGGCCUUGCUGCUGAAUUUUGUUGUUGAUUUGUAAUUUAAUUAUUGUUGAAGAUUUUUUGUGUUGGCAACCCAAACUAUCAUUGUGUUGGGUUUGGAUAACUUUAUUUGGAUUUAAUCUCCAAAAUCGAUGGGUAUCAUCACUUAUAGAUGAAUGGUUUAGCUUCUCUCAUUUUUUUGGAUUUAAUCCACUGAAACUGAGGUUUAAGAAUUUCUUGGAUUUAAUCCACUGAAACAGUUGCUUGAUCAAGAUCAUUGGCUUGUUUGAAGGCAGAUAAAGGCUUAAAAAAGAAGAAGCAAAUAUCAUCUUAGUUGAAAUUUCAAAGGCAAUUUUUUAGAGUAAAGAGGAAAUAAUUAAUACACUCAAAGCAGGUUCUAAAGAGUUCUGUCUUUCUCACCAAACAUGCAAAUAAAUCUUUGGGAUGUGAGAAAUCUUUUGCCAAUCUUCACCCAUCUCCUCCUUCCUACAGCUGUAACGUUUCCUUAGAAUGGGGCAACCCCUUAUCCCCAAUGCCUGCAGAGGCGCUGCCAAAACAUAGUCUGGUAGUGCUCUCAACAAUUGGCAAUAUUCAAUUCCCAAGUACUGAAGUUGUGGCAUAAUGGAUAUUAUUGAAGUUGUGUUGGCAUCUUCUUCUCCCACUCUCCUUUCCUUCCCACUCUUCUACUUCUCCGAGACCGUCCAUCCAAAGUUUUUUUAAUUUGGGGAAAGCAGUGACCCUUGCAAUUUCUCCUUCAUUAAUACUGGCCUUCUCAUCUUUUUCUAUACCUAAAAAUCCAGCAUCCAACCUUCUCACCUUCAUUGAGCUCAAUACCAGGCUUUCAAGGUUGGGCAAUCUUCCCAACGGAGGCAAGACCUCCACGUUUUCACAAUCACGGAGUGUAAGCUUCUGUAAUCUGGUUAAUGUCAUCAUCCAAUUUGGCAAAUCCAACCCUCCGUAGCUAUACAUGGUUAGAUUUUCCAAGUCUGACGGAGGCUGUAAAACUUCAAGUAAAAUGUCGUUCUCCCGGUUGAAGUCAAAAUCCAAUUGCAAACAAAGCAGGCGCUUCUUAUUCUUGAGUUGUGCUUCUGCAGCGUCACUCGCAUCUUCUUUACCUCCUCCUAGAUUCCGUAUACGAAGACUCCCUCCAAUGUGAUUUAAGUCUUUUAAUUCUCUUAGAUUAGCUGCUUUACUUUCAUUCUCACCACCACCACACACAGUAACACAUCUAAUGUUUGAAGACAUGUUAUCCUCUCUACUCCCUUUGGUAUGAAGGCCACACCUGAAAGAACAACCCGGAGAUGCCUCAAUUUGAUAAGUUUUCCAAUCGCAUUAGGCAAUUCCUUGAGAGAAGCACACAGAGUAACGUCUAGGGAUUGCAGAUUGCAUAAAUCACACAUGGUUUCUGGCAGGGACUCCAACUGAUAACAAGAUGCCACAUUGAGGUGUCUCAAAUGUAUCAAAUUCCCUACCUCGUUUGGUAUUUCUUUGAUUGAAGACCUUGUCAAAUUCAAUGACCUGAUGCAUGUCAACUGCUUGAACAAAUCAGGCAGUGCAACUCCAAGCGAAGGGUCUCUAGUGUCCAUCAAGAGGCUGCGAAGACCUUUUGCUUUGUGAAUGGACUUGGGAAACGAGCUCUCCUCUGACAGCAUCAUGCUUAAAUGACGAACCCUUUCAAUUGAAGUCUCCACUGUUGCUUUUCCAAGUUUACUGGCAUCCACUGUUAGACAUUCAUUUUUUGUCAUAUAUUGGGAAAAAUCAUGCACUAUAUCAUGCAUCUUGAAUUUCAUUCCUUCACACCAAUCCAUCUCAAAAUCUUGGAAGAAAGAACGCGCUGCUAAGACUUGAAAGUACUGCUCUCCUACACCCGAAGUCUCCUUGAGGUAACCUUGAGCUAUCCACAUCUUCACCAAUUCAUAUUUUCCCAUCUUGUAGUCUUUUGGAAACAUGGCACAAUACAAGAAACAUCGUCUUACCACAGAAGGUAAAUCGUAGUAACUCAAAAGCAAAGGUAUAAAUAUGCGUCUUUCAACCUGAUCUCUAUCAACCUCAUCUAGCCUCCACAGUUCGCUAGAUAAAACACGUUCCCACUCUUCUCUUGUUAUUUUAGACUGCAUUAGACCGCCUAAUACCUUGGCAGCUAGAGGGAAGCCCUUGCACUUGUUUGCAAUUUUAUCUCCGAUAUCUGUCAAUCUUUCGCACUCAUCUUCGCUUCUUUCCUGGAAUGCCACAUGAUUGAAUAUUGAACUGCAUAUCUCAUCGGACAAUUUCUCAAUGUUGAUCCGGUGGUCAGUUCCCAUCAUCGUUGCCACAGCGUCCUUACGAGUGGUCACUAGAAUUCUGCUUCCUCGUGCACAGCCUGUGAGAGAUGGUUUCAGUUGUUCCCAUUGUCCAUGAUUUUCUGUCCAGACAUCAUCAAGGACAAGAAGGAACCUCUUUCCCUUAAUGGAUUCAGAAACCCUUCGCAAAAGGGAUUGCAAUCCUACCAAAUCAGAUGCCCUCCCUUCAAGCUCCUCAAGGAUACCUUUGGCUAUUCUAACCUCAUCAAAUGGUUCUGAAACACACACCCAUAUCUUUUUCUCAAAAUGAGCCGUAACCUCAGCAUCAUUAAAAGCUAGUUGGGCGAGAGUUGUUUUUCCAAUUCCGCCCAGCCCUACUACAGAGAUGACAUCCACGUCCCGUGCUUCUUGACUACUUUCAGCCAGCAACUUGCUUACAACAUUUCUCUUUUCACCAUCUCGACCAAUCACGCUUGAUUCAUCAAACAAAGGAGGUAGUUGUUAGUCGCUGGAGUUCAUCAGUGGCUUUGUACAGAUCAAAGCCAUACUUAGCUCUCUGUUUGGCAAUGUCAUCCACUUUUUCACAAACUUCUUUGAUCUUCAGGGCAAUGCCGCGACGUCGAACCACUUGAUUGAAACAAAAGCAAGGAGAUCCCAGGAAGGAACACCGUAUCUUCUGUCGGCUGUGAGUAUUUUCUUCAGCUUCCUCCAUUUUCCAUCUAAGAAUUGCAGUGCUCCAUUCAUCUAGCACGUCAUUCAUAUCAUAACAUGCAUCUUUGAGCUUGUCUACCCAAUAUCUUACAGCCUUAUCCUUAACUUGUUUUCUAUCUGCAUCUUCAAGGACAGACUGGAUAUCAAGGAGAUUGCUUUUCAGCCUGUCGACUUGUUUCUUCACACCCACUACUAGGUUCACCUCUUCUUGUACCUAUUAGUGUACAAAAGAUAAGGAAGUUCAGGCAGAGGAAACAUUUCUAUGAUUUCACUGCAAAUUUUUAAUUUUAAUUUUUUGUAAUUAAUAGAUUAAUAAUUUUUUUUAAUCUUUUUUUCGCAGUAGCUGACACGUACAGUGAAAUGGAUUUGCUAUAUUAAAAUAUAUAUUAAAAUCCUAUAUAUUAAAGAUAAUAAUAUUUCUUUUUAUCAUCAUCAUGAUGAUAUCUGCCUGCACUCUGCUACUAUACAAGAAGGAAGAAACCUAUAUAUAACAUAAGCUUGUUGGAUCAAAGAAACAUAGAGAAUGAAAGGAUCUGUAUUUGUUGGUAUUUGUAAAGUCUAUAGUUUUAAAGUGAAAAAUAUUCUUCCUUCAUAACACUCACUAAUUAUUUUAACAUUUGAUUGAUUAUUUUACAGUUUAGUGAGAGGAUCGACAACUACUACUCCUUUUUCCUUCUAAGGAUAUUUGUUUUAGAUUAUUUCCGGAAAUAUGAAAAACAAUAAAACAAUAAAAAGAAAUUUCUUUAAUAAAAUCCAAAUCUAGAUCUGAGGAUUUGAUAUUUUAUUUUAUUUUUCUAAUAAAGGAAGAAAAAGAGACUUCAUUUUUAUAUUUCUUAUUCAUGUAAGGGUUAAUUAGAUCGUUGCAAAUUUUACAGUUAAGCAGUAGUUUGCUGAUUGAAAUGACUGUAAAUGGAUCCCAAUUGGAAACUGUCAUAAUUGAACUGCGAGCUCCGUUUUAUGUUUCUUCAGAACAUCAGUUUCCAUCGUGAUGCCUUCUUCCUUCAUCAAAAAGUGGGCAAAAUCAUAGGAGUAUGUGUCGCCUCUUCAACUUUAAAGAGUCCUCCUUCUUUUCUUGAAAAUCCUGGAAAAAAAGCUAAGAUUUUGAAGUACUCCUUACCAGCCAGCUCCAUUUGAUCUGUAUGGAAACGGACAGCUCUCCAUCAAUCAGCAACGGAGGGGUAGGGAGGUGAAGAAGAGAGGGAAUAGAUGAAAUCCCUAAUAGUAGCUUGGUGUUUUUUGUUCCAAUGACCAAACCAGAUAAUGUACGAGUUGACAGGUGCAGCCAGAACAGGCCCCUAGAAAAGCAACUGAAGGUCUACUACAUCAGAUGACCCUUCAUAGUUCUUGGCCCGGUUGAAUAGGUCGUCUAGACAAACAAAACAGAGAGAGCAAGAGUACAUUGUGUAGCAUAAGCUUAUUAUGCAUUUAAGUCUUUAGACUUUUUUUAUUAUUAUUAUUAACGUAGGUGUCCAGGUCAGCUUCCGCGCACCUUGAUUAAUCUCACGGGCACAUUGUCAGAAAUUACAGCAAGAAAUUCUGUAAUUAUUGUAAGAAAGAAGGGCAUGUAAUCAAGGAAUGUCGUCUGCGACCACAAAAUCGACAAGGAUUUACUGUGCAGUCGAAAUUGGGGGCUGCUUUUAUGGCCGCCGAAGCCGUGUCCUCACCAUCGACACUGGAAUCUUCAUCGUCGGUGAGCUCUUCGUCGAGCACUCUCACUCCCGAGAUGGUGCAGUAGAUGAUAAUAUCUACCUUCUCUGCACUCGGGAUUUCUGGUAAGAAAAAUAAACUUAACUUUCCCUUAGAUUCAGCACAUAAUAAACAAUGGUUAAUGGAUUUGGCAUCGUCUAAUCACAUGACCAACAGUGAAAAUGGGUUGUGUAAUGUGCUAAAAUACAUGGGUAAUUAGCAUAUACAGGUAGCAAAUGGUGAUAAUCUGCCAAUUUUGUCGAUUGGUAAUUUGGGGUCUUACUUCAAUAAUAUUUUUGUGUCACCAAAAUUAUCAACAAGUUUACUCUCUGUUGGUCAAAUGGUAGAAAAUAACUGUGAAAUUCACUUUGAUCAUCAUGGUUGUUGUGUGCAGGAUCAAGUGUCGGGGGAAGGUAAUCGCGAAGGGGCCUAAAGUGGGACGUUUAUUUCCAAUACAAUUUUCUAUUCCUAGUAUUAAUUCUUGUGCUUAUUCUACUCUCAUUCAUAAUCCUCAUUUUUGGCAUAAGAAAUUAGGGCAUUCUAAUUCUAAUGUAUUGACUUAUCUUAUGAAACAUGGAUAUUUGGGGAAUAUAAACUCUUUUUCAACAGAAUUUUUGGAUUGUAGUUCUUGCAAAUUGGGUAAAAGCAAAGCAUUAUCAUUCCCUUCACAUGGUAGUUGUGCUUCUAAAUGUUUUGAAAUUAUUCAUACUGAUGUAUGGGGCAUAAGCCCUGUUAUCUCUCAUGCUAAGUAUAAAUAUUUUGUCACGUUUGUUGCUACCUAAUUUUUGAUAAAUUUUCAGAAAAAUCAAAAAUAGCAAAAAAAACAAAGAAAAACCCAAAAAUAUAUUUUUGAUGUAUUUGCAUCGUUUUUAGCAUUUUCAAUGCCAUCUCAAAAGAAUUUAAAUUUUUAAAGGAAUUUUGGAACGCGUUCAACUUUUAACGCGUAAAAUUUUAUGAUCACUGAUUUUUAUUUUUGAGUUGACGGUGAUAUUGCUCGCUUUCGAAAACACAAAAAAAGAGAGAAAAUCAAAAUUUAAGAAAAAAAAGAGGAAAAGUUGAGGGACCAUUGUGAUUUUGGCCAUGCCACAUUUCUCCUAUAAAUACUAAGCUACAGUAAUGAACCAAGGGGCGAAAAAUAGACACAGGGAGAAAAAUGGUUUCACGGGGGAGAAAUUUACAUGGGGGGAAAGGCAAGUAGAAAAAAACCCUAAAGCCAAAAAAAAAAACCUAGAAACUAAAAAAACCCUUUCUUCCCCGGCAGCCGCCCUUGGCCUUUGAAAAAAACCUAGAACUAAUGAUUUUCUUCCUUAGCCACAACGCUGACCUCUCUUUUUGAAAAAGGGAGGAACAGACCGCCGCUGCAGAGUCUUUGAAAGGAAAAAGUCACCUGGCUAGGCGUUUCAAACAGCCCCGCCUCUCCUCUCUCCUUUUCUUCUCCCGAAACUAGCCAAAACUGACCCUCUCACUCUCAGCACAAAGCAGCCGCCCCCUUUACCCCCAUCUUCUUCUCCCUCAACCGACAGAUCUCACCCUCCAAUAGCAACCCCUCUUGCACGAAAAAACCCAGAGAAACCGUCCCUAAGCUCUCCAUUUUCCCUGCAGGAGGAGAGAAACCCACCGGACACAAGCCUUCUCCAGGUCUCCCCCGGAGCCGCCGCCCCCCAUCGUCUUGGAUUUGUUUCUCUCCCGAGACCAGCCGGCCACUCAUUUUUUCCCUUGGCUUGCUAAACAAAGCGGAGAAACUGGAGAGCAUCAGACUGACCUCUCUCUCCCUCGGCCGACCACCAUCAACCGGUCAACAGCAGCAUCUUCCCUUCUCCUGCAGCUCGUUACAGAGACAAUGAGAAGGGAGGCCAGAGGAUAGUGAAGAAGGGGCAGAAAACCGAAGCUUGGAUGGGCGCCGAUCUCGCAACCAUGGCAGCGGUGGACAACACCACCGUUGCAGAAACGAAAUGGGAGGAAGGGAAGUUGCUGAUCCAGCCAUCCACACGCCUGGUCUGUGGGCGGCGCGUGUAACGCCCAGCUUCAGAUUCGGCAGAUUUGAAGAAAAGAGAGGAGAAGCAGAUCCGAAAACAGUGAUUGAAAAAUAACUAAAAUCAGCUGGCUUUUUGUGCUUUGAUUUUUCUUUGCAGGUCACCACCGGUGGAAGAGGGGAUGAGGCCGUUGAAGACCCCCUGUGUUGUGUGGAUUUUUGCGGCGGCGCGUGGAUGCACGCGCCGCUACUGUUCAGGCAGCUCCAAAAAUUGUUUUCCUGAAUUUUUGGGACUAUUCUGUAAUUUUCAAUUAUGUGAUGUAAUUUUUGUUUAGUUUUGAAUUUUUUAUUUGUAUGUUGUGAAUUUGAAUGUAACAAAAAAAACAAAAAAAAAAGAAAGAAGAGAAAGGAAAAGAAAAAUAAAUAAUAUAAAGAAAGUUGUGUGUGUGUUUGUUUUUUUAUUUAUGUUAUUGAAUUAUAAAAAUAAAAAAAGGACAAAAAGAAUUAUUUGUUUAAUUUGAAUAUGGUUAAAUAUUUAAGGACAAAUAAAAUUAUGUUAUAUUUUCUAUGAAAGUGUAAGAACAUGUUUUUACACGUAUUCAGGGAUUUAAUAAUUGAUUUAUUAAAGUCUUAGAAUUUGAUUAAUAUUUUAAAUUUUCAAAUCAUAUCAAACCACGAAGCAGCUUAGCUCAGGUAGGGUGCUGUAGGGGUACUAAUACCUUUUCUAGCCACAAUCAGUCCCUUACCCUAGAAUCUCUGACCACGACCAGUAAAUCAUGGUUUUCUAGUAACCCUCUAUUAAAUACUAGGUGGCGACUCUCAAAGAACCAAUCAAGCAAAGACAACGAAAAAUUGCCAAAUCACCGCGUGGGGGACGUGCGACAAUGUUUAUUGAUGAUUUCAGUCGUUUCACUUGGAUAUAUUUUCUUCGAUCUAAGACUGAUUUAUUCUUAACAUUUCAGGCUUUCGUUGUAUUUAUUGAAAAUCAAUUUUCUACUCAUAUUAAAAUACUUUGUUCUGACUCCGGGGGGGAAUAUGUGUCCAAAGAACUUCAGGAAUAUCUCAAAAACAAAGGGAUUCUCUCUCAAAGAUCUUGUCCUUACAUUCCUUAACAAAAUGGAGUUGCUGAGCGUAAGAAUCCUCAUCUUUUAGAUGUUCGCACCUUAUUAAUUGAUUCUUUGGUACCUACUCGAUUUUGGGUAGAAGCACUGUCCACAGUCGUUCAUCUAAUUAAUUGUUUGCCUUCACAAGUACUAAACUUUGCAUCUCCAUACUCUAUUUUAUUUGGUGUUAUUCCUAAGUAUGAUUCUCUCCGUGUUUUUGGGUGUGUUUGUUUUGUUCACUUACCAUCUACUGAACGUAAUAAACUUUUAGCCCAAGCUGCUCGUUGUGCUUUUCUAGGAUACAAUAAUUUUCAUAAAGGAUUUGUGUGUUAUGAUGCAAAUGCUCAUAAAAUUCAUCUCUUGAAAUGUAAUUUUUUUUUUAAAUCAGAAUUUUUUCCCUUCUUAUCCCUCUACAAAAUCCACUCCUAUCCAACUUCCCACAUUUGAUGAUCAUAGUCCAUCUUAUAUCUUUGAAUGUUUUAAGCCAGGAAUUGUAUAUCAAAGACGUCAUCCACCAUCCAUUUUGCCCCUUCCGGACACGAAACCGGCAUCUGAUCAUUCCCCUCAACUAAGACGAUCAACUCGAGUUUCACGUGCCCCAAACAGGUAUGGAUACUAUCAGCAACUACUAUUGAUAGUACUUUUGUGCCUAAGACUUAUGCCCAGGCUUCUACCCAAGACUGUUGGCAACAGGCCAUGAAAGAGGAACUUCAGGCUCUUCAGGAUAAUCACACAUGAGAUAUUGUUUCUUGUCCUACCGGAAUUAAACCUAUUGGCUGCAAAUGGCUAUACGAAAUUAAAGCACGGUUGGUGGCUCUUGGAAAUUGUCAGGCAUAUGGUAUUAAUUAUGAGGAGACAUUUGCACCUGUGGCUAAAAUGACUACCAUACGAACCAUUAUGACAAUUGUUGCUUCCAAAAGAUGGCCACUUCAUCAAAUGGAUGUAAAAAAUGCAUUUUUACAUAGAGACUUGAAAGAGAAUAUUUAUAUGACUCCUCCUUCUGGUAUGUUUACUCACUCAUCCGAUAAAGUCUGCUGGUUGAAACGGUCCCUGUAUGGUCUAAAACAGGCACCCCGGGCAUGGUUUGAAAAAUUUCGCACUACUCUUUAGAAACUUAAAUUUAUUCAGAGCCAAUAUGAUUCCUCUAUGUUUCUUCAGCAAACUACUACUGGUAUUGUUGCUCUUCUGGUAUAUGUUGAUGAUAUUAUCAUUACAGGAUCCGACAUUCCACUCAUUGAGGAUUUACAACAUUCUCUUAACAGUGAAUUUCAUAUGAAGGAUCUGGAACACCUUCACUAUUUCCUUGGUCUACCGGUGCACUCUAUGUCCAGUAGGAUUUCUCUACAUCAGCACAAAUACACCCAAGAGAUUCUUCUUUUGGGCGUUCUUGAAUCAGGGAAUAUCGUUCUUACACCUCUCGAGAUUAAUUUAAAACUUUGUCAUAAUGAUGGUGACCUGUUACCUGAUCCCUCCAUAUACAAGCAGUUGGUGGGCAGUUUGAAUUAUCUAACCAUUACUCGGCCAAAUAUUUCUUUUGUAGUACAACAAGUCAGUCAAUUUUUACAGGCUCCUCGUCAACCUCAUUUAGCUGUUGUCCGAAGAAUUCUUCGCUAUCUUAAAGUCACAUCUGGGCGAGGAUAAUUUUUUCCUGCUGAUAAUUCAUUACAAUUAACAAGUUAUAGUGAUGCAGAUUGGGCAGGGUGCGUGGAUACACGUCGGUCUGUUACUGGGUGGUGUAAGUUUCUUGGAAAUGCUUUGAUUUCAUGGAAAAGCAAAAAGCAAGACCGAAUCUCAAAAUCUUCCAUAGAAUCUGAGUAUCGAGCUAUGUCCUCCGCAUGUUCUGAAAUUGUGUGGCUUCAGGGUUUGCUACGUGAACUUGGUUUUCCUCAGCACACUCCUACACCUCUUCAUGCUGAUAACACAAGUGCUAUUUAGAUUGCUACUAAUCAUGUGUUUCAUGAACGCACCAAACAUAUUGAAGUUGAUUGUCACUACAUUCGUGAAGCUUUUGAUCAUAAUAUUCUUACACUACCUUAUAUUUCCACCGAGCAUCAGACAACUGAUGUCUUUACGAAGGCCUUGUCUCGGCCUCGACAUCAACUCAUGAUAGACAAAUUGAUGCUUCUUGAUCGGCUAGCAUCAAUUUGAGAGGGGAUGUCAUUGUAUAUUAUGGCAAGAAUAUCAAUACUAUAUGGCAACCAAAUUGUAACAGAAUAUCUUGUAUUUAUUAUAGACUACAAAUCAGGGAUUAGAGACAGUAAAUUAGUGAUUAUUACAUGUAUUUAGAGGAUUGAAUUCCUCCUUCUGAAGUCAUUAAUUGAGAGAACAAUUUUACAUUGAAAUUUGAUAUUUGUGACAUGUGACUUGGUGAGAUUCUUCAUUUAUUAUUAUUUCCUUGUGGUGGACACAAUGGUUUACGUAGAUGAACUGAAUUCUUGCAUGACAACAACAAAAUAAGUGUGAUUCAGCACUGUCAAGAAAAAGGUAGAGCAGAGCAACCCUUUUUGACGGAGGCUAAUAAGUUGCAAAAGUUAGUAAGAAGUGGCUCAUUGAGCAACCAAUUAGCCAAGAUGUCUUAUUUCAAACCCUCGUACAGAGGAAUGCCGUAUUUUUAUUUUUCUAAGGAACUGCAUUUUUGUCCCCCUCUUCUCCUUCUUUUUUCCUGUUGAAACAGCAACAGGGUACAUCUACUCCAUGUCAAAGUCUAGUCUAUAACCAGACCAGUAAAGAACAUUGACUUACAAGGAGUUCCAUUGAAGUUUCGAUUAUGAGCAGGCAUGCUUCUAUCCCAAUUUACCACUCUGGGUCAGAUUUCACACUUAUCAGAGCACUGUGAUGACAACAGCAGAAACUAUCUAAUUUCCCACCAAACAUAAAGAGAGCUUUGAAUCUACACACCCGCCAGUUAUAAUCAUUCAAGACAGAUAUGUUAGCUAUAGUUAAGGCCAGAGAGAAACACAAGCUAAAAAAAAAUGCACCUUCUAAUUACCGAGAAGCAUGCAGAAAAAAACCUGUAGACAACUCCAAUAUUGGGUGUCAGAUUCUGUAUUUUCUGAACCUGAAACAACAAGCAAUUAAAUACCAUCAACAACCAACUCAAGUUCUAUACUAUCUUGCAAGUUAUAUACCAUCAAUGAAAUAGUUUUUAUUUAAAGGGAUUAAAAUGACAUCUUUUUACCAAAAUUGUUUUUUCCAAAAAACAUUCAAUAAUAUUUAACCAAGUUUUACCCGAGUCCAUAUAAUUUGAAAGUAAUAAAUCAUAUCAAAUUUCUUUAAAUUAUUAAAUUGGAUCCUUAAUUUUCAAUUCGUCAAAUUAUUAAAUUGGAUCUUCAAUCUCUUUUAUAGGGGGUUUGGUGUCACUGCUUAACUUAAUUAUGAUACUAUAUAUAGUGACCAUUUGUGAUAAUUCUGUUGCAGAUUAAAAAUAUUUAGCGACAUUAAAAGUGUCGUUAAAUAUAUUUUGAAGAGCCAUUACAUGUUGUUUUUUGUUUUUUGUAGUGCAACGAUAGUAAAACAUUAUGUUAAUUUUAGCAACACACCGUGACCAAAUCCAAUGAAGAAACCUAAUAAUCAAAGAAAAUUAGAAAUUUUAAAAUUGAUAUUGGAUUUUUAAAGAUUCAGAUAUUAGGUUAACAUCACAUUUACUAUAACCUUUUAAAUAAAAAAUUAUCAUUGUUUAUGUUUUUCUAAAUUAUUUUAUGCUAUUAUAUUUUUAUUUAUAAUUUAUUUAAGAAUAGACACCGGUUUCUUAGAAUAAAAAACUUGUAAAUUUUUUUGUCAUCCCUAAAAACCAAAGAGUCCAUAGCUUGUCAUUUUAUGACACUAGCCUUGCUAUGUAUAUAUAAUCUCCACGGUUAUAAAAACCAAUAUCUAAAUAGAAGAUUUCAUUAAUUUUUUUACAUUAAUCCCUGAAGACAGUAGAUUUUGUAAUUUCUUGAAUUUUAAUAAAAACUUUGAUGUUAAUCCCUUAAGAUAGAAGAUUUCAUCACUUUUUAAGAUUUAAUGAAAAUUUUGAUGAUAUUCACUAAAAUAGAAGAUUUCAUCAUUUUUUUAAUUUAUAACAAAAUUUUGACGUUAUCUCUAAAAAGUUUUUGUUGUAUAGUAAAAUGGUUUUUAUACAGUAAAAUCCAGUUCCCAUACAGUAGUGUAUAACCUUUUCGGUUUUUAGUAUGGUUUGUUUCUUUGGCUGCUUUUCCAAGAUAAAGUCUUCAUCCGUGAUUUCUUGUUUCAGCAUGAUUUCUUUUCUCUUCAGCAAGCUAGAUGUAUGUUUUGUAAAAGAAGAUUUGAAACUUCAAGCCAUCUCUUCAUUCAUUGUGUUUUUGCCUGGAAGUUAUGAAUGAAAUUCCUAUUUUGGUGGGGGAAUUAGUGAUUCUUUCCCAAAUUCUAUUGAUGAUAUAAUCUACAAAUGAUGCAAGGAAAAUUUCAGAAUCUUUCAUGAUGACAACUUCUCUUUUCUUGUAUUGCAUGGAGUCUAUGGCUACAUUGAAAUGAUGUAAUCUUCAAUGAUGCUAUUCCAGAUCUUAAGGGUUGUUUUUACUUUAUCGAUCCUCCACAGGUUCUCCUUAUGGUUGAAGUUUGAUAGCACAACUUUUGCUUACACCGGUUUGGAUUUAGGGAUCAACUCUGAUGGGAUCUUUUUCGGGGAUAACAGAAGUUGACUUCUUGUUUUUAUCUAUUGUCUGGUCCCUGUUUUCUUCUUCCUGUUAUAGAGUAGAUACCGUGAUUUAGGGAUCAACUAAGGUUCACUGUUGGUUUCUAUGCAAGGCAAGAUUGAGAGUUAUGUGAAUAUAUGAGUUGGAAGGUUAGAGUAAAUGCUGGAUGGUAUUUUUUAUUUUUCCCUCUCAUUGGCGCUGCUCACCAAUAGCUCGGGUGCAUUUGAUGCUGAUGGAGAUGGAACCGAAGCUUAUAUAUUCAGCCACUUCACAUGCUUUUUUUCUUUUAACAGUCGAGUGUAUUAUAAGAAAAUGGCUAAAAAGAUAAUAGCCUAGCAUCCAGAAGUUCUAGCUGACCACAAAAAAAAAAAAAAAAAGCAAACAAGCUUUAGAGGUUUUGAAACAGGGGAAGGAAAACAGUGUGGGAAAAGGAAAAAAACAAUUGAAAUCAGCUCCUCCUUUUUACAAAACCAAUGCCAUCAUAGCUGUUAUGAACAUCCUCGCCAGCAGAGUCUGGAGAAUUGGUAUCAAGUCUCAGCCAUAAUGAGAAACUGCCGAAGAUCAAGGAAAAACAGCUUUGAAGGUUUGGAGCAGCCCUAUUAAAGAUGAUAUCUCCAUAGAAAACCAUUAGUAGUACAUAUCAUCAAUCGAUUUUGUGAAAACAUUGAUAAUACCCCACCGUGAAGGAAUUUCAUUCAUAGAUGCCAAGCAAAGUGGCAGUGGAUGAAGAGGUGACUUGAAGAUUCCAGGUUUUUAUUACAAAAAACACAUCUAGAAGCCACUUCAGAUGCUCAUGAUGAUAUUACAUGUUUCUUCUCUCUGAAUUCAUACAAUCUUUCUUUCAUACACUUCCAUAUUUUUCAGAAAAGAUUGAGGAUGAAGAUACACCAAAUUUAGAUUGCAUCAGAGGUUGCAGUCACUAUCUUUACACGGGGUUGGCUUUUUUUACUUGCUAAAGAUGGCUAACUGUAAUUAGAAUGUUUCUUCUUUUCAAAGUAAUAAAUCUCUGAGUCCUUACAUCUCUAGUUAAUUAUAACUACCUUACCGGUCAUAAUGCUCUUUUCUAUACCUGAUGAAUGAUAUUAUUUCUGAGAUUUUUGAACAUGUAAUGACGGAAGCCUGCGGUGGAUUGGUUCCCUUUGUUACGUUACUGGAGUCGCAAUGUUUCGAGGUAUCUGACCAAAUUAAUUCUCUUGCUUUUUGCAGCAAAUCUGUAUCUCUUGCUACUUGCUAGAGGCGUACUCCCAGGCUACCACUGUUUUGGUGUUGCCUCUCUUACCAUUGUUAUUAGGUUGAAUUAAUUAAAUACCAGAAGAUUUCUGGAUGUGUAAUGACUGUAUGAUUAAACUUACCAGUGCACUGUCAAGGCUGUGGCGCAUGAACUUCAUUCGCGGGCGUGCGUCACCACUGUUCCACCGUGUGCCGUCGCAGCCUUCACCAAUUCCAGUAGCUCCAGUUUUUUUCUCCAUUGCCUCCAUUGAAGGUCCAAUUUUCGAGCUCACAAAACAUGACAUCUUGAGUUUAUUUUUCACGAAUUAUGUUUGUGUUUUGACAAAUCCAACAAUUAUGAUUUGAUUUAGUUGUUUCUAGUUAUGGGACACAAUGUUGUGUUUUUUUAUUAAAAAAAAGAAGAAAAGAAAACAGAGAGAAUGCUAAAAAGAAAGUCACAGCUGCAUGUGAUAGAAUACAUGUAAGUAGGAAAUAAAAUCCAACUCAAGAAUAGAUUACAAAUGAGUUCAAUCCAUUUACAGAAAAAGGGUAUAUAGAAUAUAUUUGUCUGAAGAAUCCCCUGUCUGGAAGUUCUUUGAAUGGGGCUGUGAUGGCAUUUAGAAAGCACAAGCACUAGGGGUCUUGUCUUUCACUAGCAGAAACAUAUUUAUUGUUGAAGAUUUUUUGUGUUAGGUUUAGAUAACUUUAUUUGGAUUUAAUCCACUAAAUUGGUGGGUAUCAUCUCUUAUAGAUGAUACUUUAGCUUCCAAGUCUACCAUUCUCUCAUUUAUUUGGAUGUGUUUUGUAGGGUAGAUAUGGUUGUUUUUCAAAAUGUUUUUUAAUUGAAAAUGCUUUAAAAUAAUUUUUUAAAUAUCAGUUUUUACAUCAACAAUAUAUCAAAAUGAUCUAAAAAUAUUUAUAAAAAAUUAAUUUAAAAUAAAUAAAUAAAAUUUAAAUUUAAAAAAAAAACAAAACACUUACACAAAAACAAAUAGAAUCUUGCUGUGAAUAACAGAAUUUGGUGCUAAAUUUCUUGUUGUGAAUUGCAGAAAACAGUUGCUUGAUCUGCACUAGGAUGGCAAUAGCAAGGUAAUGGAGGAUGUGAGAAAGGUAUAUCCAAGUCGUGCUUCUUUUUUGUAUCUUUCUCCUCAUCCACUAACUCUUGCUUCUUUUUUUCCCGUGAAAAAAUGGAGAGCCGAAAAUAGAUUUGUUAAAAAAUGGAGUUCCUGCAGAUUCCAAUUAAAGAGUUCUGUCUUUCUCCUGUAAUCAUCAAAACAAAUGUUAGGGAUGUGAGAAAUCUUUUGCCAAUCUUCACCCAUCUCCUCCUCCCCGUAACGUUUCUUAAUGGGGCAUCUACUUAUGUCCAGUUCCUGUAGAGGCGCUGCCAAAACAUAGUCUGGUAGUGCUCUCAACAACGGGCAAUUUCAAUAUCAAUCUCGAAGUUGUGGCAUAAUGGAUAUAUUGAAGUUGUGUUGGCAUCUUCUUCUCCCACUCUCCUUCCAAUUCCAUCCCACUCUUCUACUUCUUCGAGAUCCAAAUCAAGUUUUUAAUUUGGGGAAAGCAGUGACCCUUGCAAUUUCUCCUUCAUUAAUACUGGCAUUCUCAUCUUUUUCUAUACCUAAAAAUCCAGCAUCCAACCUUCUCACCUUCAACGACCUCAAACCAGGCUUUCAAGGUUGGGCAAUCUCCCAACGGAGGCAAGACCUCCAGUUCACAAUAACAGAGUUUAAGCUCCUGUAAUCUGGUUAAUGUCAUCAUCCAAUUUGGCAAAUCCAACCCUCCGUACCUAGAUAUGGUUAGAUUUCCAAGUCUGACGGAGGCGUAAAGCUUCAAUUAAAAGCCGUUCUUGCCGGCUCUGUGUCGAAACCAAUAGCAAACAAGCAGGCGCUUCUUAUUCUUGAGUUGUGCUUCUGCAGCGUCACUCGCAUCUUCUACCUCCCCGUAGAUUCCAUAUCUUAAGACUCCCUCCAAUGUGAUUUAAGUUUUUUAAUUCUCUUAGAUUAGCUGCUUUACUUUCAUUCUCACCACCACCACACACAGUAAACACAUCUAAUGUUCGAAGACAUGUUAUCCUCUCUAUUCCCUUUGGUAUGAAGGCCACUCCUGAACCAUAAAUCCGGAGAUGCCUCAAUUUGAUAAGUUUUCCAAUCGCCUUGGCAAUUCCUUGAGAACCACACCAAGUAACGUCUAGGGAUUGCAGAUUGCAUAAAUCACACAUGGUUUCUGGCAGGGACUCCAACUUAACAAAUGCCAAAUUGAGGUGUCUCAAAUGUAUCAAUUUCCCUACCUCGUUUGGUAUUUCUUUGAUUGAAGACCUUGACAAAUUCAAUGACCUGAUGCAUGUCAACUGCUUGAACAAAUCAGGCAGUGCAGCUCCAAGCGAAGGGUCUCUAGUGUCGAUCAAGAGGCUGCGAAGACCUUUUGCUUUGUGAAUGGACACGGGAAAAGAGGUCUCUUGACAGCAUCAUGCUUAAAUGACGAACCCUUUCAAUUGAAGUCUCCAUUGUUGCUCCUGAAGGUUAUUGACAUCCACUGUUAGACAUUCAUUUUUUGUCAUAUAUUGGGCAAAAUCAUGCACUAUAUCAUGCAUCUUGAAUCUAAUAUCUUCUGAUCAUACGUCUUAAAUCUUGGAAGAAAGAGCGCGCUGCUAAGACUUGAAAGUACUGCUCUCCAACAAGCUCCAUAUCUCCACCUGAAGUCUCCUUGAGGUAACCUUGAGCUAUCCACAUCUUCACCAAUUCUAUUUCCCAUCUCGUAGUCUUUUGGAAACAUGGCACAAUACAAGAAACAUCGUCUUACCACAGAAGGUAAAUCGUAGUAACUCAAAAGCAAAGGUAGAAAUAUUCCUCUUUCAACCUGAUCUCUAUCAACCUCAUCUAGCCCCACAAUUCGCUAGAUAAAACACGCUCCCACUCUUCUCUUGUUCUUUUAGACUGCAUUAGACCUCCUAAUACCUUGGCAGCUAGAGGCAAGCCCUUGCACUUGCUUGCAAUUUUUCGCCGAUAUCUGUCAAUCUUUCGCGCUCAUCUUUGCUUCUUUCCUGGAAUGCCACAUGAUUGAAUAUUGACCUGCAUAUCUCAUCGGACAAUUUCUCAAUGUUGAUCCGGUGGUCAGUUCCCAUCAUCGUUGCCACAGAAUGUUUACGAGUGGUCACUAGAAUUCUGCUUCCUGGUGCACGCCUGUGAGAGAUGGUUUCAGUUGUUCCCAUUGUCCAUGAUUUUCUGUCCAUACAUCAUCAAGGACAAGAAGGAACCUCUUUCCCUUAAUGGAUUCAGAAACCCUUUGCAAAAGGGAUUGCAAUUCAACCAAAUCGUGCCUCCCUUCAAGCUGCUCAAGGAUAGCUUUGGCUAUUCUAACCUCAUCAAAUGGAUCUGAACACACACCCAUAUCUUUUUCUCAAAAUGAGCCGUAACCUCAGCAUCAUUAAAAGCUAGUUGGGCGAGAGUUGUUUUUCCAAUUCCGCCCAGCCCUACUAGAGAGAUGACAUCCACGUCCCGUGCUUCCUGACUACUUUCCCAGCAACUUGCUUACUACAGCUUCCCUUUCAUCAUCUCGACCAUCACGAUUGAUUCAUCAACAAGGGAGGUACUUGUUAUUCGUUGGAGUUCAUCAGUGGCUCUGUACAACUCAAAGCCAUACAUAGCUCUCUCUUUGGCAAUCUCAUCCACUUUUUCACAUACUUCUUUGAUCUUGAGGGCAAUGUCGCGACGUCGACCACUUGAUUGAAACAAAAGCAAGGAGAUCCCAGGAAGGAACAUCCAUCUUCUGUAGGCUGUGAGUAUUUUCUUCAGCAUCCCCCAUUUUCCAUCUAAGAAUUGCAGAGCUCCAUUCAUCUAGCACGUCAUCCAUAUCAUAACAUACAUCUUUGAGCUUGUCUACCCAAUCUCUUACUGCCUCAUCCUUCACUUGUUUUCUAUCUGCAUCUUCAAGGACAGAGUGAAUAGCAAGGAGAUUGCUUUUCAGCUUGUCGACUUGUUUCUUCACACCCACUACUAGGUUCACCUCUUCUUGUACCUAUUAGUGUAGAAAAGAUAAGGAAGUUCAAGUAGAGGAAACAUUUCUAUGAUUUCACUGCAAAUUUUUAAUUUUAAUGUUUUGUAAUUAAUAGAUUAGCAGUAGUUGACACGUACUGUGAAAUGGAUUGGCUAUAUUAAUAAUUUAUAUAUAAAAUAUUUAUUAAAAACCUAUAUAUUAAAGAUAAUAAUAUUUCUUUUUAUCAUCAUCAUGAUGAUAUCUGUCUGCAGUCUGCUACUAACAAGAUGGAAGAUAAUGAAUCAUAAAAUUGUUCGACGUCAAACCUAUAAAUAACAUAAGCUUGCUGGAUCAAAGAAAUAUAGAGUAUAAAAGGAUCUGUAUUUGUUGGUAUUUGUAAAGUCUAUAGUUUUAAAGUGAAAAUAUUCUUCCUUUAUAACACUCACUAAUUAUUUUAACAUUUGAUUGAUUAUUUUACAGUUUAAUGAGAGGAUCGACAACUCCCUUUUCCUUCUAAGAAUAUUUGUUUUAGAUUAUUUCCGGAAAUAUGAAAAAUAAUAAUAUAAUAAAGAGAAAUUUCUUUAAUAAAAUACAAAUCUAGAUCUGAGGAUUUGAUAUUUUAUUUUAUUUUUCUUAUAAAGGAAGAAAAAAGACUUCAUUUUUAUAUUUCUUAUUCAUGUUAGGGCUAAUCAGAUCAUUGCAAAUUGUACGAAGUAAUUACCUCUUGAGCAACAAUCCUCGUUAACUGCUCCAAAAUUGGCGAUAAAAGUGCCGCUGCCAUCUGUCUGUUUAAUUUAAUUUAAUUUAAUUAUUUUUGAAAAAGAGACAAUGAUGAUAGGAUGAACUAAGAAAGAGAGAGAAGAGAGUCUGAGUGGAAGGAGGCUGCUGGUUUAUUAGUUAGUUUAUGUACUUAGGGUUUGGUGUGGAGGGUUGAGUUUUGUUUCAGUCCCUGUACUGUUUCUAACACUUCGAUUCAGUCCCUAUAUUAUUGUAGCUUUUCAGUCUAGUCCUGGUUGUAUGUUUCUACUGAGAAUGACAUGCCAUUUUGAGUUCCAAAGGUGAAAUACUCGUGCUUUUCUAACUUUUCCUGGCUAAGGAUUAUUAUUUGUGGAAAGUAAUUUCUUCUUCGAUAUAUAGCAGUUAUUUUGGAUUGAUACUGACCUUAGGUUAAGAAUGCUGAAGUUUCUAUUGAUUAUAGCAAUCUACUGAAAUCCCUGCUUCUCGUCUGCUUCUCUAUUUCUUCUCUUCAUUUUAUGUUAUUCCACUAAUCUUCCAAACUGGAUCAUGGUAAUAUAUAUCUGUCCAUCCAAACUAAUUUACACAAACCAAAAGUAGUAACCAAUUAGUUCUUGUGUAAUGGAAAUACAAACAAGCAUCUAUCUAUCUGGGUUUUUGAGAUCUGGUGAUUUUAUCCUGUUUUCAUAGCAGGGACUGGGGUUUGAUAUUGAUCUUUGAUUUUUGGGUCCGAAAAUGGAUGGUCCAGAUUUGUUGAGGUUGUAUGAUUGGAUUUGUUGAUGGUGCUUGAGAUGAUGCUGUAAAGUAUUUUCUUAUAUAUUUUCUGAUUUUCUGGAGGAAAGGAAAGGACUACAUCACCUUCCUAUCGAUUUUUCUAUCUGCAUCCAUAUACAUUUUGCAAUUAAGUCAUUAUGCUUUAAACUCAUUCCAUGUGCCUUCCCUUACAAGAAAAAAAAGAAAAAGAAAAAACAAGCCCAGGGUACUCAGCUUGGGCUUGGGUUCCCUCAUUAUGACUUGGUGAAUUGGGCAAUCUAAAUACUUUUGGGCUCUGUUUUAAUGGGUUCCAAGGGGAAGAAAACACAACGAUUCUUGAACAAGGAUUUGUGUCCCGUGCGCACUUGAACGAUGGGGGUCUGUUUGCAUUUUGUCAAAAGAGAUGAAAUUCUAAUCAAUGAUGAUGAUGAAAAAAAUAAAUAUAUAAAUUACUAUGUGCAUUCUAUAAUUUAGUUAUAUAAUAUAGUAGAUCUUUACAAAUUAGUAAUUUCAACUUACCAGUAGAAAAAUUAUAGUAGAUCUUUACCAUGAUAUUAUCGAAAUAAAUAAAUAAAUAAAAAUAGAUACACUUCAACACGUCCAUACACUCUUUACCAUGAUAUUAUGUAAAAUGUUAUUCUGAAGUGCCAAGACGGCUUCCUUGAAUUGCAAUAGUAUUUCGAUGUCUUGGUAGUUGAAUUUUUCUCAAUGAGCUCCAGGAAACUCUGUAAUUCUGAUUCUUGCCACCAAGUAACUUCAGGGCAGUCUGGAAAGGAUUUUCAAUGUACUUAUGUUCUUGAUGGAAUCUAAUUAUAAUUCUUAAAAACUUUUCAAUGUACUUCUGGCUUUUAAGCAAGCCUUGUCAGAACAAGAGUCUUGUGAUUAAAUUGUUUCUUCAACUCAAAUAGAUCCCUGAAAAUUAGAAAGGGGAGGCUUAUAAUUAAAUAAUAAAUGACACCAGGGGUAACAACUUAUACCCUGAUAAUCUACUAAUAGACUGACAUGCUGUAUCCAAGAAAUUAUUCCACCCCGUUUUUGGGCUGUGUUCAGAAAAUUAUUACAACCCAUUUUUGGGGUUCAACUUCGGUAUUGUUUAUUAUGUUGUUCGCCUUUUUUAAAUUGUGUUUUUUAAAAUAUAUUUUAUAAUCUUAAUGAAAAAAAAUAUAAAAAUAUAUUUUUAAUUAAAAAAUACUUUUAAAAAAGAUCAUAUCUUGCAUUACUAAACACACAUAUAAUAGAAUACUCGAGGGAUUUUUUUAUAAGCCAAGACUAAAUUUAUUAUUGCUAUUAUUUUAAAGUUCAUUCGUAUUUGUAUUAAACACAUACUAAUUUUCUCUUGAAAUAUGAAAGCAAAAUCCAAAAAAAAAUAAAAUGAAUGCUAAUCAAUAAAAAACAUAUGAAUUUUUUUUAUUUGAGAAUAAAGAAUUUUUUAAAUUUUUUUAUAAAUUAAUUAAAAUUAACCAUUAUUUACAUUAUUUAAGAGCAUUAAAGAAAUUUUUUAAAAAAACUUAACAAAUCUAAAAUUAGAAGUUAUUGUAGUUCUAAAUACUUCCGAGUAUUUAAUUAAUUUUAUUUUUGGAUAUGUUUUUAAAAUAUAUUUUAUUUAAAAAAUAUUAUAUUAAGUUUUUAAAUAUUUUUAAUGAUUUUUAUGUAUUAAUAUUAAAAUGGCAUGUCAUUCUCAGUAGAAACAUACAAUUAAAUUUCAUUAACAGCCAUCUCAAGUUCUAUACUAUCUUGCAAGUUGUAUAACAUCAAUGAAAAAUUUUUUAUUUAAAGGGGUUAAAAUGACAUCUUUUUACCAAAAUUGUUUUUUCUAAAAAAAAUUCAAUAAUAUUUAACCAAGUUUUACCCGAGUCCAUAUAAUUUGAAAGUAAUAAAUCAUAUCAAAUUUCUUUAAAUUAUUAAAUUGGAUCCUUAAUUUUUAAUUUGUCAAAUUAUUAAAUUGGAUCUUCAAUCUCUUUUAUAGGGGGUUUGGUAUCACUGCAUAACUUAAUUAUGACACUAUAUAUAGUGAUCAUUUGUGAUAAUUCUGUUGCAGAUUGAAAAUAUUUAGCGACACUAAAAGUGUCGUUAAAUAUGAGAGCCAUUACAUGUUGUUUUUUGUUUUUUGUAGUGCAACGAUAGUAAAACAUGAUGUUAAUUUUAGCAACACACCGUGACCAAAUGCAACGAAGAGAGUCGAAACCUAAUAAUCAAAGAAAAUUAGAUAUUCUAAAAUUGAUAUUGGAUUUUUAAAGAUUCAGAUAUUAGGUUAACAUCACAUUUACUAUAACCUUUUAAAUAAAAAAUUAUCAUUGUUUAUGUUUUUCUAAAUUAUUUUAUGCUAUUAUAUUUUUAUUUAUAAUUUAUUUAAGAAUAGACACCGGUUUCUUAGAAUAAAAAACUUGUAAAAUUUUUUGUCAUCCCUAAAAACCAAAGAGUCCAUAGCUUGUCAUUUUAUGACACUAGCCUUGCUAUGUAUAUACAUAAUCUCCACGGUUUUAAAAACCAAUCUCUAAAAUAGGAGAUUUCAUUAAUUUUUUUACAUUAAUCCCUGAAGACAUGCAGUAGAUUUUGUAAUUUCUUGAAUUUUAAUAAAAACUUUGAUGUUAAUCCCUUAAGAUAGAAGAUUUCAUCACUUUUUAAGAUUUAAUGAAAAUUUUGAUGAUAUUCACUAAAAUAGAAGAUUUCAUCAAUUGUUUCUUUGGCUGCUUAUCCAAGAUAAAGUCUUCAUCCGUGAUUUCUUGUUUCAGCAUGAUUUCUUUUCUCUUCAGCAAGCUAGAUGUAUGUUUUGUAAAAGAAGAUUUGAAACUUCAAGCCAUCUCUUCAUUCAUUGUGUUUUUGCCUGGAAGUUAUGAAUGAAAUUCCUAUUUUGGUGGGGGAAUUAGUGAUUCUUUCCCAAAUUCUAUUGAUGAUAUAAUCUACAAAUGAUGCAAGGAAAAUUUCAGAAUCUUUCAUGAUGACAACUUCUCUUUUCUUGUAUUGCAUGGAGUCUAUGGCUACAUUGAAAUGAUGUAAUCUUCAAUGAUGCUAUUCCAGAUCUUAAGGGUUGUUUUUACUUUAUCGAUCCUCCACAGGUUCUCCUUAUGGUUGAAGUUUGAUAGCACAACUUUUGCUUACACCGGUUUGGAUUUAGGGAUCAACUCUGAUGGGAUCUUUUUCGGGGAUAACAGAAGUUGACUUCUUGUUUUUAUCUAUUGUCUGGUCCCUGUUUUCUUCUUCCUGUUAUAGAGUAGAUACCGUGAUUUAGGGAUCAACUAAGGUUCACUGUUGGUUUCUAUGCAAGGCAAGAUUGAAAGUUCUGUGAAUAUAUGAGUUGGAAGGUUAGAGUAAAUGCUGGAUGGUAUUUUUGAUUUUUCCCUCUCAAUGGCGCUGCUCACCAAUAGCUCGGGUGUAUUUGUGCUGAUGGAGAUGGAACCGAAGCGUAUAUAUUGGCUUUUUUUACUUGCUAAAGAUGGCUAACUCAGUAACAGAAGAGAUUUUCUAUUUCAGCAUGACUACCUUACCCUUAAGGAAUCAAGAUGUGCUUCAUGCAAUAAAAGCUUGGAAUCUUCAAUUCACUUCUUCAUUUAGUAUCACUUCACUUUGAAUAUAUGGAUGAAAUUGCUUUUUAAUCAGGGCUUUUGUAGUGCUUUUUCAAAAUAUAUUGACAAUAUGUGUUACCAAUGGUCUUCCAUGGUUAAAGACAAGCAACAAAAUCUCUUAUAACAGCUUAUUUUCUCAUGUAUUGUAUGGAAUAUGUGGCUCCACUGAAAUGAUGUCAUUUUUAAUGACGCUGCCCCUAACCUUCAAAUCUAUUUUUUCAUGAUGCGUCAAAGUAUUGCUUCAUGGCUGAGGCUUCAUUCUAGCUUUUUAAAGCUUAAUAUAGAGAAUGUUCAGUAGGGAGGAAAUGAUUUUUUAUGUUUUUUAUUUGUUCCUCCUAAUUGUUACGCUCCCUUGUUUCAUGCAGCAGCUUUUAUGCUUUUUUUUUUCUUUAUUUAUUCAUCUAAUGUAAAUUAUGCUAUUAUCUUAAUACCCAUUUUCUUAAUAAAAAUUUCGAUUAUUACCAAAAAAAAAGAUGGCUAACUGUAAUUAGAAUGAUGGUAAAUGUUUCUUCUUUUCACAGUAACAAAUCUCUGAGACCUUACAUCUCUAGUUAAUUAUAACUACCUUACCGGUCAAAAUGUUCUUUUUCUGUACCUGAUGAGUGAUAUUAUUUCUGAGAUUUUUGAACAUGUAAUGACGGAAGCCUGCGUUGGACUGGUUCUCUUUGUUACGUUACUGGAGUCGCAAUGUUUCGAGUUAUCGGACCAAAUUAAUUCUCUUUCUUUUUGCAGCAAAGCUGUAUCUCUUGCUACUUGCUAGAGGCGUAAUCCCAGGCUACCACUGUUUUGGUGUUGCCUCUCUCACCAUUGUUAUUAGGUUGAAUUAAAUACCAGAAGAUUUCUGGAUGUGUAAUGACUGUAUGAUUAAACUUACCAAUGCACUGUCAAGGCUGUGGCGCGUCAACUGCAUGUGCCGGCGGGCGUCACCAUUGUUCCACCAUGUGCCGUUGUAGCCACUAAGUGGCCAAGAUUUUUUAAAUGAGAAGGUAAAUUACUAAUAAAUAUUUGAUAUUAUGUAUUAUGUAUACAUGCAUUAUAUAGAAAAAUCAAUUUGAAAUAUAUGUACUAACUCAUAUUAAAUGAAAUUAAUUUAAGAGUACUUUUAAAAUGAUAAAAAAAUUACAUUAUAAUUGUUCUUUUCGGGUUUUUAUAUUUUGAAACUGUUUCAUAAUAACUUCAUUAUCAAUCUCAUUAAAGAUAUUUUUCUAAAUUUAUAUAAUUAAAUUGUCAUUUAUCCACUUAUCUCCUAUCUUAUAUUGCAAUCUACUCUUGAAAACAUUCAUGACAGAUAAAACUAUUUUCACUAUAGCAGUUACAACUAGUAAAAAUAAUGACAAUUUGAUAAGUAUAUAUACCAAUAAAAAUAUUAAAUUCUUCUUUGUUUUUACCAUUUAAUUUCUCCUCAAGACUAGCGGCAAUAAAAAGUUCUCUCUGACUAGAAAGUUUCAAAUGGUAGAAGGUAAACUCUUUAAUAUUACAGAGGAGCUAAUGAAUCAAAGAAUCGAACAUAGAAAGUUUUGAUGGUAUAAACACAAACCACGGAAGCAGCAAUAAAAAGUGCUCUCUGGCUCUAUGGUUUCCUUCUUUAUAUGCGUUGAUUAGUUUUUUUUUUUGCCAUAGAAUAAAAUCAUCAGAUGUCCCUUUACUUCUUUAUCUGUUAAACAUGAAUAAAAGAAAAAUUUGAGACAACCAGCUUAUAAUUCAAACACCAAAAGUGUUUUUUAAUAGAUUCAAAGAUUAAAAAAAAUUACUUUGAACUUUGCAAGGAGAGAAUGUAGAUAGUCACAGUAGAACACAUUAAUAUAUUGUCUCUUGAUUUUUUAUCUUUUACAAAAUAUAACUUAAGUUAUUAUAUUAAUAUUUUAACGUAAAAAUUAAUUUUUUUUUUAAAAGAAGGGGGCAGCUGGCCCCUUAUGCCCCAGUGGCUCCGCCCCUGGCAGCCACCACCAAUUCCAGCAGCUCCAGCUUUUUUCUCCAUUUCCUCAUGUCCAAAUUUCAAGCUCAGCAUGACAUUUUGAGUUUAUUUUUCAUGAAUUAUGUUUGUAUUUUGACAAAUCCAACAAUUAUGAUUUGAUUUAGUUGUUUCUGGUUAUGGGACACAAUGUGGUUUUUUUUAUUAAAAACAAAAAACAGAGAGAAUGCAAGAAAGAAAGUCACAGCUACAUUUGAUAGAAUAAAUGUAAGUAGGAAAUAAAAUCCAACUCAAGAAUAGUUACAAAUGAGUUCAAUCCAUUUACAGAAAAAGGGUAUAUAAAAUAUAUUGGUCUGAAGAAUCCUCUGUCUGGAAGUUCUUUGAAUGGGGCUGUGAUGGCAUUUAGAAAGCAGAGGAACUAGGGGGCUUGUAGCAGAAAUCAUAUUUAUUGUUGAAGAUUUUUUUGUGUUCGGUUUAGAUAACUUUAUUUGGAUUUAAUCCACAAUGGGUAUCAUCUCUUAUAGAUGAAUGGUUAAGCUUCCAAGUCUACCAUUCUCUCAUGUAUUUGGAUUUAAUCCACUGAAACUGAGGUUUAAGAAUUUCUUGUUGUGAAUUGCAGAAAACAGUUGAUUGAUCUUCACUAGGAUGGCAAUUGGAAAUGAAUGGAGGAAGCAUCAAGAUCAGUGGCUUGUUUGAAGGCAGAUAGACCCUUUGAUCGUGAGAUGAUGCCUUUAGAUGAGAAAGGAUGUGAGAAAGGUAUAUCACAGCUGCAUUUGAUAGAAUAAAUGGUAAGUAGUUUGUUUUUUAAUUAAGUAUUUCAAUAUGGCAAAGAUAGGGUGUAAUUUACCAUACUUUAGUCUUAUUCCAUUCAAUAUAAUUAUGGAUACUAUAGAGCAUAUACGUACUUUGAUCUUAAUUAGUCCUUGGCUUAAAACGAAUUUGGUGCAGAUACAGAUUCUAAAGACGUCCAACUCCAACAAGCCCUAAAAGGACAUCAUUGGAUAAAUACCAAGGAGCUUGUGCAUGAGCAUUGUUUUGUUCACUCUGUGGCAGAGGCCUCUCCACAACUUCUCAGCAGGAAAGCUAUUAUUUAAGUUGCAACGCAGUGCGGUUCUAUAAACUAACUAGUUUAUAGCAAUUGCAAAUGAAUGGACCCUUUGAUCGUUAGAUUAUGCCUUUAGAUGAGGCUCGACAUUAUAGAGGCAUAAAAGAGAGAGAGAUACAUCACAGCUGCUUUUGAUAGAGUAAACAGGUCACAUAUUAUUUACACUCAACCUUAGCAAACACCAAAGCAAAUAAUUAAUACACUCAAAGCGAAAAAAUAAUGUGAGAAAUCUUUUACCAAACUGCACCCAUCUUCUCAUCCCCGUAACGAUUCGUUAGAAUGGGGCUCCUUCUUAUGAUUAAUUCCUGUAGAGGCGCUGCCAAAACAUAGUCUGGUAGUGCUCUCAACAACGGGCAAGUAUCAAUAAUCAACUCUUGAAGUUGUGUUGGCAUCUUCUUCUCCCACUCUCCUUUCAAUUCCAUCCCACUCUUCUACUUCUGUGAGAUCCAUAAUCCAAAGUUUUUUCAAUUUGGGGAAAGCAGUGACCCUUGCAAUUUCUCCUUCACUAAUACUGGCAUUCUCAUCUUUUUCUAUACCUAAAAAUCCAGCAUCCAGCCUUCUCACCUUCAUCGACCUCAAUACCAGGCUUUCAUGGUUGGGCAAUCUUCCCAACGGAGGCAAGACCUCCACGUUUGUACAAAGACCGAGUGUAAGCACCUGUAAUCUGGUUAAUGUCAUCAUCCAAUUUGGCAAAUCCAACCCUCCGUACCUAGUUAUGGUUAGAUUUUCCAAGGAUGACGGAGGCUGUAAAACUUCAAUUAAAAUGUUGUUCUCCCGGUUGAAGUUGAAAUCCAAUUGCAAACAAAGUAGGCGAUUCUUAUUCUUGAGUUGUACUUCUUUCAUUGUCUUUUUCUACUCUUUCAUAAUUUAAGGCACUUCUUUCUUCUUUUAGCUAGAAACAUAAUGCAGAUGCAGAGAGUGAAGAGUCGACAUGCAGAUGCAGGAACAUAGGAAGAGAGUUGUUUGGUUACUAAAAUAAGGGCUAGGGUUAUGAAAUCUGGAAAUUGAAAUUCGGAUCGAAAUUAGUGAGGAAAUCAGCAUGCUAGAUUCAGCAGCGUUUGGGGUCAGAAUGGCAUUGUUGGGAAUAAGACAACAAAUUAUGCGUAGCUUAGCAGCCAUUGUUGCUGCUUCAGGAACACCAAACUCCCUUGUCAAAAAACUGCAUUCAUAUGCAUUUUGCAAUUAAGGCAUUAUGCUUUAAACUCAUUCUAUUUGCCUUCCCUCACACAAAAAAGAAAAAAAAAAGGUUAUUUGCUGUCGUCACUGGAUUAGUUUCAAACCCAAAAGUCUCGUUGCGUUCUGUUUCAAUUCAGUCAGUCUUUAUUAGUCAAUGCUUCGCUGCACUGAAAAAACACCAUAUGCACCUCAUUGCAGAGUGAGGUCAUAUGUCCUACAAAAAUGGAUUUUGAACAUAAUAAUUAGAAGGAAAAAAAAAUUAAAAGUGAGCAUAAUUGAUCAUCGUGGAUAUAAUAAUAAUAUUUAAUAAAAUGAAUUAGCUUGUUAACUCCUAGAAGUUUUUAUAAAAACUAAUCUUGAAGUACAAGUAAUCCCUUCGCUCAUCAACUUCGCUGUGAAAAAGCCCAGAGUACUCAGCUUGGGCUUGUGUUCCCUCAUUAUGACUUGGUGAAUUGGGCAAUCUAAAUACUUUUGGGCUCUGUGUUUUAAUGGGUUCCAAGGGGAAGAAAACACAACGAUUCUUGAACAAGGAUUUGUGUCCCGUGCGCACUUGAACGAUGGGGGUCUGUUUGCAUUUUGUCAAAAGAGAUGAAAUUCUAAUCAAUGAUGAUGAUGAAAAAAAUAAAUAUAUAAAUUACUAUGUGCAUUCUAUAAUUUAGUUAUAUAAUAUAGUAGAUCUUUACAAAUUAGUAAUUUCAACUUACCAGUAGAAAAAUUAUAGUAGAUCUUUACCAUGAUAUUAUCGAAAUAAAUAAAUAAAUAAAAAUAGAUACACUUCAACACGUCCAUACACUCCUUUUUUAAAAAAUAAUUAUAAUAAAAUUAAUUAGUUAUUAAUUAUAAAAAUCAGACCUAUGAGUUAUGUCUAAGCUGUUGAAAAUAGUAAAGAUAAAGUAAUUAGAAGUGACAAUGAAAUUAUUAGUUGAUCAUCGAGUUGUUUUACUAGAAUCCAAAUCACUUAGCUCAAAUUACUAAUAACAAUUAUAAAUUUACACCAAAUUUGAACAAAUUUCUACCAGCCGAUGUGACUAAACUCAAAUCACUCCUAGGAAUCUUAAUAUAAACCCAUUUACUACUAGACCAGCACCUCUUUGGCUAAAAUCCACGUUGCUUUCCCACACCAAUCAUCAGCUUCUUCAAUUACAGUGCUACAAGUCCAUGUCUCUAUACCUAUUGUAACAUAUUCUACAAACAUACUGUUUUACUGUAGACUGCAAUGUUUUAAGUGUUUUUUUUUUAUUAAGUUGUUUUAUUUUUUUUAACGGUUUUUUUUAUGUCUUUCAGAAUAUUUUUUUUGCUUCGUUCUUUGUUUUUUUUUCUUUUAACAAAAGUUUUUUGUUUAAUUUAGUUUAUUAAUGUUUAAUUUUUUUAUUUAUUUAUCAGACUUUCAUGAUACAUUUUCCAGAUUUAACGGGUUAACCUGGUUUGACAAGUUAACCCAUAAUUUUUUUUUUUGCUUUUUUUAAAUUAAUUUUUUUGCUUUAGUUUAUUUUAUUAAUGUUAAAUUUCUUUCUAUUUAGUUAUCAGACUUUCAUGACAUAUAUCUAGAGUUUCACGGGUUAACACGGUUUGACGGGUUAACAUGGAUUUUUUAUUAUUUUUUUCUUUUUAAUUAAUUUUUUUCGUUUAGUUCAGUUUGUUAAUGUUCACUUUUUUUUUUAUUUCGUUACCAUACAUUCAUGACACAGAUCCCGGGUUUAACGGGUUAACCUGGUUUGACAAGUUAACCUGAAAUUUUUUUUUUUUGCUUUUUUUUUUUUAAAUUUAGUUUAGUUUGUUAAUGUUAAAUUUCUUUCUAUUUAGUUUUUUUUUCUUCAUAGAGGUUUUUUUCUUUUAUUUUUUCUUUUUAAUUAAUUUAGUUUAUUAAUAUUAAAUAUUUUUCUAAUUAGUUCUCGGCUAAUGCCUUUAGUUUUUCUUUUUGUUUCUUUUUGUUGUUUUUUUGCCUUUGACUGUGGACUGCACAAUGCAGUCCACAAUAAAAAGGUUGAUGCCUUUUGUUUUUUUUUUCUUUUUAAUUAAUUUUUUUUGUUUAAUUUAAAUUAUUAAUGUUAAAUUUUUUUUCUAUUUAGUUAUCAAACUUUCAUGAUACGAAUUCUGAGUUUGACAUGUUAACCUGAUUUGACGAGUUAGCCCAGUCAACUCAAUGAAUCACACAGAUAAAUUACACGGAAUCAGUAAAAUCAAAAUAAAACGUGUUAAUCUACUUUCUUAUGUUAUGAAAGGAGAUGAAUCCAACAAAAACAUAAUAAGCCACAGUUAAUUUUUUUAUCUUUGAGAUAAAAAAAUAUUUUUGAAAAAAUUAAAUUUUUUAUUAAUUUAUAAUUUAUUUAUAUUUUAAAAUAAUUUUAAUGUAUUAAUAUUAAAAAUUAAUUUUUAAAAACAAAAUUUUAAUUAUUUUUAAAUAAAAAUAUUUUAAAAAAUAAUUAUUAUUUUAAUACCAAAAACGCUUUUGCCUGCUUGGGAGUUAUGGUUGCGGUUGCUUUUCAAAAUGUUUUUUAUUUAAAAAUGUAUUAAAAUGAUGUUUUUUUUAUUUUUUUAAAAUUAAUUUUUAUAUCAGUGCAUCAAAAUAAUCUGAAAAAACUAAAAAAAUAUUAAUUUAAAUAAAAGAAAAAAAUUAAAAUUAAAUAAAUAUUUUUCAAAACGUUUUUAAAACAUAAAAACAAAUAGAAAUAAAUGCUAAAAUAGGAAAACAAACCAACUCUUUAUUAAAUGACAUUAUUUUUGAGAUUUUAUAUAUAUAUAUAUAUAUAUAUAAAAACUUUGGUGGACACACCAAUCAAUCCAUUCGAUUGGCCACCCAAUCUUGGGCAAGAUCGACCGUGGGUUGUAUCUUAUUACUAUGGUGAUAAGUAAUCACUCGAAAGUUCAAAACUAGCUUGACCCAUAAGAAUAUAUAUCGGAAUAAGUUAAGACUAUGAUGCCAACUUUAUUUUUUUAAAAAAAUAAAAGGCAUAAAUCAUUAAUAAAAAUCUAAAAGGUAUGAAAUUUUUAUUAUGUGUGUACCAUUGUUCACCCUUCCAUAUUUUAUUAUAGAUAAUCUAUUGUUUAAAAUUUUGUCUUUUUAAUCUGGGCCUUGAUUUUUUUUACACGAUUGCAUUCUUUUUUAACCAAAUUAAAAAGCAACUUUAUCAAAUUCGCCGACUACUGAUAAAAUUAAAAAAGAGAGGACUAAAAUAGAAAAGGUGCAAUAAAUGGAUGAUGAUUUCAAAGUUCACACAAAAAAUCAAUUUAGUCCUCACACUUUAAAAAUUAUACAUAUUCGAUUUUUCAAUAUUUUUUUAAAUUCAAUUUUAGUAUAAAAUUUCACUUUUGUUAUAUUAUAGUUCAUGGUUUGAGAGAUAAGAGAGCAAGGUCACCGGAUUCCAAAUCUAGACAAAAAAUAUUGUUGGCGUCGAUUUUGACCAUAAAAAUGAUCGAUUUAUAUGUCAAAUGAUUUCAUUUGAUGAUGGGAUUUCAGCUUAAGUGUUUUUUACUUUAAAAAUAUAUAUGGGCUCAAGAGAUUGUUCAUUUUUGGUUGAUUUUGAGUUUUGAGAUAGUUUUUUUUAUGUCAUAGACAUGUUUAUCAAAGUUCAUAUGUUUUUUUCUAGGUAUUUUGGGUAAAAAAAAAUUAAAAAUGAGUUUUUGAAUGAAAAAACCUCAAAUCUUGAUUUUUCUGCCACCACAAUAAUCAAAAUAUGAGGAAAAUCAUACGAUGCAUCAUCUAAUUUAAUUUUCUUUCAAAAAGAAAGGAGGGGGGGGGGGACUUUGCAAUGAAAGAGAAUUAUGGGUCUAAGCAUGUGGGCCUACCUUGACAGACUUGUACACGGGCCCUAACAAGAUUAGUCGAAUGGGGUGGCUCGGCUUGUCAAGCCUAGUAACACUUGAGCUUUUUUUUUUUUUUUUUAAAUUAAUACUUUUUUAUAUUCUUUUUUUCAAGUUUAAUAUUUUAUUUAUAAUUAAAUUAAUAUAUUUUCUCUCUUUUAUUUUGUUGAUAUAGCCUCUUUAAAAUUACAAUUAUUUUUUAAUUAUUUUGUAUGCAUUUAUUUUUAAAAUAUAUUAUUAUAAUUCAUCUAUAAAUGUUUUUUGUGUUUUAUAUGAAUAAAAAAUAUUUAUUUAUUUAUUUAUAAUAUUUCUAACAUGUGUAAUCUUACAUGAUAUUGUUUUUAAUUCAAUCAAUUUUACAUGUAUUUAUUUUUAUUAUUGUUUAAUUGAAUGAAAAUUUGAUUUUGAUAAACAAUGAUAUUUAAUACAAUCAGAUGAAAUGCUUGUAUUGUAAUGUUAAAGAUCUUGAUUUAUAUAUGUUUAUCGAUAUUUCAAUUUUAUCUUUAUUUAUUGUUAAUAAUAUUUUAUUUUUUAUUUUUUUAAUACACAUUAUUCUCAAUAUAUUUGAUUAUAUUUAUGCAUCAGUUUUUUUUUAUGCUUAUAAUUUUUUUUAUGUACAAAUACAUGUUGGAAAAAUCUUCAUAUAUCAUUUUUUUAUAUAUAAAAAAUAUGUUUGAUGCACUAACACGUGAGAGCUUUCACUUUUAAUUUGCAUAAUAAAAGAUUUGUUUUUGUCCUUUUUUUUUUUAUUGAUCCUUUUAAUAUUGCACUGAUCUUAUAUUGAUUUUUACGAUUUGAUUUUAUGCCAAUGAUGGGACCUUUUAGUGCUGGGGAAAUAUUACGUGCUUGGUUGAUUCUCAAUUUUUAAUAAAAUCAAAAUCAAUUGCAUUCGUAUAAAAGAACUAGAAAUUCAGGUAUUGGAAUUGAAAGACUAAAUAAAUGUGCUAUUCCUUUUGUUUGCUAACAUUGAGAAUUGAUUUGCAUAUUCAAUGAAAAAAAAAUCAAAUUCAAUUUUAGCAGUGGAUUGAUUGCCAUGAUCUAGCUAGCAGAAUUUGCUAGUGUUUUUUUAAUUAAUUUUUUAAUUUAAUCAUUUUAUAUUUAAAUUGUUGAAAUUUGACAUAAUAAUUUUUUUGUAAUUGCUUUGUGGGGUUAUUUUAACAUUAUAACUUGAGUUAUGGUUUUAACAUACUAAUUAAAGUUGAUUCGAAUUAAUUUUUAUAUAUUGAAUUAUAUAAGAAUUGAAUUUGUAAUUAUUCUUUUGCGAGAACUUUUUUAAGCAGGUCACGCUAACCUUUUUUUUAUCUUAGCCUGCAACGGCAUAACACGAACAAUCUAUCUAGUGUUAUUACUGAAAGAUCACAUGGCCAACCCAAAAAGUUCACGAAGAACACACAAUCAAAAACGCAAAAAAACAAAAGGGUUUCUUGAAUUUCAACCAAAGAAUAUAACAAAACCGAUAAAACAAAAUAAUAAAUGUUUACUUACAGAAGAUUCAUCGACUAAAAUAGAUGGCAAUUUCUUCUCAGUUGCAAUAACAACAACGUUUGCCGCUACAACACCAAAAAAAUAAUAAAAUCAACAACAUAGUACAUUCGAAAAUGACAAGAAAAUGAGAUGGUAGAAGAAACCAAAGCGAAGAGGUCACAUAGAGUAAAUGGUAAGAAUUAACACCAAAGCAAAUAAUUAAUACACUCAGAACCAAAUCUUUUACCGUUAAGAAUUAAUACUGGUAGAAGAAUUUACCUCUAUAUCAUCAAAAUUAAUAUUUGGGAUGUGAGAAAUCUUUUGCCAAUCUUCACCCAUCUCCUCCUUCCCGUAACGUUUCCUUAGAAUGGAGCAACCAUUUAUGUAUAAUUCCUGUAGAGGCGCUGCCAAAACAUAGUCUGGUAGUGCUCUCAACAACGGGCAAUCAACAAUCAUCAACUCUCGAAGUUGUGGCAUAAUGGAUAUUAUUGAAGUUGUGUUGGCAUCCCACUCUUCUACUUCUUGGAGAUGCCAAAAACCAAGAUGUUUUAAUUUGGGGAAAGCAGUGACCCUUGCAAUUUCUCCUUCAUUAAUACUGCCAUUCUCAUCUUUUUCUAUACCUAAAAAUCCAGCAUCCAGCCUUCUCACCUUCAACGAGCUCAAUACCAGGCUUUCAAGGUUGGGCAAUCUUCCCAGCGGAGGCAAAACCUCCAGGUUUUCACAAUCAAAGAGUUCAAGCCCCUGUAAUCUGGUUAAUGUCAUCAUCCAAUUUGGCAAUUCCAACCCUCCGUAACUAGAUAUGGUUAGAUAUUCCAAGUAUGACGGAGGCUGUAAAGCUUCAAUUAAAGAGCCUUCAUUCGCUUGCAACUCUGUUUUCUCUCUGUCGAAAUACAAUCGCAAACGAAGCAGGCGCUUCUUAUUCUUGAGUUGUGCUUCUGCAGCGUCACUCGCAUCUUCUUUACCUCCUCCUAGAUUCCGUAUAGUAAGACUCCCUCCAAUGUGAUUUAAGUCUUUUAAUUCUCUUAGAUUAGCUGCUUUACUUUCAUUCUCACCACCACCACACACAAUAAACAAAUCUAAUGUUUGAAGACAUGUUAUCCUCUCUAUUCCCUUUGGUAUGAAGACCACUCCUGAACCAAAAAUCCGGAGAUGCCUCAAUUUGAUAAGUUUUCCAAUCGUCUUGGGCAAUUCCUUGAGAGACCGACAGAAAGUAACAUCUAGGGAUUGCAGAUUGCAUAAAUCACAACUGGUUUCUGGCAGGGACUCCAACUCUCCACAUUGUGCCAAAUUGAGGUGUCUCAAAUGUAUCAAUUUCCCUACCUCGUUUGGUAUUUCUUUGAUUGAAGACCCUGACAAAUUCAAUGACCUGAUGCAUGUCAACUGCUUGAACAAAUCAGGCAGUGCAGCUCCAAGCGAAGGGUCUCUAGUGUCGAUCAAGAGGCUGCGAAGACCUUUUGCUUUGUGAAUGGACUUGGGAAAAGAGGUCUCCUCUGACAGCAUCAUGCUUAAAUGACGAACCCUUUCAAUUGAAGUCUCCAUUGUUGCUUCUCCAAGUGUAUUGACAUCCACUGUUAGACAUUCAUUUUUUGUCAUAUAUUGGGCAAAAUCAUGCACUAUAUCAUGCAUCUUGAAUCUAAUAUCUUCUCGAUCAUACGUCUCAAAAUCUUGGAAGAAAGAGCGCGCUGCCAAGACUUGAAAGUACUGCUCUCCUACAAGCUCCAUAUCUCCACCUGAAGUCUCCUUGAGGUAACCUUGAGCCAUCCACAUCUUCACCAAUUCAUAUUUUCCCAUCUCGUAGUCUUUUGGAAACAUGGCACAAUACAAGAAACAUCGUCUUACCACAGAAGGUAAAUCGUAGUAACUCAAAAGCAAAGGUAUAAAUAUUCGUCUUUCAACCUGAUCUCUAUCAACCUCAUCUAGCCUCCACAGUUCGCUAGAUAAAACACGAUCCCACUCUUCUCUUGUUCUUUUAGACUGCAUUAGACCUCCUAAUACCUUGGCAGCUAGAGGCAAGCCCUUGCACUUGUUUGCAAUUUUAUCGCCGAUAUCUGUCAAUCUUUCGCGCUCAUCUUCGCUUCUUUCCUGGAAUGCCACAUGAUUGAAUAUUGACCUGCAUAUCUCAUCGGACAAUUUCUCAAUGUUGAUCCGGUGGUCAGUUCCCAUCAUCGUUGCCACAGCGUCCUUACGAGUGGUCACUAGAAUUCUGCUUCCUCGUGCACAGCCUGUGAGAGAUGGUUUCAGUUGUUCCCAUUGUCCAUGAUUUUCUGUCCAGACAUCAUCAAGGACAAGAAGGAACCUCUUUCCCUUAAUGGAUUCAGAAACCCUUCGCAAAAGGGAUUGCAAUCCUACCAAAUCAGAUGCCCUCCCUUCAAGCUCCUCCAGGAUAGCUUUGGCUAUUCUAACCUCAUCAAAUGGUUCUGAAACACACACCCAUAUCUUUUUCUCAAAAUGAGCCGUAACCUCUGAAUCAUUAUAAGCUAGUUGGGCGAGAGUUGUUUUUCCAAUUCCUCCCAGCCCUACUAGAGAGAUGACAUCCACGUCCCGUGCUUCUUGACUACUUUCAGCCAGCAACUUGCUUACAACAUUUCUCUUUUCACCAUCUCGACCAAUCACGCUUGAUUCAUCAACAAAGGAGGUAGUUGUUAGUCGCUGGAGUUCAUCAGUGGCUUUGUACAGAUCAAAGCCAUACUUAGCUCUCUGUUUGGCAAUGUCAUCCACCUUUUCACAAACUUCUUUGAUCUUCAGGGCAAUGUCGCGACGUCGAACCACUUGAUUGAAACAAAAGCAAGGAGAUCCCAGGAAGGAACAUCGUAUCUUCUGUCGGCUGUGAGUAUUUUCUUCAGCUUCCUCCAUUUUCCAUCUAAGAAUUGCAGUGCUCCAUUCAUCUAGCACGUCAUCCAUAUCAUAACAUGCAUCUUUGAGCUUGUCUACCCAAUCUCUUACAGCCUUAUCCUUCACUUGUUUUCUAUCUGCAUCUUCAAGGACAGAUUGGAUAUCAAGGAGAUUGCUUUUCAGCUUGUCACAUUGUUUCUUCACACCCACUACUAGGUUCACCUUUUCUUGUACCUAUUAGUGUACAAAGGAAAAGAAACGUUAAGCAUAGGAAACAUUUCUAUGACAAUUUCACACCCCCUACUAGGUUCACCUCUUCCUGUACCUAGCUAUUAGUGUAGAAAAGACAAGUUCAAGCAUAGGAAACAUUUCUAUUUUGUAUUAAUAUAUUUUAUUGUGAAAUGGAUUUACUAUAUUAAUAAUUUAUAUAUAAAAUAUUUAUUAUAAAUGAUAAUAUUUCUUUUUUCUUUUUAUCAUCAUGAUGAUGAUAUCAGUCUGCACUAUGCUACUGUACAAGAAGGUAUAAAAUGAAUCUUAAAUGGUAAAAUGUAAACCUGUACGUAUGUAUAUAUAUAUAUAUAUAAAGAGUUCAAUGUUCUCACGUGAGAAGGAUUUCUCCUUUGAACCGACAUAAAAUCUGGUUUUCAUUUUACAUUAAACUAUAGAUAUAUGGAUGUAUAAAGGCAAGUGAAUAAAAGGAUCUGCAUUUAUAUAUUUGUGAAGUCAAUUUAGAAAUAAAGGCAUGAUAAUAAGAUUGUGUGAUAACUAUAUAGUUUUAAUUCACACCAAAUACUCACUCGCUAAUCCUUCGAACUUUUUAUUGAUUAUUUUACCUUUAAUAGUUCAGUUUAAAGAGAAUUGGCAACUCUUGUUCAUCUUUUUUGGUUUUCUUAUAUUUGGAAUGAUAUAUUUUCUUUAGGUUAUUUUUAGAAAUAUGAAAACUAAUAAAACUAGAAAAAUAAGUCUUUAAUAAAAUCGAAAUAUAUACUUGAGGAUUUAAAAUAUUAUUUUUAUUUUUUCAAGUUAAAAGUAUUCUUUUUAUGAGAGGAAGAAAAAAGGCUUGAACGUUAUAUAUAUUUCUUAUCUGUGCUUAGGUAAAUCAGGUUAUUGCAGAUGGCAGAAAAAUACCUGUUGAGCAACGAUCGUGGUUAACUGCUCCAAGAUCGGAGAUAGAAGUGCCUCAGCCAUCGUCUGUUUAGUUCUGAUUGGAGAGAGAGAGAGAGAGAGAGAGAGAGAAGCAGUGAUGAUAGGAAGACAGAGAGAAAGAGAGGGUGAAGGGAAGGAGGCGGCUGAUUGUGAAUGGAUUAAUAUACUUGGGGUUUCUCGUUGCAGGUGGAGUUCUUGCAACUUGUAGUUUUUUUUACUAGUGAAGCUUUGUAUUUAGUGUCUCCACAGAAAAAUAUUUUUUAUUUAGUGGCUGAAAGAUUCACAAUUUAUAUUAUAAUUGAUGAUUUUUAUUCUAUGAAAGAACAACAAAUAUAAUUAAAAUAAUAUAUAAAAAUUAUUUUUUAUUAUUUUUUAUUUUAUUUCAAAGUUUAUUAAACAUAAAAUAAUGUUUCGCUUUAAUUAAUGUUUCUUAUAUACUUUGUAUGUUUAUAUUUGAUAGGUAUAGAGAUCAACAACAUUAAAAUGAUGAAUACAUCAUGAAGUUAAAAUUAGCUUCAUUGUUUUGACUUAAUUUGAUAUUGCUCCAAACCUUUUAUAUUAUAUAUUUAUAAUAAGUUAUUUGAAUAAAACUAAAUCAUACUGGUUUUUUUUACAACUCAUAUAUAAUAAAUUAAAAUAAAUAUUAUAUUUUGUUUUAUUAUUUUUGGCCAUUCCAAAAAUAUCAAGGGAAAGUCUUCAAAUGCACAGAGUAAAUCGGAACCCACAGUGAAGUAGCUCUUCAGUAUCUUCUAAGCUCAAGCUGUCAAACACAGACCAAAAGCAAACGUGUCAUAACCAAAACAACCCAAUGAAUGGUAGAUGUUAAAAUGAGCAUUCCAUUUUCUGAAUGACAAAAAUCCCAGUGCCUAGCAAUGACUUACAUAAUUAAUUAAAAUGGAUUUGUUAAAAUAUAGUAAAAUAUUAGACCGUUUAAGAAUUAACACUGUUGGGUUUCGAUAACUUUAUUUGGAUUUAAUCCAUUAAAUCAAUGGGUAUCAUCUUUUAUAGAUGAAUGGUUUAGCUUCCAAGUCUACCAUUCUCUCAUUUAUUUGGACUUAAUCCACUGAAACUGAGGUUUUAUUUGUAAGUAUACACAUCAGGCUCAAGCUUAUCUUCUUGCAUCUGCUCAAAUAUUUCUUCUGCCUUCUCACAGAGUCCCUCUCUAGCAAACGCGUUCACCAGAGCUGUGUAUGUGCAGAUAUCUGGUCUGCAUUUUUGACUUCUCAUUUCGUUAAACAACUUCAAGGCCAUGUAAGAUUGACUUGCCUGAGUACAGGAAAAAGAUUAGCAAAAUGAGUUUUUAAGGAUCCUAAACACCACUGUUGUCCAGUUAUCAGAAUUUAUAACCAUAUCCUUGAAUUUAUUCUGAUAAUUGUUUGAAAUUGAAUGCAUAUAUUUCAAGUUGUUCGUUGUAUCACUGUAGACUCGUAGACGUACGAGUUACGCGUAAUUUUCUACUGGGACCAGUGGCAUUUCAAGAAGAUCAGAUUUGCAGAAUAAUUCAGAACCAAAUACCACUGAGCUUACCUUCCCAUGAAGGUUGAUCAACAGUGUAUAGGUGUCAGUAGAGGGCUGGCAGCCAUCAUUUUUCAUUCGCUGAAAGAUCUCAAUUGCUCUUUGAGGGUUUCCAGCCUUCGUUAACCCAUCAAUAUAAGCAUUGUAUACAAUUGCACCUGGCCAAAAUUAGAGUAUACGCUCACUUUUCACUCUUGAAUGUGCAUGCAAGUGUAUCAACAGAACAGCUUGAAAAACGAAAAUCUGAGAAGUGUAAAUAAGAGAACGAAACACAAAAGCAGAACUAAUGCCCUGUAUUUCACCACCACAAAAAGAAGAGAAAUAACCCACGCAAUCUCAUAAAGGAAAGCUACAGAAGCAAGUUUGUCAUCCAGGAGCCUCUAGCCUAAUCCAGUUCCGGUCUAGCUAAAUUAGCAAGGGGUCCCUCUUGGUUUAAUCAACCAUUCUCUAAGCAUGGUGAUGUAGAUAAGGAGUAGUAAUCACUACUAUUAUAGUAGCAACAAGAAAUAUGCAGACCAUGAACCAAUCUUCUCUUUUCCUACGUUUAGUAUACUUCACCCCCGAAAAGAAAAAAUAAAUACAGCUCUGUGCAAUUAUUGAGCGAGGUUUCAAAAUUUAAAACGAAUUUAACCCCACAAAAAAUCAAUUUUUGAGGAAAAGAAUCUUAAAAGUUGAAGAAAUUUUUGUUUUAUAAGAAAUGGUUGAUCCAAUAACUUCUUGAAAAUACAAUUUCCCUAAAAGCUAAGAAGAAAUGAAUUGGUAAACACAUACUUGGAGGAAGGCUAUACUUUCGCAUAUCAACAAAGGCAGCUUCAGCUUUUUCUAACAAUCCACAUGCACAGUAAGCCUUUAUAAGAAGGGCAUAAGUGUCUUCAGUAGGGAUACACCUGGCUUGAAGAAGAUCAACAUAUGUUUCUUCUGCCUUCUUGUACAAAGAUUUUUGCCCAUAAGCAUCUAUUAGUAAAUUGUAGCACAUGACAUCUGUCUGGAAGGAGCUCUUGUACAAUAUCCAUUGACAUAUCUGGAAAUUUUAGAGUUACACCCAACAAGAUUAUUAAGAAUUAAGAACAAACGAUAUCAAAAAUGUCUAUAUAAUAAAUAGAGACAGUAAAGAGAUUUGUUUCAUUUAGUUGUAGGAAAAUGCUGGUAUAUGAGAAUUCCAAACACCAACUGCAGCACCAACCACUUAAAGGAGAUUUGAACAAUCGAGGAUUCAGUCUUAAUGGUUGAAGAGAAAAAUACUGUGCAAAAUACUGUGCCACAAAAAUAUGUGCGUGCAAGGUGGUUUAAUCCAUCGCCUACCACCUUACACUAUGAAAGAAAUAAGGCACGAUUUACUCACCAAUGCAAUCGGAUCCCAUUGUUUAUUCAAACGAAGUUGGACGGCUACAUUAAUAAGAUCAUCCCAAGUCUCGUGAGUGACAGGAAGAGUAUCAAGAGCAGCCCAAACAUUAUUCGGAUCCACUUCUUUCCGCACAAAGUUCAGAAUCUGAUGAGCAACAGGACUUAGCACGGGAAAAUUCCAUCAACAAAUCCAGAUCCAUAUUUCCAUCCUUGUCCCCUCAAAGAGCCACCUAGGUAAAUUAGACGACUUAAUAAUUAAAGCCAUAUUUGCUUGAGAGUUAUAUGUAUGAGCACAAAGUGAAUUACUCCGUAUUACAUCGUUUCCUGGACAUCUUUUUGUGAUCAAAGAUUCGCCAUUUGCCAUGUUUGUCGAUAUAGACCCUGUCGCUUUUCCACUUUUUAACAUCUCCACUACUGGAAUUCUUUUCUCUGCGUCUGAAAUGACCAUUCCGGAUUCUUGAUUCUAUAAAAAUAUGAUUCAGAGUGCAUCUAACAAGCAACCUGCAAACACUAAUCAAGUAAACACACAAUUGCCAGCAACAAAAUACACACCUCUUAAUUUAAAGCCAUUACACGGAGGAAGCAACCAAAUAAAAUCCAUAUAAAGGAUGCUUUAGACUUCAAAAUAAUUGGACAAAGAGAGACACUAAAACUACUUUUAAUCACAAUAGCAAACACAUGAAAUGCAAACCAGAAAACCUAGUUAAAAAGAAGAAGAAAAGUAGUCAACUUUCCCUUUCUAAACCAAAUAUCUUCUCCCUUUCUUCCGCAAUAAUUCUUAACUGCUGUGAGUAUAGGUUGUAUUUUCAUUACAGAAUCAAAUAUUAGUCUAAUCUAUCUGAUUAAACUACAAAAAUCAAAAUUUGCAAGAUAAACAAGGCCACAACUGUUGAAGACUGGUUAGAGUUCAACAACGAUAAGCAUAGCACUCUGACAGCUAAAACUGGUCCAUCAUCUUAAAACUUAUGAAGUCACAGUAAGACUUUUUAGAUAAUGAUGAUUGCUCGUUCAAUACAUAUGAGAGCCAACAAAAUGCUAAAAUGUUUAAUUAACAAGAACAUAAAACAAAUUAGACAUCCUCUCUCAAGUGAACGUUGAUACUUAGCAAUUCCAUUGAAACCCAUUUCUCAGAACCAGAAAUUCCAUGAAAAAGCAAUAUUAUCCAGCAAGAGGAGAAAGAACCACCAGAAUUGAAGUUAAUAAAUACAGAAAAUAACAAGGCAGCAUGAACAGCAUUAGCAGUGGCAUUGCAUUACGAAAGAGAGGAAGGAAGGACACGACUUACAUGAAAGUAUAAAAGAGGAGUUUGGAGUUGGGUAUCUGUAAACAUCCAGCAAGCAAGAAGAUAUGUGAACUGAAGAGUGUUUUCUUGGAUAAUGGACUCCGUGGGUGAAGACCAGCACUGCCAGACAAAAGUAGCUUCUGUUUUUUUCUGUUUACUAAGGGACAAAAGCCUCAAAAUAUCUCUAACGAACUUAAGGAGUCAAACAAUAGCAUUAUUGUAGCCUCGUGGUGUCUGAGGUUGCAUGGGAUUCUAUAUUGAGACAGUAGCUGAUUAUACAAUGGUUGAUUUAAAAUAACCAACACUACCUUUUUAUACAAAGUGGGAUUGAUGAGGAUAUAAAUCUACACACUCCAACAUUCAAAGUCCCAAUCUUAGAGUCAUUGAUUAGUAUAGUAACGCCUCAUUGGCAAGAACCCAAAUCACUAAGCUCAAAUUACUAAUAAAAAUUACAAAUUUACACCGAAUUUGAACAGAUUUCUACCAACCGAUGUCACUAAAGAAAACACAAAAAAAAAAAAAAAACGCAAAAAAACAAAAGGGCUUCUUGAAUUUAAACCAAAGAAUAUAACAAAACCAAUAAAAAAAAUAAUAAAUGUUUACUUACAGAAGAUUCAUCGACUAAAAUAGAUGGCAAUUUCUUCUCAGUUGCAACAACAACACCGCUUGCCGCUACAACACUAAAAAAAUAAUAAAAUCAACAACAUAGUAUCUAAGCACCCAUCAACAACAUAGUGCAUUCGAAAAUGACAAGAAAAUGAGAAAAGAGAGAGAGGGAGCUUAAAUUGCACCAACCUUUGAUUCCGAGAGAAGUUUGGCCUGAUCCAACGGCAGUCAAUGCGUGCUCAAUCUGUACUAGCUUUCCGGUAGGACUGAAAGUAGUGAGAGAAAAGGAGUACUGGCUAUCACCCAUGGUUUAUUGCUUGAAGACGCAGAGAGGAAAAACUGUGAAUGCGAGUGUGUGGGAGGGAAAGACAGGGAUAUUUACUUGGGGUUUUAACUUUGCUUUUCUCGUUGGAGAAGAAGGUGUUUUCUUACGAGGGCUUUUACAAUGGAGUAUUAUGGGAUUUUAUGACGGCAGGUUGAUCCUCUGUACAUUGAGCUCAAUGAAGGCUCGGGACCAGUUUUGUUUUCAAGUAUUAUUAACAAAUAUUUAUUUAUUUAUUAAUAUACAUAAUUUUUAAUUUAUUUAAUAACAUUUAUAUAUAAUUUUUAAUUUAUUAUAUUUUUGAACUAGAAAAAUAUAUUUAAAGAACUGCAUAUAUAAAUUUUUAUAAAAAAUAAAAUAUUUGACUCACAAUAAAUUAUCCAUAUUUUUAUUAAAAAAAUAAAGUUGGGUAAACUCUUAAUUAGGCCUUGCUACUGAAUUUUGUUGUUGAUUUGUAAUUUAAUUAUUGUUGAAGAUUUUUUGUGUUAGGUUUGGAUAACUUUAUUUGGAUUUAAUCUCCAAAAUCGAAGAGUAUCAUCACUUAUAGAUGAAUGGUUUAGCUUCUCUCAUUUAUUUGGAUUUUAAUCCACUGAAACUGAGGUUUAAGAGUUUCUUGGAUUUAAUCCACUGAAACAGUUGCUUGAUCAAGAUCAUUGGCUUGUUUGAAGGCAGAUAAAGGCAUACAAAAAAAAAGCGAGAGAGAGCGAGAAAGAGAGGAUGUGAGAAAUAAUUAUAGAUAUGAGUUACAGUAGUUGAAACAAAUGAAUUACAGAUCAUUUUAUGGUGAGAGAGAAAGAGAGAGAGAGAGAGAGAAUGUGAGAAAUAAUUAUAUCAUCUUAGAUUACAGAUCAUUUUGAGAAAAUCUAAAAGAAAGUAUCAUCUUAGAUUAAUUAUAGAUAUGAGUUACAGUAGUUGAAAUUUCAAAGGCAAUUUUUUAGAGUAAAGAGGAAAUAAUAUGUUGAGAUGAUGCGAGAGCCCAAUUACAGUAAAGAGGUCAUAUAUUAUUUACACUCAACCUUAGCAAACACCAAAGCAAAACAAAUUAAAUUAAUACACUCAAAGCAGGUUCUAAAGAGUUGUGCCAAUCUUCACCCAUCUCCUCCUUCCCGUAACGUUUCCUUAGAUUGGGGCAACUCUUUAUGUGUAACUCCUGUAGAGGCGCUGCCAAAACAUAGUCCGGUAGUUCUCUCAACAACGGGCAAUUACUAAUCAUCAACUGUCGAAGAUGUGGCAUAAUGGAUAUUAUUGAAGUUGUGAUGGCAUCUUCUUCUCCCACUGAUCUCCUUUCAAUUCCAUCCCACUCUUCUACUUCUGUGAGACUCACAAUUUGUUGUCUCCGUGGACGUACCCGGUUUUUGGGAACCACGUAAAUCUGUUGUUUGUGUUUUAUUUGUGUUUGCUUUUGGUUCAGUAUGCAUAACAAAUUGGUAUCAGAGCGUUUGGGAAGCUAGAACACUGAAAAAAACACGUUUUUCAGCUCUCGGAUCGAAGUUGCAGAAUUUUCAAAGUUCUCAGAUCUUGAUUUUGACCACCUACAGAGAUUCCUCUCGUCGAUACGAGUCCGGCAAUAUAAAGAUCAUCGAAAUCGGAGUUAAAACGAUCCCUGUAGAGCUCGCCGAAGUUUCGCCGGAAAACUGCCGGAAAAACCAGACUGCCGGAAUUCUUGCCUGAGAAGACUGCCACGUCAUCCGCCACGUCACCAAACAGUGACAGAAUAUGCUCUUGACAGAAUGAGAAUAUUCCGUUAACAGAGACAGAAUAUUCCUUUGGCAGUGACAGAAUAUUCUCUUGACAGUGACAGAAUAUUCCCUUGGAUUUGACAGAAUAUUCUUUAUCAGAGACAGAAUAUUCCUUUCCUGAGUCAACUCGGUCAGAUUUGUUUUUUGGCCAACUCAGUGAUUUUAUAUCCCGUUUUUUGGCCAAGUUAAGCUUGUUCCUAGCAUUUUCAACCGUUCCGGACGCAACCGUGGUGUCCGUUUUGUGAAACAGCACACAGAAGUUACUGUUUUGGCUCUUUUGAGCAUAAAAUUGUGUGUUUUAACAAUUUCGGGAGUCCAUUUGUAAUCUAAAGGCGUCCUAAUGGCUGAUAUUCCAGAAGAAAAAUCAGCGGGGAAUGCUAGUAUACCUCCACAAUACAUCCCGGUAUCGAAUACCAAAUUUGAGGUGGAGAAGUUUGACGGGAAAGGUAAUUUUGGCAUGUGGAAAUGUGAAGUUAUGGAUAUGCUUGUCCAAAUGAAUUUGGAUUUCACUCUAGAAGAUAAACCAAGAGGAUUUGGAUGAGAAAAGCUGGGGGAGGAUAAAUCGGUUAGCUUGCAGUUCCAUCCGACUUUGUCUUGUAAAAGAUCAAAAGUACGCCUUUUCAGAACAAAACUCUGCAAAGGAAUUAUGGCAAGCACUGGAGGACAAGUUUAUGAAGAAGAGUAUAGAGAAUCGUCUCUACUUGAAGAAAAGAAUCUUCCGUUUUCAGCACAAGAAAGGUACUUCCAUGAAUGAGCAUCUGAAUGAUUUCAAUAAAAUGAUAGCUGAUUUGAAGAAUUUAGAUGUGGAAAUAGAUGAUGAAGAUAAAGCUCUGUUAUUAUUGAAUUCACUGCCUGACACAUAUGAACAUCUCGUCACCACUUUACUGUAUGGUAAAGAAAAGAUUAAAUUCAUUGAUGUGUCCAAUGCUUUGGUGAAUAAUGAGUACCGGAAGAAGGACCAGAUUGUUCACAAGGAGUCAACGUCAGAAGCAUUGACAGUUAGAGGCAGAACAAACCCUAGAAGAUUUCGAGGGCGAGGGAGAUCUCGCUCAAAAUCUAGAGGAGAAUCAUCAAACAGGCGAUAUCUUGCAAAAGAUGAGUGUGCCUUUUGUCACAAAAAGGGGCACUGGAAGAAAGAUUGUCCAAUCAAGGGCAAUAAGGAAAAAGAUGAACCAACUGUGAACGUUGCACGAGAAGAAGAUGAACGAGACUCUGCAUUCAUGGUCUCAUCACCAGAAAAACAUUGUGGUGAAUGGAUUCUUGAUUCUGCAUGUUCUUAUCACAUGUCCCCUAACAAGCACUUAUUCUCGAGACUUGAGGAGUUCGAUGGAGGAGUUGUGUUUAUGGGCAAUAAUAAUGUUUCUGAGGUCAAAGGGAUUGGGACUAUCCAUCUGAAGAUGCAUAAUGGGGUAGUCAAGACACUAACAGAGGUACGGUAUGUACCUGACUUGAAGAAAAAUCUCUUCUCACUUGGAGUCCUAGAAUCCAGUGGUUAUAAGAUUAUCAUGCAUGGUGGAGUCCUCAGAGCAAUCCGUGGUGCAUUAGUUGUCUUAAGAGGCACGAGGAUAGGAAACUUAUAUUUCCUAGAUGGAUCUACUGUUACUGGUAUAGCAGCUGUUUCCAAAAGCCUAGAAGAUGCUGAAGCAGAUAAUUCCAGACUUUGGCACAUGCGCUUAGGGCAUGCUGGUGAAAAGGCUUUGCAAGGACUAGUCAAGCAAGGUCUAUUAAAAGGCGCCAAGACUGGGAAGCAUGGGUUCUGUGAGCAUUGUGUUCUUGGAAAACAGACAAGGGUCAAGUUUGGCACUGCAAUACACAACACAAAAGGGAUUCUAGAUUAUGUUCACACAGAUGUAUGGGGACCUUCAAAGAAUGAAUCUCUUGGAGGUAAUCGUUGGUUUGUUACUUUUAUUGAUGAUUUCUCAAGACGAGUAUGGGUGUACAUGAUGAAACACAAGGAUGAGGUCCUUGAUAUCUUUCUGAAAUGGAAGAAAAUGGUGGAGACUCAAACGGGAAGGAGAGUUAAGACUCUUCGGUCAGAUAAUGGUGGUGAGUACACUUCAGAUCCUUUCUUUGAAGUUUGCCAGGAUGAAGGGAUCAAGCGACAUUUUACUGUGCGCAAAACACCACAACAAAAUGGAGUAGCAGAACGCAUGAACCGCACAUUGGUGGAGAAAGUCCGAUGUAUGCUAUCACAUUCGGGACUAAGCAAAGUGUUCUGGGGCGAGGCAUUAAGCUAUGCCGUCAUAUUGUUAAUCGGUUACCUUCAGCAGCAUUAAAUGGAAGAACCCCCUUGGAGGUAUGGUCAGGCUCUCCUGCAAAUGAUUAUGACUCUAUGCGUAUAUUUGGUUGCUCAGCAUAUUAUCAUGUUACUGAGUUAAACUAGAUCCUAGAGCCAAGAAAGCUAUAUUUUUGGGCUUUAGUGGAGGAGUAAAAGGUUACAGACUCUGGUGUUCUGAAUCAAAGAAAGUGAUUUUGAGUAGAGAUGUCACUUUUGAUGAGUCUGGCAUGUUACAGCAGGAGAAAUCACAGGAGAAGGAAAAACAGUCUGGUGAUGCACAACAGGUGGAGUUGGAGACUUCAGUCAUCCCUAUAAAGACUGUUCAGACAAUCCCUACUGAAGGAGAUUCAGAUGAAAGUUCAGAUGAAGAGGAUGCAACAACUCCAGCAACCACACAACAAGAAUCCAUUGCAACGAGUAAACCGAAAAGAGUUAUCAAGAAACCUGCUCGGUAUUGUGACAUGGUGGCUUAUGCACUUCCAGUGAUUGAUGAUGGAAUCCCCUACACCUACAAAGAAGCAGUACAGAGUGUAGAAAGUGCAAAAUGGAAAGAGGCAAUGGAUGAAGAGAUGAAAUCUCUCCACAAGAAUCAGACUUGGGAUUUGGUACAACUCCCUAAGGAAAAGAAGACAAUUGGUUGCAAGUGGGUAUAUGCCAAGAAGGAAGGUAAUCCUGGAAAAGACAACAUCCGAUUCAAAGCAAGAUUGGUAGCAAAAGGCUAUGCUCAGAAGGAGGGGAUAGAUUAUAAUGAGGUAUUCUCUCCAGUUGUUAAGCAUUCAUCAAUUCGUAUUUUGCUAGCCUUAGUUGCACAAUUUGAUUUGGAGUUAGCCCAACUUGAUGUGAAAACUGCCUUCCUACAUGGAGAUUUGGAAGAGGAAAUUUACAUGUCUCAGCCAGAUGGUUUCAAAGUCACUGGGAAAGAGAAUUGGGCUUGUAAACUGAAGAAGUCAUUGUAUGGCUUGAAACAAUCUCCUCGCCAGUGGUAUAAGCGAUUUGAUAAGUUCAUGACAGAACAUGGAUACACACGGAGUCAGUUUGACAACUGUGUAUAUUUUCGCAGACUUCUUGAUGGUUCUUUCAUCUAUUUGCUCUUAUAUGUGGAUGAUAUGUUGAUUGCAUCAAAGAGCAAGGUGGAGAUUGAUAGACUGAAAGCUCAACUGAGAACUGAGUUUGAAAUGAAGGACCUUGGAGAAGCUAAGAAGAUUCUUGGCAUGGAGAUUCAGAGAGACAGAAGAAAAGGCACAGUCUGUUUGACACAGACCCAAUACUUGAAGAAACUUCUACAGAGAUUUGGGGUAGAUGGUAAGACCAAGCCGGUAAGCACACCUUUAGCUCCUCAUUUUAAGCUAAGUGCUUCAAUGUCUCCACGCACAGAGGAAGAGCGCAAACAUAUGGCUCAAAUUCCGUAUGCAAAUGCAGUUGGUGCAUUAAUGUAUGCAAUGGUUUGUACGAGACCAGAUAUUUCACAUGCUGUCAGUAUGGUGAGCAGGUAUAUGCAUGAUCCGGGAAAGGGUCACUGGCAGGCAGUUAAGUGGAUUCUACGGUACAUUCAUGGCACAACUGAUAUUGGUUUGAAGUUUGAGAGGGAUGAUAGACUCGAGCAAAAUUUAGUUGGUUAUGUGGAUUCGGAUUAUGCUGGUGACUUAGACAAGCGUCGUUCCACAACAGGCUAUGUGUUUACACUUGCUAAAGGGCCUGUAAGUUGGAGGUCAACUUUACAAUCAACAGUAGCUUUGUCAACAACUGAGGCAGAGUACAUGGCAGUAACAGAAGCUUUCAAGGAAGCUAUUUGGUUACAUGGGUUGAUUGAAGAUUUGGGAAUUGUUCAAGAGCACGUGGAUGUCCAUUGUGAUAGUCAAAGUGCUAUUUGUCUUGCAAAGAAUCAGGUUCAUCAUUCCCGCACCAAGCACAUCGAUGUUCGAUUUCAUUUUGUUCGAGAAAUUGUGGAUGAAGGGGAUAUUCUGCUACAGAAAAUUGUACUAUAGAUAAUCCAGCUGACAUGCUCACAAAAUGUGUCUCAGGGAUCAAGUUCCAACAUUGUUUGGACUUGGUCAACAUCUCUCGGUGUUGAGCACCUUCAGGGUGCAAUGCCAUAUGGCGCAAUGGAGGCGGCAUUGAUUAAUCACGAGUAUUGGAUGGAAAAAUCUUGCAAAGGUGGAGAUUUGUAGCAAAUUGUCAACAUUUGAAAAUUGUCAACAUUUUUCUCAACAACCCUCUCCUUUACUCAACCACUAUCAACCACCCUCUCCUUCUUUUUGACCAUUAUCACUUCUCAUCAAGGUGCUGCCAAAGCUCUCCUAUAAAGACAGAGACGAGAGAGUGCAGGGUAGAAGAGAGGAAGUGUCAAGUGCAGAGGAAGUGUGGUGAGUGCAAGUGAGUGCAACUGUGAGAGUGAAAAAUACAGAUUUGAGAGAAACACAGAGUGUUAGAGUGAAACACUGGGUUUUGUGGGGAUUGUAUUGGGGUUGAGUUGAGUGUUUGUAUUAUUCCUCCAAUAAUAUACAAUCUGUUGUCUCCGUGGACGUACCCGGUUUUGGGAAACCACGUAAAUCUGUUGUUUGUGUUUUAUUUGUGUUUGCUUUCGGUCCAGUAUACACAACACACGUUUCUACACUAACGGAGUGUAAGCACCUGUAAUCUGGUUAAUGUCAUCAUCCAAUUUGGCCAUUCCAACCCUCCGUAACUCCAUAUGAUUAGAUUUUCCAAGUCUGACGGAGGCUGUAAAGCUUCAAUUAAAAUGCCGUUCUCCUGGUUGUAGUAGAAAUCCAAUUCCAAACGAAGCAGGCGCUUCUUAUUCUUGAGUUGUGCUUCUGCAGCGUCACUCGCAUCUUCUUUACCUCCUCCUAGAUUACUUAUAAUAAGACUCCCUCCAAUGUGAUUUAAGUUUUUUAAUUCUCUUAGAUUAGCUGCUUUACUUUCAUUCUCACCACCAGCACACACAGUAAACACAUCUAAUGUUCGAAGACAUGUUAUCCUCUCUAUUCCCUUUGGUAUGAAGGCCACACCUGAAUCAUAAAUCCGGAGAUGCCUCAAUUUGAUAAGUUUUCCAAUCGCCUUGGGCAAUUCCUUGAGAGACCGACACCAAGUAACGUCUAGGGAUUGCAGAUUGCAUAAAUCACACAUGGUUUCUGGCAGGGACUCCAACUCUCCACACCAUGCCAAAUUGAGGUGUCUCAAAUGUAUCAAUUUCCCUACCUCGUUUGGUAUUUCUUUGAUUGAAGACCUUGUCAAAUUCAAUGACCUGAUGCAUGUCAACUGUUUGAACAAAUCAGGCAGUGCAGCUCCAAGCGAAGGGUCUCUAGUGCCGAUCAAGAGGCUGCGAAGACCUUUUGCUUUGUGAAUGGACUUGGGAAAAGAGCUCUCCUCUGACAGCAUCAUGCUUAAAUGACGAACCCUUUCAAUUGAAGUCUCCAUUGUUGCUUCUCCAAGUUUACUGGCAUCCACUGUUAGACAUUCAUUUUUUGUCAUAUAUUGGGCAAAAUCAUGCACUAUAUCAUGCAUCUUGAAUUUCAUUCCUUCAAACCAAUGCCUCUCAAAAUCUUGGAAGAAAGAGCGCGCUGCCAAGACUUGAAAGCACUCCUCUCCAACAAGCUCCAUAUCUCCACCUGAAGUCUCCUUGAAGUAACCUUGAGCCAUCCACAUCUUCACCAAUUCAGAUUUUCCCAUCUCGUAGCCUUUUGGAAACAUGGCACAAUACAAGAAACAUCGUCUUACCCUUGCACUUAUUUGCAAUUUUAUCGCUGGUUUCUGUCAAUCUUUCGCACUCAUCUUUGCUUCUUUUAUUGAAUGCCACCUGAAUGAAUAUGGACCUGCAUACCUCAUCAGACAAUCUCUCAAGGAUGAUCAUGUGGUCGGUUCCCAUCAUGGUUGCCACAGAAUGUUUACGAGUGGUCACUAGAAUUCUGCUUCCUGGUGCUCCGCCUUUGAGAGAGUGUUUCAGCGGUUCCCAUUGUCCAUAAUUUUCUGUCCAGACAUCAUCUAGGACAAGAAGGAACCUCUUUCCCUUAAUGGAUUCAGAAACCCUUUGCAAAAGGGAUUGCAAUUCAACCAAAUCCGGUGCCCUCCCUUCAAGCUGCUCGAGGAUAGCUUUGCCUAUCCUAACCUCAUCAAAUGGAUCUGAAACACACACCCAUAUCUUCUCAAAAUGAGCCGUAACCUCAGCAUCAUUAAAAGCUAGUUGGGCGAGAGUUGUCUUUCCAAUCCCGCCCAUCCCUACUAUAGAGAUGACCUCUACGUCCCCUGCUUCCUGAAUACUUUCGCCCAGCAACUUGCUUACUACAGCUUCCCUUUCAUCAUCUCGACCAGUCACGAUUGAUUCAUCAACAAGGGAGGUACUUGUUAUUCGUUGGAGUUCAUCAGUGGCUCUGUACGGAUCAAAGCCAUACAUAGCUCUCGCUUUCGCAAUGUCAUCCACUUUUUCACAUACUUCUUUGAUCUUGAGGGCAAUGUCUCGACGUCGAACCACUUGAUUGAGACAAAAGCAAGGAGAUUUCAGGAAGGAACAUCGCAUCUUCUGUAGGCUGCGAGUAUUUUCUUCAGCUUCCUCCAUUUUCCAUGUAAGAAUUGCUGAGCUCCAUUCAUCUAGCACGUCAUCCAUAUCAUAACAUACAUCUUUGAGCUUGUCUACCCAAUCUCUUACAGCCUUAUCCUUCACUUGUUUUCUAUCUGCGUCUUCAAGGAUAGAUUGGAUAACAAUGAGAUUGCUUUUCAGCUUGUCGACUUCGUUUCUUCACACCCCCUACUAGGUUCACCUCUUCAUGUACCUAUUAGGGUAGAAAAGAUCAGAAAGUUCAAGCAGAGGAAACAUUUCUAUGAUUUCAAUACAAGUUUUUUUAUUUUAAUUUUUCGUAAUUAAUAGAUUAAAUAAUUUUUAUUAAUCUUUUUUUUUGCAGUAGUUGACACGUGCUGUGAAAUGGAUUGGCUAUAUUAAUAACUUAUAUAUAAAAUAUUUAUUGAAAACUUAUAUAUUAAAGAUAAUGCUUCUUUUUAUCAUCAUCAUGAUGAUAUCUCUCUGCACUCUGCUACUAUACAAGGAAGAAAAUGAAUCUUAAAUUGUUCCAAUCAAAGAAAUAUAGUGAUUAAAAGGAUCUGUAUUUGUUGGUAUUUGUAAAGUCUAUUUGGAAAUAAAUAUUCUUCCUUUAAAGUGAACUAAUUAUUUUAACAUUUGAUUGAUUAUUUUACCCUUAGCAGUUCAGUUUAAUGAGAGGAUUGACAACUCCUUUUUCCUUCUAAAGAUUAUUUCCAGAAAUAUGAAAAAUAAUAAAACAAUAAAAAUAAAUUUCCUUAAUAAAAUCCAAAUCUAGAUCUGAGUAUUUGAGAUUUUAUUUUAUUUUUAUGGUAGAGGAACAAAAAAAGACUUCAUUUUUAUAUUUCUUAUUCAUGUUAGGUUAAUUGGAUCAUUGCAAAUUGUAGAAAGGCAAUUACCUGUUGAGCAACGAUCCUCGUUAACUGCUCCAGAAUUGGCGAUAAAAGUGCCUCUGCCAUUUGUCUGUUUACUUUUAUUUUAUUUCUUAAAAAAAGAGAGACAAUGAUGAUAGGAUGAACAGAGAGGGAGAGAGAAGAGAGUAUGAGGGGAAGGAGGCUGCUGAUUUAGUUAGUUUAGAGCGGAGAAGCUAAAUGAAUAGCUAAAAAUAAAAAAUUAAUAUUUUAGUUUUUCUUUACUUGUUUUAUACACUCCAAGAAAAAAGUCAAAUAAAAUACUAAAAUACCUUUUUUCUCCCACAAAUGUUAUUCCUAUAUAUCUCUCAAAAGAGCCAAAAUUAAUCAAGUGGGGCCAACAAAAGAAUAAACCAAUUAAAUCUAGCCAUGUGAAAAAAAAAUAACAUCAAAAUCAUUAAAAAAAAUAAAACACUUCUUUAUUCUACUCUAAUAGAAUUGGCUUUUUAAAUGGCUUUUUUUCCAUUAGAAUAUACAUGAUAAAAAAAGUUAUAUUUAUACUAUUCAAAAUGCUAUUUUAUCAAUUUAUCUUUUUAAAAUAGCAUUUUACUUUGGAGAUGUUCUUAUAUGUGCUUAGGGUUUGGUGGUGAGGGUUGACUUUUGUUUCAAUGCCUGCGCUGUUUCUAACAUUUCAAUUCAGUCCCUAUAUUAUUGAACUUUUCAGUCUAGUGUCGGUCAGGGUUUUGUUAACAGGAAAAGGAUUGCAGGGAUGGCUGGUCUGAGUGAUGGAAGCUGGCUGAAGCUGGGGCUGUGUGGAUAUCAGUUAAAUUUUGAUGCAGGCUCUUGAACUAGAAACCAUGUAUUAGUUGUCUCAUAUAGGACACUUUACUAUUACAUUUUGAUGCUGGCUCUUGAACCAUUACCCUCUUCGCUCCAGUUGAGAAGAAUUUUUAAUUUAUAUUCCUGAUGAUCAUCGUUAUGCUAUGUAAUGUAGUGAUUCAAUCGCGCCAUUUCUUAUGUUUAGAAAUCUAUGUUUUGGUAACUUGUCUCUUGUUUUUUUUUUUUUCUUGUUGGGUUGCUCAGGUGCUAUCUACAUUGAUUCUGAUAUCAUAGUUUUGAAUUCAUGGUCUUCACUUAAUAACACGAUUGGUCUGGAGAAUUCUACUGAGAGAUUAUCGCAUUCUACUGAAAUUCCUGAAAUUGAUUAUAGCAUUCUACUGAAAUUCCUGCUUCUCAUCUGUUUCUCCAUUUCUUCUCUUCAUUUAAUGUUUAUCUGGUAUCAGUAGCAUGUGCUGGUCAUGGCAAAAAAGUAUGGAAGGAUUGCUGGUUUGCGUGAAUGGAGCUCCUUUAAAUGGGAGGUUCGUUUGUGAAGGGGAGCAAAUGGGUGUGAAAAGGACAAGAAAUGAGGAAAGAAUUCAUAUUGUCUGGACCACAUCACCUUCCUUUCUUCUUCUUUUUUUUGUUUUCAUUCCUUUUUUAUUGUCUCUUUCUACUUUUUCAUAAUGAAAUUCAGAUCUAAAUUACAGAGGAAAUCAGCAUGCUAGAUUCAGCAGCGUUUGGGGUCAGAAUGCCAUUGUUGGGAAGAAGACAACAAAUUAUGUGUAGCUUAGCAGCCAUUGUUGCUGCUUCAGGAACACCAAACUCCCUUGUCAAAAAACUGGAUCCAUAUGCAUUUUGCAAUUAAGUCAUUAUGCUUUAAACUCAUUCUAUGUGUCUUUCCUUACAAAAAAAAAAAAAAAAAAUGGUUAUUUGCUGUCUUCAAACCCGAGAGUUUCGUUGCGUUCUGUUUCAAUUCAGUCAGUCUUUAUUAGUCAAUGCUUCGUAGAACAGAGGCACCUCAUUGCAGAGUGCGGGUACAAAACUAGUGUUGAGGUGAGGUCAUAUGUCCUACCAAAAUGGAUUUUGAUCAUAAUAAUUAGAAGAAGAAAAAAAAACAACAUUAAUAAUUGAUCAUCGUGGCUACAAAAUGAAGUGGAACUAAUAAUUAAUGGAGUGUAUAUAAUAAUCAUAAUCAUAAUAAUACUAAAUAAAAUGAAUUACUAUGUGUAUUCUAUAAUUUAGUUAUAUAAUAUAGCAGAUCUGUACAAAUUAGUAAUUUCAACUUACCAAUAAAAAAAUUAUAGUAGAUUUUUACCGUGGUAUGAUUGCAAUAAAUAAAAUAAAAUAAAUUUACUUCACAGCAUUAAUAAUUUUUUAGUUUUUGUCAAACAAUAUCAACACACAUGUAUAUUAUGCAUUCACUCAUUUUUUUAAAAAUAAUUAUAAUAAAAUUAAUUAGUUAUUUAUUAUAAAAACUAGACCUAUAAGUUAUGUCUAAGCUGUUAAAAAUAAUAAAAAUAAAAUAAUUUAAAGAUAUAAUAUAUUUUAAAUAAAAUUAUUAGUCAAUCUAUAUCGAGUUGUUUUAUCUACUAAAUUAAAAAAUUUAAGUUUUUAUAUCACUUAGAAUACUUAUGUUGAAUUUAAUCCAUAAAAUCGAUGGGUAUCAUCUCUUACAGAUGAAUCGAUGGGUAUCAAGUUACAUGCCAUCUUGCAACUUCGAAUAACAGACCACUCGACUGGCUCCAAAAUCAAACCAUCUCCACCUCAUUCAACACGAUUUAAAAUAAUCAACACCACCUUUUUAUACAAUGUGGGAUUGAUGAGGAUAUAAAUCUACAAACUCCAUCCAAAGUCUCAAUCUUAUAGUGUUCUUAACUAGUAUAGUAACGCCUCAUUGGCAAGAACCCAAAUCACUAAUAAAAAUUACAACUUUACACCGAAUUUGAACAGAUUUCUACGAGCCGAUGUCACUAAACUCAAAUUACUCCUAAAAAUCUCAAUAUAAACCCAUUAACUACUAGACCAACACCUCAUUGGCUAGAAUCCACGUUGCUUUUCCACAACAAUCAUCAGCUUCUUCAAUUAGGAUGCUACAAGCCCUUGUCUAUAUACUAGCUUAAAUUGCGACAACCUUUGAUUCCGAGAGAAGUUUGGCCUGAUCCAACGGCAGUCAAUGCGUGCUCAAUCUGUACUAGCUUUCCGGUAGGACUGAAAGUAGUGAGAGAAAAGGAGUACUGGCGACCCAUGGUUUAAUGCUUCAACACGCAGAGAGGAAAAACUGAGAAUGCGAGCGUGUGGGAGAGAAAGAAAGGGAUAUUUACUUGGGGUCUUAACUCUGCUUUUCUUGUUGGAGAAGAAGGUGUUUUCUUACGAGGGCUUUUACAAUGGAGUAUUUUGGGCUUUUAUAACGGCAGCUUGGUUCUCUUUACAUUGAGCUCAAUGUUUUUCCCAGAAAUCUGCCCUUCAAAUCUGCAAACACAAACAAUCUUGUAAGGGUACAAGGGAAGCACUCAGAACUUGUAAGAAACUUUAAAAUGCUCAUUUAUAUCUCUCUUUGACCACUUUGCAAAAACUAAGAUUAUGCUCACUAGUCCACCAUCACUCUGAUUAUAGAAGCAAGACUCGACAAUUUAACAACUUAAAAUCACUAAGAGGAAAGAAAAGGAACCUUCAAGCACCUGCAAGUACAUUUGAUUGACACUGGGUUGAGAAACUUUCAUUCAUUUUCACUUAAACAGUAUCUCACAUAAUUUAAUCUCCUGAACUACUAACUAAAGUGUUGAGAGCCAAUUUUGACAUAGGUAAUAAGUUGCACAAGUUAGUAAGAAGUGGCUCAUUGAGCAACCAAAUUGCCAAGAUGUCUUAUUUCAAACCCAAGAACAGAGGAAUGCCUUAUUUUUAUUUUUCUAAGGAACUACAUAUUUGCCCCCCUCUUUUUUUCAGUUGAAACAGAAACAGGGUACAUGUACAACGUGUUAAAGUCAAGUCCAUAACCAGACCAAUUAAGAACAUUGACCUACAAGGAGUUCCACUGAAGUUCAGAUUAUAAGCAGGCAUGCUUCUAUCUCAAUUUACCACCCCGGGUCAAAUUUCACACUUAUCAGGACACUAUAACAACAGCAGAAACUUUACAAUUUCCCACCAAACAUAAAGAGAGCUUUGAAUCUACACACCCGCCUGCUACAAUCAUUCAUGACAGAUAUUUUAGCAAAAUUAAGGCCAGAGAAACACAAGCUAAAAAAAUGGAACUUCCUAAUUACUGAGAAGCAGGCAGAAACAAACCUGUAGACAACUCCAAUAUUGGGUGUCAGAUUCUGUAUUUUCUGAACCUGAAACAGGAAGCAAUUAAAUACCAUCAACAACCAACUCAAGUUACAUCCCAUCUUGCAAAUUAGAAUAAUAGACCAAUCAACUGGCUCCAAAAUCAAACCAUCUCCACCUCAUUCAACACGAUUUAAAAUAACCAACACUACCUUUUUAUACAAAGUGGGAUUGAUGAGGAUAUAAAUCUACACACUCCAACAUUCAAAGUCCCAAUCUUAGAGUCAUUGACUAGUAUAGUAACGCCUCAUUGGCAAGAACCCAAAUCACUAAGCUCAAAUUACUAAUAAAAAUUACAAAUUUACACCGAAUUUGAACAGAUUUCUACCAACCGAUGUCACUAAAGAAAACGCAAAAAAAAAAAACGCAAAAAAACAAAAGGGCUUCUUGAAUUUAAACCAAAGAAUAUAACAAAACCAAUAAAAAAAUAAUAAAUGUUUACUUACAGAAGAUUCAUCGACUAAAAUAGAUGGCAAUUUCUUCUCAGUUGCAACAACAACACCGCUUGCCGCUACAACACCAAAAAAAUAAUAAAAUCAAACAACAUGGUAUCUAAGCACCCAUCAACAACAGUAGUGCAUUCGAAAAUGACAAGAAAAUGAGAAAACAAGAGAGAGAGGAGCUUAAAUUGCAACAACCUUUGAUUCCGAGAGAAGUUUGGCCUGAUCCAACGGCAGUCAAUGCGUGCUCAAAUCUGUACUAGCUUUCCGGUAGGACUGAAAGUAGUGAGAGAAAAGGAGUACUGGCUAUCACCCAUGGUUUAUUGCUUAAGACGCAGAGAGGAAAAACUGAGAAUGCGAGUGUGUGGGAGAGAAAGACAGGGAUAUUUACUUGGGGUUUUAACUUUGCUUUUCUCGUUGGAGAAGAAGGUGUUUUCUUACGAGGGCUUUUACAAUGGAGUAUUAUGGGCUUUUAUGACGGCAGGUUGAUCCUCUGUACAUUGAGCUCAAUGAAGGCUCGGGACCAGUUUUGUUUUCAAGUAUUAUUAACAAAUAUUUAUUUAUUUAUUAAUAUACAUAAUUUUUAAUUUAUUUAAUAACAUUUAUAUAUAUAAUUUUUAAUUUAUUAUAUUUUUUGAACUAGAAAAAAUAAUUUUCCAGAUCGUGAUGUAUAUUUCUCACAUUGUUUAAAGAAGCUAAUUUAACAUUUUUGUUUAGUAAACUAAAUAUUCAACAACUUGGGCGACAAAUAUCUGGUUGCAGCGUGCAGAGAGUAAAAACAAAAUAACUCCCACAAAACCGUUGACCCAUUUUAGACAUGAAGCCAUAGUGUUGUUCGGGGCCCAGCACCGUAAGAGGAAGGCUCCCUCUAAAUUAUAAUUUGGCCCCCUUAAUUUUUUUUCCUUGCUCCGCCCCUGCAUGGAGGGUGGUGAGUUUUGGAUCUAUAAUUAUGCUCUCCAGCGUUUUAUUCAUUGGCUUGGACAGCCUGGCUAACAAUAAUAGCAUAACCACUGCAACAGUGGUUUACAAAUGAUACAUACCUCUUCAGCUUGCUUCCCUCAUUUAUUUGGAUUGAAUCCACUGAAACUGAGGUUUAAGAAUUUCUUGGAUUUAAUCCACUGAAACAGUUGCUUGAUCAAGAUCAUUGGCUUGUUUGAAGGCAGAUAAAGGCUUAAAAAAAAAAAAAAAGCGAAAGCAAGAAAAGGAGGAUGUGAGAAAUAAUUAUAGAUAUGAGUUCCAGUAGUUGAAACAUAUGAAUUACAUAUCAUUUUAUGUUGAGAGAGAAAGAGAGAGAGAGAGAGAGAGGAUGAGAGAGAGGUAUAUCACAGCUGCAUUUGAUAGACUAAAUGGUAAGUAGGAAAUAAAAUCGAAUUACAGUAAAAAGGUCACAUUGAAUGAAAUCCUCCAUGUAAGUAAAAAAGGUCCACAGAGUAAAUGGUAAGAAUUAACACCAAAGCAAAUAACUAACACUCAGAACCAAAUCUUUUACCGUUAAGAAUUAACACUGGUAGAAGAAUUUACCUCUUCCUGCUGGUUCUAAAGACUAAAGAAUUUACCUAUAUAGCAUCAAAAUUAAUCUUUGGGAUGUGAGAAAUCUUUUGCCAAUCUUCACCCAUCUCCUCUUUCCCGUAAUGUUUCCUUAGAUUGGGGCAUCUACAUAUAUUUAAUUCCUGUAGAGGCGCUGCCAAAACAUAGUCUGGUAGUGCUCUCAACAACGGGCACUGGUUAAUUCCCAAAUAUUGAAGUUGUGGCAUAAUGGAUAUUAUUGAAGUUGUGUUGGCAUCUUCUUCUCCCACUCUCCUUCCAAUUCCUUCCCACUCUUCUACUUCUUUGAGGAAAAAAAUGCCAAGUUUUUUUAAUUUGGGGAAAGCAGUGACCCUUGCAAUUUCUCCUUCAUUAAUACUGGCAUUCUCAUCUUUUUCUAUACCUAAAAAUCCAGCAUCCAACCUUCUCACCUUCAACGAGCUCAAUACCAGGAUUUCAAGGUUGGGCAAUCUCCCCAACGGAGGCAAGACCUCCGCGUUUUCGCCAAAAUCAAGUCUAAGCUCCUGUAAUCUGGUUAAUGUCAUCAUCCAAUUUGGCAAAUCCAACCCUCCGUACCUAGAUAUGGUUAGAUUUUCCAAGCCUGACGGAGGCCGUAAAGCUUCAAUUAAAGAGCCUUCAUUCAUUUGCAACUCUGUUUUCUCUCUGUCGAAAUCCAAUUCCAAACGAAGCAGGCUCUUCUUAUUCUUGAGUUGUGCUUCUGCAGCGUCACUCGCAUCUUCUUUACCUCCUCCUAGAUUCCGUAUACGAAGACUCCCUCCAAUGUGAUUCAAGUCUUUUAAUUCUCUUAGAUUAGCUGCUUUACUUUCAUUCUCACCACCACCACACACAGUAAACACAUCUAAUGUUCGAAGACAUGUUAUCCUCUCUAUUCCCUUUGGUAUGAAGGCCACACCUGAACGAUAAAUCCGGAGAUGCCUCAAUUUGAUAAGUUUUCCAAUCGCCUUGGGCAAUUCCUUGAGAGACCGACACCAAGUAACAUCUAGGGAUUGCAGAUUGCAUAAAUCACACGUGGUUUCUGGCAGGGACUCCAACUUUCCACACCAUGCCAAAUUGAGGUGUCUCAAAUGUAUCAAUUUCCCUACCUCGUUUGGUAUUUCUUUGAUAGAAGACUCUGACAAAUUCAAUGACCUGAUGCAUGUCAACUGCUUGAAUAAAUCAGGUAGUGCAGCUCCAAGCGAAGGGUCUCUAGUGUGGAUCAAGAGGCUGCGAAGACCUUUUGCUUUGUGAAUGGACACGGGAAAAGAGGUCUCGUUGGCCAACAUCAUGCUUAAAUGACGAACCCUUUCAAUUGAAGUCUCCACUGUUGCUUCUCCAAGGUAUUGACAUCCACUGUUAGACAUUCAUUUUUUGUCAUAUAUUGGGCAAAAUCAUGCACUAUAUCAUGCAUCUUGAAUCUGAUAAUUUCUAGACCAUACUUCUUACAAUCUUGGAAGAAAGAGCGUGCUACCAAGACUUGAAAGCACUCCUCUCCAACAAGCUCCAUAUCUCCACCUGAAGUCUCCUUGAGGUAACCUUGAGCCAUCCACAUCUUCACCAAUUCAUAUUUUCUCAUCUCGUAGUCUUUUGGAAACAUGGCACAAUACAAGAAACAUCGUCUUACCACAGAAGGUAAAUCGUAGUAACUCAAAAGCAAAGGUGGAAAUAGUCCUCUUUCAACAUGUUCUAGCUCCCACAGUUCGCUAGAUAAAACAUGUUCCCACUCUUCUCUUGUUCUUUUAGACUGCAUUAGACCUCCUAAUACCUUGGCAGCUAGAGGCAAGCCCUUGCAAUUGCUUGCAAUUUUGCCGCCUAUUUCUGUCAAUCUUUCGCGCUCAUCUUUGCUUCUUUUAUGGAAUGCCAACUGAUUGAAUAUUGACAUGCAUACCUCAUCAGACAAUUUCUCAAGGUUGAUCACGUGGUCGGUUCCCAUCAUGGUUGCCACGGAAUGUUUACGAGAGGUCACUAGAAUUCUGCUUCCUGGUGCACCGCCUUUGAGAGAGAGUUUCAGUGGUUCCCAUUGUCCAUGACUUUCUGUCCAGACAUCAUCAAGGACAAGAAGGAACCUCUUUCCCUUAAUGGAUUCAGAAACCCUUUGCAAAAGGGAUUGCAACUCAACCAAAUCCGGUGCACCCGCUUUAAGCUGCUCAAGGAUAGCUUUGGCUAUCCUAACCUCAUCAAAUGGAUCUGAAACACACACCCAUAUCUUUUUCUCAAAAUGAGCCGUAACCUCAGCAUCAUUAAAAGCUAGUUGGGCGAGAGUUGUCUUUCCAAUCCCACCCAACCCUACUAGAGAGAUGACAUCCACGUCCCCUGCUUCCUGACUACUUUCACCCACCAACUUGCUUACAACAGUUUUCUUUUCAAAAUCUCGACCAAUCACGCUUGAUUCAUCAACAAAGGAGGUACUUGUUAGUCGUUGUAGUUCAUCGGUGGCUCUAUACGGAUCAAAGCCAUACGUAGCUCUCUCUUUGGCAAUGUCAUCCACUUUUUCGCAUACUUCUUUGAUCUUAAGGGCAAUGGCGCGACGUCGAACCACUUGAUUGAGACAAGAGCAAGGAGAUUUCAGGAAGGAAC
rnacentral:lncRNA from 1 species